CAGUACUUGAUUUAAGGAGAAACAAACUUUCUGGCACUCUUCCUGAUAAUUUUCCUGAGAACUGUAGUCUACAAACUCUAGACCUCAAUGGCAAUGUGAUUGGUGGUCAGUUCCCAAAAUCUCUAACCAACUGCACAAUGUUAGAGGUGUUAAACCUGGGAAACAAUCAGAUAACAGAUGUCUUUCCAUGCUCAUUGCAGAACAUAUCCAGCUUGCGUGUACUUGUCUUGCGUUUCAACAAAUUUUAUGAUAGCAUUGAAUGCCUCAAGACUAAAAGAGACUGGCCAAAGCUUCAAAUUAUUGACUUAGCUCGCAACAAUUUUACUGGCGAAAUACCAGGAAGUUUUUUGAAAACGUGGCAAGCAAUGAUGGCUGACAAAGAUGGUGCCGUGUCAAAGAUUAAUCACCUCCAAUUUCAAGUUUUAGUCAACGGCCAGGUGUACUAUCAGGAUACCGUAACAGUUACCACCAAAGGUCAAGAGAUGGAAUUGGCAAGGAUCUUAACAGUCUUCACCUCAAUUGACAUCUCCUGCAACAAUUUUAAUGGAUCAAUACCUGAGGAAGUGGGAAAGCUCACAUCACUUCAUGGCCUAAACUUGUCCAGUAAUGCUCUCACAGGCGCAAUCCCAUCAUCAUUAGGUAAUCUACGACAGCUUGAGUCCUUAGACCUUUCGGACAACAAAUUGAGCGGAACAAUUCCAUCACAACUUUCCAAACUUAAUUUCCUCUCAUUCCUAAAUCUGUCGAGCAAUCAACUUGUCGGGAAGAUUCCAACCGGCACUCAGAUUCAGUCUUUUUCAGCAGAUUCUUUCGCAGGCAAUAAAGGAUUAUAUGGGCCACCGUUAGAUGACGGAUCACCAAGGUUGCCACCAACAUUAGAAGGCAAACAUUCUAAUUCUGCGCACAGAAUUGAUUGGGAUCUUAUCAGUGUUGAAGUUGGAUUUAUUGUUGGCUUUGGAGUUGCGGUCGGGUCACUUGUGUUGUGCAAGAGAUGGAGUAAAUGGUAUUACAAAACAAUGUAUAAAAUCCUUGUUAAGAUAUUCCCUCAGCUUGAAGAUAGAAUUGGUCCUCACCGAAGACAUGUCCACAUAAAUCAGAGGUUCAGACGCUGAAGUUAAUGAUCAUGGGGACCAAUGGAGCUGGACCUCAAGCUAUGCCUGGGGAAUUUGAGAUCCAACAAAUAAGAGGUUUGCUUUUUGGUUUUACCUUUUAAAUUUGUGUAUGUUAUAGUUAUAUUUGUAAUAGUUUAUUGUGUAUCUUUAUGCCUUGUUUUCAAUAAACUUCCUCGUACCGUCGAGGUUCUUGAAGUUAGUGUAAAUUGAUAUACCCAAAAGAGUGUACCACAUGUAAUGUAUUAUUUGUUCGAAUUGUGUAGUACGAUGUCGAGACCAACUCCACCCAAAAGAGUGUACUACAAAGAAUAUCUUGACUUCUAAAUUGCGAUAUGUUUUAACAUCUUGCAAUUCAAUUUUAAACUCAUCAUAUCCAGUUUAUUUUUCACCUCAAUUUAUAAGAGAGCAAACCAGUGCUUUUUGUUUUAGAAUUUCCUCACCAACUUUUAUGUCUGAGAUCGCACCAAAAGGCAAAAGCCAACCCUCUCAGGUAACAAGAAGAAAUGAAAAACUCAACCGCUUUUACAAAAUCAGCAAACGACGGUUCAAUCGGUAUUCUCCCUUUCAUGUCAGAGCACAAUGAAAUACUCAUCUGCUUUUACAAGAGUUGAGUCACUCGCCCAAUUUCAACUGAUUUUAGGAUGAACCUCAACUUCAACUAUAGGACAAAAACUUCUAUCAUUUAAGACUUUAAGUUGGCAAAUGCGAAGUAUCGAUCGCGAUGAUUAGGUCUUCCAUAUUAACACUUAACUACUGAAAGAGAGAAUUAACACUUAAUAUGAUUUGAAUUGGGCAUGUUCAGUUACCCCAUCAAUUCUCCACAGAGCAGACUACGACAGUCACAAUUCCACGAUACCAUAGUUACAUACAAUACAUGAGUUUUUCGGAGAAUAUAUUUCUCUUGCUACCCAGAAAAUCAACAUGAGUAUACACAAACCAUUCUGUUUUUCUUCCACCUAUAACGGUAUGUAUAUAUGAUCGACUAUAUAUGGCCUUCGUUAGUCAAAAACUAAAAUAGGAGUAACAUGUAGAUUGCAUAUAUGCCUAGACUACUUCAAAGUGAAUUAGAGUCAAUCAAAUCAAAAACAAAAAAUAUGAACCUGUAACAGCAUAAAACAAGAACCCAAAUGAAUAGAAAUCCGGAGUACCAUACUACGUACUGAAAAUAGCAAUCUUGAGCCCACUGCGACAUUUCAUCGAAAACACUGUGUGCACAGAGAUAUACCUGACAAACGCGAACCAAAGGGCGAGUGGAGCGCAUCACAUGUUCACUGAAGGUAGACUUGCCGCUUCCAGGCGCACCCACCAAUAUUACUACGACAGGCUUUCCUUGUUUUUCUUCCACCGUCAAAAGGGCGUCCAGGUUUUAUGAUCACCGAAGGAGACGACGACUGAGAAUGGUAAAACGCGGCGUUUUGGAGAAAGGUCGUACCUUUGGCUGUUUCGUCGAUAUCCAUGUCCAUGUUUCGGAAGACUCUGCGAGGCACUUUUGAAUUAACGGCGGAAAAGCAACGGUUUCUUCUUCCGCUGGGCUGGAAGCCCCAAGCUUCUAUUGCCGGUGCCUGGUGCUUGCAUAAUGGGACACAUGUCACACAUCGUCGACCCGAAAAUUGACAAGAUCCGAUUCGAUUUGGAUUUUAUCCAUACAUUAGCCUCUUCGCAAUCACUCACGUGUAAACAAAAAGUAUUUUCUAAUCACAAUCCUUACGCGCCCUUUAAAGAUGGGUUUGCUUUAAUUAUUUUUCUAAUUGUUUAACAUCGUUAUUUCAUAAGAAAUUUGUGAGGACCUUUCCUUAUCAUGUUAGGCAUCAAAAUUUUCUUAUCCUUUUCUUUUUCAACUGUCUUUCUGUGAUAAUUUUUUCUAUAAUUGUGUUAAGCCCUCUGUAUUCCGGUGACCUACAACAUGUUAAAUUUAUAGAAAUUAUAAACUUGAUAAUUACGUUCAUAGUAAAAAGGCCUAUACAUACAAUAGUGUUUACUUGGUGUAUAAGUAAGGAUCUCUUCAAAUUAUGAAUACAAUCAUAACUAGAUUACAAUAUUAAUUGCUAAACCUUAAGAGAGACGAUUUCCUUGGACAAGACUCAUUCUCUAACAUCCCGGCAAACUGGACGGUCGAGAGGCGACAAGUUUGGAUCAUAGAAGAAGAAUCCAUGGUUUAGAUAGACCUUUUGUCAAGAGAUUUGCAGGUUGAUCCAAGGACUGGAUGAAAUGAACUUUGUGGGUACCAAGCUUAACAUGUUCACUAACAAAAUGAUAAUCUAACUCAAUAUGCUUUGUGCGAGCAUGAAACAGUCGGUUGGCUGCAAUAUACCUAGUACUAAGGUUAUCACAAAAGAGAUAGGUGGGCAAAGAGGCCUGAAACCGAAGUUCAUGAAGUAAGUAAGACACCCAAAGAGAUUCGAUACAGGUGUGAGCAAGAGCACGAUACUUAGACUCCGCACUACAGUAAGAAACAGUAGGACGUUUUGUAGAACUCCAUGAUAUGAGAUUCAAACCUAGAAAUAAAAGAUAGCUAGAUGUCGAUUGACGAAUGUCAGUACAAGCCCAAUUUGCAUCGGAAUAAAAAGUUGUUCAAAAUAUGGUUGCUCCUAUUUUACAGACGAAACUCAAAAAAAUACUAUUCCAUAACCUGUCCUAAAGUAUCCAAUUUACACUCAUAACGCUAGAAUUGAGAAAUUUUCAAAUUUGGAAUAAUUCAAUAGAGCUAGAGCUGAGCACUUAAAGUGCCAAUUAACAAUAAAUUAAAAAUCCCAGAUAAUCACCUAGGAAAAAGUAAAACUAUACUUUAAUAUAAAAUAAGAGAAAAGAAGUGCAAGGAAUGAAAAAGAAUAUGGAGUUAGAGUUACUUUGACACCAUCUACGGAGAAAGGCCAUUCAGAAAUGUAUUCCUUCAGACCUGUCUCCAGAACUAUGACGUCAUACUCUUCAUCCAUGCAAUCCAGCAGAGAAACCGGAUGAAUAUAGCGAGUAUUGUCUUUACAAUCCAGCAGAGAAACCGGAUGAAUAUAGUGAGUAUUGUGUAAAGACGGAUAUAACCUGUAUAAUAUCCAGUAAAGAUAGUUACACUAUGUUUGGAUGAUAGAAAUAAACUUGAAAUUUAAGGAAAAGUCGGAAUUUAUAAAUUGACAUACACCAAUUCCCUUGUUUGGAUUCAUAAACAUAGAAAUUUAGAAUUUUCAUGUGGAAAAAAAACUUGGAAUUUGGGACAUUCAAUUCCCAAGUUUAAAUUCCAUGUAAAUAUGUGUCAUUUUCCAAUUUCUAUGAUUGAGAGUUGAUAGACGCAUAUUUAUGCGACUUAGUUAACUAGUUUUCUUGCAUUUACGUUAUUAGUUCUUAGUUAUUUUAGUACUUUAAGCCAUUUUCGUGUGUUUGUAGGUCCAAAGGGCUAAGGUAGCAAGAAAGUGCAUUUUGGUGCAUUUUGGAGCAGUUUUGAGCUCGGAAUGGAUUACAUAUGAUAUGAGCAAGAUGGAUGGACGAAUUUGAAGACAAAAGAGGCUAAGAACAUGCUAAAAAUCUGGUGAAACAAAUACAAGUUGCAAUAAGGGAUAAAUUUCUAGAAGGAUUGGCCAAAACUUCACUCAAAACACAUCAAUGCCGUGGCUUUUACUUCCACCUCCACCAGAAAUUUGAGUAAUGAUGCAAUGCUUAACUCACCAUGACAUGUGAGUGGAUGAUGCAAUGCUUAGCUCACCAUGACAUGUGAGUGGAUGAUGCAAUGCUUAGCUAACCAUGACAUGUGAGUGGAUGACUCAAUACCUAACCCACCAACAAUUCCCACUCUUUGCCAUGCUCACCUACUCAAUUCCACCAACAUUUUGUGUUAAACAAGUCCAUCCUCUUCCUAUAAAUACCAUGGCAUCAACCUCAUUCAAAUCAUCCAGAAAUUAACCAUUCUCCAAGCCUUUCCUUGCCUCUCCUACAUAUCUAAACCCCUUCCCAUCCAUUCCUCCAAAUAACCAACCCUUCAACAUCAUUCCAACCUUGUUGUUGCGGCAAAGAGAAGGAGAAAAGUCCUUAGACGCACUUGCUAUCCAACAUGGAUCGUUGGAACGUUUAGGUGCUUUCUUUCCUUUGUUUUUCAAUGUUUAAAUUUGUUUAUCUUUGUUUUGUAAUAAUGAGGAACUAAACCCCCCUUGGCUAGGGGGGAUUCGAAACCAUGUUAAUGCUUGCAAUAUGAUUUGAUUACUUUUAAUUGCGUUUCAUAAGUUAUGAAUUCGAUUUACUUAUCUAUUUGAUUGAUAACAUGUUUAUGUAUGUUGAUUAGGGAUGCAUACUUAGUUUGCAUGCAUAAAUAUGAUGCUAGAGUAUAAGGGAAUUUCACCUAAUCGUUAUGAACUUAUAUUCAUGAGUAGUAAAAGUCGCUAGUCACGAUUGUGUUAAGUAAAUCCUUGGCAUAAGUUUCAUGCAAAUCAUAGUAACGAGUGCCUCGUCAAUGCUUAUGUUUUUCAUAGAACUUAAUGAUUCUUGCUUGUAUCUCUAUUAUGCAAUUCAUGUAGGGAACUUGUAGGGAAUAUUUUGGGUUGUCGUAUGCAAUCAUCCAACCCAAUAACUUGUGGAAAAACUGAGGGUAAAUUAGUGCAAUUCACGGUUAAUUUGGGGCGUUGAGAAUUAAUAAGUUAUUGAAAUGCAAUUGGAAAUCAUUUUGUAUGCAAGCAAGACAUGUGUGGAGAAGAACCCCUUAGCUAGCCUUCCAUUAUCCAUUCAACCCAAAUUUGUUUAAAAUCUAUUUAAGUUUUUAGUUUAUUCGUUUUUACUUUCAACUUCACCAAACUCAAAUCCCCCUUUUACUUUCUUGUUUUAAAAUCUUUUGUUUACAUUUUUAACUUUGUUUUUAUGUUUUUAAAUUAGUUUUCAAGUGAUUUAGCAAUCCCUCCUAAUCCCCGGUUUAGAACGAUCCCUACUUACAUCUAUACUACAAUUGUCAAAAAGAGGGUUAAAUUUGUGUGCUUAUAUUAUUCGCAUCAAAUUUUUGGCGCCGUUGCCGGGGAUUAGCAACUUUGCUAAUCCCUUGGUUCUUUUCUUUUUGUUUAGUUUGUUUUUGUUUUAGUUUCUGACUUAGUUUUGUUUUCCUUGUUUUGUGUUACUUUUGAUAUUUGAGUUAUUUUUCUUUCUUUGAUUUUAGGUACAAAUGGAGCAAGACAUGGCACUUGCGACCAUUCAAGCUCAAUUGGCACAGCUCACUGCUCAAUUGACUCAUAAUGCCGAACGGACCACAAUGCCAAGUGUCCCUACAUUGAUGUGCCCUAUGGGCAAGGAUAUCAACAUCCUCAAUUCACUGUGAACGAAGAUGCUUGGGGUUAUCAAGGCUAUGAUCAACCAAGCAACAACAUGUUUUCCAACGCUUACAAUUCGGCUUGGAGAGAUCAUUCAAAUUAUAUGUGGGGGAAACCUCAACAAUUCCAACAAGAGGGAUAUUGGCAGCAAGAGGAGGAGUUCUAUUCAAAACCUAUGCAAUAUGCUUAAUCAAACUCAGGUUCGUCAAUAAAUUAUAAUCAAAUUCUUAAUGAAUUAAAUUGUUUGGUGCAGGGCUCACAAAAUCAAGCCAAGGAGGCUCAACAAGAUGCAUAUUGGCAGCCAUAUGAGGAGUUCUACACCACACCUAUACAGCCACCACUGCAUACCCCACAACAAUUCCAAUCAAAUUCAAGUAUGUCCAUGGAUAGUGAUCAAAUUCUUCAAGUACUAACCUCUUUGACGCAGGACCAACAAAAUCAAGACAAGAAGUUGGAUAAAUUGAAGAGUCAAAUGGGAGAGAUUAUGGAAUUCAUGGUACAAAUUCAAGAGCAAAGUGAACUCUCCAACUCAACUGUUGAAAAUUCGAAGGAAGAUUUUGAAAUCCACGAUGCUAUCACUUUGGGAAGUGCUAUGAAGGAUGAAGCUGUCCCAGAACCAUCCAAACACAGCCCGAACAUGGAUGAAUUGCUGCUGCAAGCAGAAGAGGAGGAGGACGACCUGGGCAGUUUAGAAGAAUUCUUGCUGCAAGCUCCUCAAAUCCCUAUAUCAUCCAACUCAGGUGAGGAAGUUUUAAAUCCACUUCAUUCUAACAUUAUUCCACCAAAUGUCCUUUUUCCUUGUAGGUUUUUUAUUCCAAAUAUCAAAGAGAGUGAAAAAGACAUUGUGGAAGCUCUUCCAAAGGUGCAAAGUGAUAUCCCAAUUCUUGGUGCACCAAAACAAGUUCCCGAUGGUAUUGAAACGUUCAAAGAACCUUGCACACCAAGAAAAGGGAUUCAAGAGAAUGAAGUGGUUGAAGCAUAUCAAGAAUACAUCCAAGAGGCUGUGCAUGAGACAAUCAAGCCCAAAGCAGUUGAGUUUGAUGACACGGGACAAGCCACAACCAUCAUAGUAAACCUGGCCAAGUUCAAAAUCCCAGAAAUGUUCAAAGAUGUGGUGUUUGUCAUUGAGUUUGUGUCGGAAAAAGAAAGUAAGCCAUCUUCUCCAAUUUUAAUUUUUAUUUAUACUAACAUUUUUCUGAUUUUGAUGAUUCAGGCACCCACUCUUGAAUUUAAACCAUUGCCGAAUCAUUUCAAGUAUCACCUCCCAUUAAAAGAUAAAUUCCAUGCUUUGGAGCCGAGGGGAGUUUAAAGGAAAGAUUCGUCCGGCUAAAGACGUUAAAUCAAGCGCUUCUUGGGAGGCAACCCAAGCAUUCAACGAAGGGAGACUUUUGGAAUCGCUAACCAAAAUCAGAUUUGAAUUCUUACACCCUUAUCUUUACUGCUUUCAUUUUGUUUUGUUUAGUUAGUUGUGUUAUUUGGUUAAUUUCUGUAAGUUUGUGUUAUUUAGUUUAAGUGUGGGGGAAGGUUAACCAAAGUCUUUCUACAUUAAUUUACAUAUAAUUUAAAAACAACAAAAAAAAAAAAAAAAAAAAAAAAAACAUAAGUAAAAAUAUUUUACAAUGAUGUGUAAACUAAUAGCAUUCAUUGGUCAGGUGGUGCUUCAGUAGUCGGCGGAGCUUCAGCAGUCGGCGGGGCCACAGAAGGAGGAGGCAACAGAGGUUGAUCAGUUGGAGCUUCACUACGCGAUGCCGCUCCAGAAGACGAAGGCAGAUGCUGUUGGAACAAACCCACAAACCUCCGAUGAUCAAGUAAAAUCUGACCAUCAGAUUCAUGUAUCUGGUCAAUUUUCCUCUUCAUGGUUGUGGCAUAGUUGUGUGCAAGCUUAUGCAAUUGUUUAUUUUCAUGCUUGAGUCCUUUAAUCUCCUCUUUGAGACUCUGUAUUUCAGCCACCAACGAUUCAACGUGACGGGUUCGGGCAAAUAGGCGUUGGGCCAUGUUGGACACGGAACCGGCACACUGCACGCUAAGAGCCAGAGACUCCUUAACCGCCAAUUCAUCAGACCGUCUAGCGAGCAGUUUGUUAUCUCUGGGGUGACAAGGUUCCGGGCCACCACCGCAGCGGUCAUGUCAUUUUUCAUCACCGAAUCCCCCACGGUAAGGGGACCGGUAGGGGAUAUGAAGGAUGGGCGCCAUAUGUUGUCUGGUGAAGGCGGAGCUGCCUCUUCACCAAUGUUCAAGUCAAAACGACGAUCGGAAGGGCCAGACAUUUUCUGAAGGUGUGAGAAAGAAGAGAUCGGACAGAUUAAGAUUUCGGAAGUGCAAGAAGGGAGUGUUUACAGGAGGGAGCUCAAGUGUGUUGUGGAACAAAAUUAGCGCCUCUAUAAAAAGAAGAAAUCAAAGAGGCGCUCCUCAGAAAUUGAAAAGGCGUCCUCUCGCAAAUCGAAGAGUCGGGGCUCCGUUCUCAAACGCCUGAUUCUUUUCUCAAAAGAGGAGUUUCCUUUCUCAAAAGCCGGAUUCUUUUCUCAAAAGAGGCGUUUCAUUUCUUAAAGGCUGGGCUUGCUCAGAAACCACGAGCCGAACCCCGGAUUUCAAAAGAUCAAUUUGUCCAGACGUGUCGUCACUUGUCACACGCAAAUUGCUUUGCGAAAAUCUCGGGCAGUUUGUCGAAGCACCAAUUCAGAAAUCGAAGAGGGAAAUUCAACAGUCAAAGACACGCUAGCUUUCUCAAAAGCUGGGCUUCAACCCACGGGCAAAUCUUCUUUUCCAGAUUUAUCCGCACGUGUCACAUGCUACCUCUACAAUCGACGAUGCUCAAAGCUCGAAGCGCCGAUUCCAGAUAUCAAUGAGGAAUCUGCUUUGCGGAAAUUACGGGCAGCUUUGUCAGAAAGCGCGUAAUUUGUACUAUUCAUCCAUCCACCGGCUGCCGACAAUGAGUGAGGGAAUAGUUCCGGUUGUGAAGAAAAGUCCCAUAAGUAUCUACCUUCGCCUUCCACAGCAAAGGCACACCCUCUCAGCACUUCUUCCUCUCUGAAAUGGCUUUCCAACAAACCCUCUCAAGUCACUCUGUAUUUUUCAUCCCCUGGGAUACCCCUGCAAACAACCCAUCCAAAGCAAAAGUAUUUCAUAUCAUGAAGGUUGAAAGCAAGAGUAUCUCAUAUCAUGCUUUCUCCCUGUCCUUUCUCCAGCCAGCACUUGCUCUCGAGUACUCAUCAUCUUAUGUUUCCUCUUCGUCUCUCACGUAUAAGGGAAGUGAAGAUGAUACCUCGAAGCAUGUGGAGACAACGUGCUGAUUCAUCCUCAGCUAGGGACAAGGAGAAAGAGAGCAAGAGGUGGGCACUUGGAAAGAUGAAGAAAGAAACAGACCAAUACCUCUACCUCGUGCCUGCCCGCCAUGCAGAGGAAACAAGCAGAGAAGAAUGCAGCUCGUACAAUCAUCCCAGCAGAAGGAGUCCGAGCUGAAGAACUAGAGAAGCUGCCACAUCUGCUUGGAGAACAAAUAAGGAACUGCAACAUCACCAAAGAGCAAAGCUUCGCCGUACAAUAUCAUCAAAUCAUCACUUGCAAGUAAAAAGCUAAGUGUCACCCUGUUCAAGAGGAAAGCUGUGGAAAGUCAACAAGCACGACCAAUGAUCACUUAUUAGUUCUAUUCAUUGUCUUUUAUCGUGAUUUUCAAUUUUUCGUUUGCAAUUUUUUUUAUAUUUUCUUGUGUUACUAAACUGAAUUAUUUCUUUUCUUUGCAGGAACUUUUGGUUAUUUCCACCCUUGAAGUUGAUUGCAGAAUUUUAGCUUGGGGGUCAUCGCUUGGUUUUAUUGCAAACUAGGGAAGUUUUCAGUCCAAUUGCUUUAUUUUGUUUCUUAUUAUUUAUUUAUUUUAUUUUUAUUUGCAUUAUAGUGUUUUCUGACAUUGGGGUAUAGAUUUCAUGGGUCCUUUCCCUCCAUCUUUUGGUUUCACUUAUAUCUUGCUAGCUGUUGAUUAUGUUUCCAAAUGGGUGGAAGCCAAAGCCACCCGGACUAACGAUUCAAAGGUUGUUGCAGAUUUUGUGAAAACUAAUAUCUUUGCUAGGUUUGGCAUGCCUAGAGUUCUCAUUAGUGAUGGAGGCAACCCAUGGAAAUAAAGAAGACCUAGGAAUUUCCGACUCCAAAACCAGGUGUUUGCGUUCUUUAACCCUCCUCUCUGUUGCUUUUACUUUGCCAUGUUUAUCAUGUUUCCUCGUUGUUUGUUUGUUUGCUUUUGUGUGAGUUUAUGUUUGAAACAUUGAGGACAAUGUUAGAUUUAAGUGUGGGGGGGUAAACAAGUUGCUGUUGCAUGAUUUUCGUGGGAUUUUAUUCACCUAUCACUUACAAUGUUGUUUCUUGCUGUUUUAAGUGUUUUUAGUGUGUUUUUAAGCAUGUUAGUAUGUUUUGACAUAAAAAUCCGAAAAUUUGACAAAAAUUUGAAAAAAAAAUUGUUUUGAAAAAGCCAAAAAGAGUUGUUUUUGUGUGUUUGUUUGUGUCUUAGGGUACCUUCCAACACAAAUAAUGAGGAUUUGGUUUUUAAUUGCAUGACUGCUAAAGAAAGUUAUAAACAUGGAUGGAAAGUUUGAUAUGCUCUUUGAUUUAUGCUUGGUUAUAGUUAUAGUUUACGAAUUCACAUGUAAUCACAAAGAAAAAAAAUCAGUUUUUGUAACAUGCUUGAAGGAAGGAACUCAAACUAACACUACAACCUUGAGAGACUUGAGCCUAAUACGUUCUUUGGAGAGUUACUAAUCUGUGCAUUUUUGUUUUCUAAAGUCGUUGCAUGAUCUCAUCAUUCUUUGCUUGGUUGCUACUUAGAAGGCGUUUCAUCAUUUAGUUCCAAAUACUAGAACUUAUGCCCGUUCCAUUCAAAGCAUGACAUUGAUUUGCAUAACACAUAUUCAAGAUGAAGUUGUGUAGUGAACUAGAGCCAAAAAGCUUAUCCGUGCAUAUUUUUGUUUAAGUUUAACCCCGUUGAGCCUUGUUUAGCCUGUUUUCUUUGUUAAACCCACAUUUCCCUUACCUAGCCUAGAUUAGGACUAUCCAUACCCUUGUUUUUUUAAAGCAUAGUGAAGCAUGACUUAAAAUGAAUUCCUUUUGAUUGUCCUUAUGCAGAAACAAGUGUGGGGGAAUGAGAUUUUUUGUGUUUGUGUGCCAAAAGAAAGUAAUAAGGCACGGGUUAGAAAAAGAAAAAGAAAAAAAAAAAAAAAAAGAAAAGAAAAAAGAGUUUGAAAUAAGUGAGGAAAGGCUCACAAGUGUUUGUUUGUAGUUGAAAUCGGCCCUAAAAAGUUGAAUGAAUAACCCCAUUGUGUUUAAAGUUAGUUGCUGCAUUCAAAGGAAUUCUAAGCAUCAAUUUCAUUACUUUGCUUAUUAUGCUUUAAAAACGUUUGUUUCCUUACCUUUCAUUGUUAGCCAAUCACCCCUAACCCCGUUACAACCCUUAACUUCAAUCUUGAGUGUUAUGUGUUUCAAUAUGUGGAGUUUGGGAUUGGUACGAGCAUAUGGUGUCCCUGGUUCUCGCAUCUAAGUAGUAGCAUUCCAGUCAUGAGAUCAUAUCUAUACAUGCUUAAUAACUCCAGAAAUUGCUUUCUUUGCUAUAAACAUAUGUGAGUGUUCGUUUUCAUGUUUACAUCAAUCUUCUCACAUACAUCUAUAGUGUAGGGUAAAUAGUCAGAAAAAUCAGAGUGAAAAUAAGAGUGUAUCUUGUAAGGAAUUGAGCAAAUUCUCUAAGGCAUGUUACUACAUUCAAAACAUCGUUUUAAUUGGUUAUAUGUGAACUAGUAUGUGGUGACUUUGAUUAAGUAUGUGCUCAAGGGUAGGGAAGGCAAAAAUCUGUGGUUAUGAUGAUCUUUUGCAUGUCAUGUUGCAUUGAAAAUCCCUAAGGUAAUUGUUGGAAGGUUUAGGUUUUGUUUUGUUCUUAUGUUUUGUUUCUUUGUUUUGCUCGAGGACUAGCAAAAGCUAAGUGUGGGGGAAUUUGAUAGACGCAUAUUUAUGCGACUUAGUUAACUAGUUUUCUUGCAUUUACGUUAUUAGUUCUUAGUUAUUUUAGUACUUUAAGCCAUUUUCGUGUGUUUGUAGGUCCAAAGGGCUAAGGUAGCAAGAAAGUGCAUUUUGGUGCAUUUUGGAGCAGUUUUGAGCUUGGAAUGGAUUACAUAUGAUAUGAGCAAGAUGGAUGGACGAAUUUGAAGACAAAAGAGGCUAAGAACAUGCUAAAAAUCUGGUGAAACAAAUACAAGUUGCAAGAAGGGAUAAAUUUCUAGAAGGAUUGGCCAAAACUUCACUCAAAACACAUCAAUGUUGUGGCUUUUACUUCCACCUCCACCAGAAAUUUGAGUAAUGAUGCAAUGCUUAACUCACCAUGACAUGUGAGUGGAUGAUGCAAUGCUUAGCUCACCAUGACAUGUGAGUGGAUGAUGCAAUGCUUAGCUAACCAUGACAUGUGAGUGGAUGACUCAAUACCUAACCCACCAACAAUUCCCACUCUUUGCCAUGCUCACCUACUCAAUUCCACCAACAUUUUUGUGUUAAACAAGUCCAUCCUCUUCCUAUAAAUACCAUGGCAUCAACCUCAUUCAAAUCAUCCAGAAAUUAACCAUUCUCCAAGCCUUUCCUUGCCUCUCCUACAUAUCUAAACCCCUUCCCAUCCAUUCCUCCAAAAUAACCAACCCUUCAACAUCAUUCCAACCUUGUUGUUGCGGCAAAGAGAAGGAGAAAAGUCCUUAGACGCACUUGCUAUCCAACAUAGAUCGUUGGAACGUUUAGGUGCUUUCUUUCCUUUGUUUUUCAAUGUUUAAAAUUUGUUUAUCUUUGUUUUGUAAUAAUGAGGAACUAAACCCCCCUUGGCUAGGGGGGAUUCGAAAACCAUGUUAAUGCUUGCAAUAUGAUUUGAUUACUUUUAAUUGCGUUUCAUAAGUUAUGAAUUCGAUUUACUUAUCUAUUUGAUUGAUAACAUGUUUAUGUAUGUUGAUUAGGGAUGCAUACUUAGUUUGCAUGCAUAAAUAUGAUGCUAGAGUAUAAGGGAAUUUCACCUAAUCGUUAUGAACUUAUAUUCAUGAGUAGUAAAAGUCGCUAGUCACGAUUGUGUUAAGUAAAUCCUUGGCAUAAGUUUCAUGCAAAUCAUAGUAACGAGUGCCUCGUCAAUGCUUAUGUUUUUCAUAGAACUUAAUGAUUCUUGCUUGUAUCUCUAUUAUGCAAUUCAUGUAGGGAACUUGUAGGGAAUAUUUUGGGUUGUCGUAUGCAAUCAUCCAACCCAAUAACUUGUGGAAAAACUGAGGGUAAAUUAGUGCAAUUCACGGUUAAUUUGGGGCGUUGAGAAUUAAUAAGUUAUUGAAAUGCAAUUGGAAAUCAUUUUGUAUGCAAGCAAGACAUGUGUGGAGAAGAACCCCUUAGCUAGCCUUCCAUUAUCCAUUCAACCCAAAUUUGUUUAAAAUCUAUUUAAGUUUUUAGUUUAUUCGUUUUUACUUUCAACUUCACCAAACUCAAAUCCCCCUUUUACUUUCUUGUUUUAAAAUCUUUUGUUUACAUUUUUAACUUUGUUUUUAUGUUUUUAAAUUAGUUUUCAAGUGAUUUAGCAAUCCCUCCUAAUCCCCGGUUUAGAACGAUCCCUACUUACAUCUAUACUACAAUUGUCAAAAAGAGGGUUAAAUUUGUGUGCUUAUAUUAUUCGCAUCCAGAGUUUAAAAAUACAAAUUCCAUAUUGAAUUUCAUUGUUCUUUUAGGUUAACCAAACAAGAAAAUUUACAAAUUCUAAAAAAUAAAAUCUCGUCCCUUCAAUUUCUGUCAUUUUAAAAUUCCUUGGUAAUCUUAAACUUCUUCAUCCAAACAUAGUGUUAGUUUGGUACAAAUUUAUGGAAGCCAAAUCUACCAAGUUUGAGAUCCGGACCGUUGAAAUUUGAUCCAAUGUCUAUAGUUGUUAUAACUUUCAUUAGUUUUCCUUAAAUAAUUUUACAUUAAGAUCAUUUCAAAGUGAGUGGCUAACCCUAAAAGGUUCAGUUGAACCUUGUCAAACACAUAGAUACAUACAAGGUAACCUGUAACAUCUUUGGUUCGGCUAACUUUUGUUUUUUAUUUUUUAUUGUUGAAGUCAGUUGAAGUUAUCACAUGUUCGUCUACGGCUUGUGUCCACCAAAAAAAAAAAAAAAAAACCCACGCAAAUUCCCAAAUUCCAAUUCCAAACCAAACAAUUGUACAAAAAAUUGGCCGAUGUAAUUCGGUAUGUACCAGAUAACGGUAAUAAAUAUAUAUACAGAGAGCUUAAGGGGAGGGAUCCCCAUUUUUUGAAAAAAAUGGGGAUUAGGUGUGGGGCCCACUUCACAUUAAAUUUCAACGAUCCGAACCGUCUAUUUUGUUAGUCUCGAUUCAUAGAUCAUCCUGCAAAAUAUUAGCUAAAUUGGAAAUGUUUAAGACAUCUAAUUGGGUUCAAGGAAAUGAACGAAUACUUUGUUAUAUAAGAAAAUAUGAAAUUUGAUAUUGAUAAUUAAAUAGGCAAAUGGUUUCGGAUUGAAUUGAAUUUUUGCAAGGAUGAUCUAUGAAUCGAGACUAACAAAAUAGACGGUUCGGAUCGUUGAAAUUUGAUGUGAAGUGGGCCCCAUACCUAAUCCCCAUUUUUUGGGAUCCCUCCCCUUAAGCUCUCUAUGUAUAUAUAUAUAUAUAUAUAUAUAUAUAUAUAUAUCUAUGACAACUACAUUAACACAUACAAUCCAUCAUUCUCAUCAAACAAAAAACUGAAGCAAAAAACCAUCAGCCUUUUAAGAAAAUUAACCUACAAUUUCCACCCCCACCCACCCCAAAAAAACUGCAAUAACAAAAUUACCCCUACAAUUUUCACUCCUGUCCGUCCGAUUUGGAAUUUAGACAUGCAAAAAAGUAAUUUUGCUUGCAGGUCUUUAGGCCUCCGAAUGGGCCAUUUCAGCUACACCCUAAUCCAAGCCGAAGGCCACAUUGGGCAUAAAAUCAGCAAUCCAAAACAGAACGAUGGCAGUACCGUAGUUAAUUGAUCGAGGCCCCAUUCCAUAUGCAACAUGAAUGUAUACGACUCUGCAAGAAACAAUGUGUUGUUAAAUGUGGUCAGUCCUCGCCUUUUUUAUGAACACAAGAAACAGUAAUGAAUUACGAUGGCAGUACCGUAGUUAAUUGAUCGAGGCCACAUUUGAGAUCCAACAAAUAAGAAGUUUGCUUUUUGGUUUUACCUUUUAAAUUUGUGUAUGUUCUAGUUGUAUUUGUAAAAGUUUAUUGUGUAUCUUCUGAAUUACGAAAAUCUUGACUUCUGAAUUACGAUAUGUUUUAUCAUCUGGCCAUUCAAUUUUAAACUCAUCAUAUCCAGUACCACAACACCUAAUGAUUUAUUUUUCACCUCAAUUUAUAAGAGAGCAAACCAGCGUUUUUUGUUUCAGAAUUUCCUCACCAACUUUUAUGUCUGAGAUCGCACCAAAAGGCAAAAGCCAACCCUCUCAGGUAACAAGAAGAAAUGAAAAACUCAACCGCUUUUACAAAAUCAGCAAACUACGGUUCAAUCAAUAUUCUCACUUUCAUGUCAGAGCACAAUGAAAUACUCAUCUGCUUUUACAAGAGUUGAGUCACUCGCCCAAUUUCAACUGGUUUUAGGAUGAACCUCAACUACAAUUAUAGGACAAAAACUUCUAUCAUUUAAGACUUUAAAUUGACAAAUACGAAGUAUCGAUCGUGAUGAUUAGGUCUUCCAUAUUAACACUUAACUACUAAAAGAGAGGAUUAACACUUAAUAGGAAUUGAAUUGGGCGUGUUCAGUUACCCCAAUAAAUUCUCCACAGAGCAGACUAAAAUAGGAGUAACAUGUAGCUUGCAGAUAUGCCUAGACUACUUCAAAGUGAAUUAGAGUCGAUCUAAUCAUAAACCUGAGUAAUGCACUGAAAAUUUCUGGUUUGGAAUCUCUGACGCUCAGAGAAUAAGCAAAAUGCAUGCAACAAAGCCUCCAUUGUUAAACCUGAAAAAACAACAGUAUGUCAAGUUAUUCUUUUCAUUGGAAUCCUUGGUAAACAUAAUUCUUUCAAAAAGAUUGGACGCAAAUGCCAAUAUCUUACAGAUUUGUAAUGUCAUAUUGUGAACUAGCACCCAACAAAAUAUUUACAUGUAUAUUGCGUAGUAUUUCCAAAUGCUUACCAAUUGGUAGCAUUAGCUAUUAGAUUGCAGUGUAAACCUCCUUCUGAAUGAACGAAGCCGAGUGAUAUCUCCCACAAAUGUGAAGAACUUGUUGGAAUCAAUGCUUUUCUCUGAAGCUUUAGCCCUUACCAAAGACAAAAUCUUCGAUUAAUGACUCAAGUCCACUUAAAACAAGUCUAGAAUUUCCAAGCUUAUUCCUAAAUUCUAUAACUUUCUCAACAAUAAUAUCAGAUGCCUUUGCAAGGUCAAAUUGAAAAUCUGCUGUUGAAACGGAAGGAAAUGCCAGAGCGGAAGCAUCAUUUAGAGAACCAUCACCGCCAACAGAGCCUACAACUAGCUCUUCACCUACCUUUGAUUCCUUACCAGAUUUUUCAGAAAGUAAACGUGUUCCUUUCAAAGAGGUUUCCUUUUCUUCAGUAAUUUGAGAAGCAUUAGAAUCCGGUACACUCUUCAAAGUUGAUUCAGUAUUGGCAGGACCAUCUGUUUUCUUUAAGAACUUCUUUAUACCUAGUUGAAUUUUUGCACCGGGGUUCUUCCGACCAGAAUAACCAUUGGGAGAUGUAUAUAACGGACCAAGUCCACUAUAUGCAUCAACGGAAGAUUGAACAUCACUCUCACUCUGGCAACAAGUAAUUCUAGCAAACCCUUCACUCUUCUUUCUUCUGCAGCAUUCUAUUCACAAUCGCCACAGCUUUCCUGCCUUGCACGUUUCCUUCAUGGCUCGUUAGAUUCUUUAGUGUGACCAGUACACGGGAUGAUACACCACAUGUCACUAAACAAAUGGUGAGAUAUGUGUGCUACAAAGUUAAAAAUUUAAAAAAAAAAAUUCUCACCAUUCCUAUUAAAACAUGUGGUGUAUCACUUGUGUUCCCGUCACAACUAAAAAUUUCUCGUAAUAUACAAAGCUUGGCAGGAAGAUCAAGCACCACAGCAUGAACAUCAACUUGGGAACUACCACCAAGCUUCACAAAAUCAUCCCAUUUUUUCUUUCUCCACAUUACACCUAUCUAUAAACACACACUACCCAUCCUUCAACGCAUUCAUUGCACUAUCUAUACACUGCCCUUUCGUUCCGGCUUUACCAUUUUUGAUAGUAUCCUACAAAAACAUAAAAUAUGAACAUAUAACAGCAUAAAACAAGAACCCAAAUGAAUAGAAAUCCGGAGUACCAUACUACGUACUGAAAAUGGCAAUCUUGAGCCCACUGCGACAUUUCAUCGAACACACUGUGUGCACAGAGAUAUACCUGGCAAAUGCGAACCAAAGGGCGAGUGGAGCGCAUCACAUGUUCGCAGAAGGUAGACUUGCCGCUUCCAGGCGCACCCACCAAUAUUACUACGACAGGCUUUCCUUGUUUUUCUUCCCCCGUCAGAAGGGCGUACAGGUUUUAUGAUCACCGAAGGAGAUGACGACUGAGAAUGGUAAAACGCGGCGUUUUGGAGAAAGGGCAUACCUUUGGCUGUUUCGUCGAUAUCCAUGUCCAUGUUUCGGAAGACUCUGCGAGGUACUUUUGAAUUAACGGCGAAAAAGCAACGGUUUCUUCGUCCGCUGGGCUGGAAGCCCGAAGCUUCUAUUGCCGGUGCCUGGUGCUUGCGUAAUGGGACACAUGUCCACAUCGUCGACCCGAAAAUUGACAAAAUCCGAUUCGAUUUGGAUUUUAUCCAUAUAUUAACCUCUUCGCAAACACCCACGUGUAAACAAAAAGUAUUUUCUAAUCACAAUCCUUACGCGCCCGUUAAAGAUGGGUUUGCUUUAAUUAUUUUUCUAAUUGUUUAACAUCGUUAUUUCAUAAGAAAUUUGUGAGGACCUUUCCUUAUCAUGUUAGGCAUCAAAAUUUUCUUAUCCUUUUCUUUUUCAACUGUCUUUUUGUGAUAAUUUUUUCUAUAAUUGUGUUAAGCCUUCUGUAUUCCGGUAACCUACAACAUGUUAAAUCUAUAGAAAUUAUAAACUUGAUAAUUACGUUCAUAGCAAAAAGGCCUAUACAUACAAUCGUGUUUACUUGAUGUAUAAGUAAGGAUCUCUUCAAAUUAUGAAUACAGUCAUAACUAGAUUACAAUAUUAAUUGCUAACCCUUAAGAGAGACGAUUUCCUUGGACAAAACUCAUUCUCUUAAUAUAAAAUAAAAGAAAAAAAGUGCAAGGAAUGAAAAAGAAUAUGGAGUUAGAGUUACUUUGACACCAUCUACAGAGAGUGCAAGGCCAUUCAGAAAUGUAUUCCUUCAGACCUGUCUCCAGAACUAUGACGUCAUACUCUUCAUCCAUGCAAUCCAGCAGAGAAACCGGAUGAAUAUAGCGAGUAUUGUGUAAAGAUGGAUAUAACCUGUAUAAUAUCCAGUAAAGAUAGUUACACUGUGUUUGGAUGAUAGAAAUAAACUUGAAAUUUAAGGAAAAGUCGGAAUUUAUAAAUUGACAUACACCAAUUCCCUUGUUUGGAUUCAUAAACAUAGAAAUUUAGAAUUUUCAUGUGGAAAAAAAACUUGGAUUUUGGGACCUUCAAUUCCUAAGUUUAAAUUCCAUGUAAAUACGUGUCAUUUCCCAAUUUCUAUGAUUGAGAGUUUAAAAAUAACAAAUUCCGUAUUGAAUUUCAUUGUUCUUUUAGGUUAACCAAAUAAGAGAAUUUACAAAUUCUAAAAAAUAAAAUCCCGUCAUUUUAAUUUCUGUCAUUUUAAAAUUUCUUAGUAAUCUUAAACUUCUUCAUCCAAACAUAGUGUUAGUUUGGUACAAAUUUAUGGAAAGCCAAAUCUACCAAGUUCGAGAUCCGGACCGUUGAAAUUUGAUCCAAUGUCUACAGUUAUUAUAACUUUCGUUAGUUUUCCUUAAAUAAUUUUGCAUUAAGAUCAUUUCAAAGUGAGUUGCUAACCCUAAAAGGUUCAGUUGAACCUUGUCAAACACAUAGAUACAUACAAGGUAACCUGUAACAUCUUUGGUUCGGCUAACUUUUGUUUUUUAAUUUUGUUUUUUUUUUUUUUUUUUGUUGAAGUCAGUUGAAGUUAUCACAUGUUCGUCUACGGCUUGUGUCCACAAACAAAAAAAAAAAAAAAAAACCCACACAAAUUCCCAAAUUCCAAUUCCAAACCAAACAAUUGCACAAAAAAUUGGCCAAUGUAAUUCGGUAUGUACCAGAUAACGGUAAUAUAUAUCUAUGACAACUACAUUAACAUAUACAUUCCAUCAUUCUCAUCAAACAAAAAACUGAAGCAAAAAACCAUAAGCCUUUUAAGAAAAUUAACCUACAAUUUCCACCCACCCCAAAAAAACUGCAAUAACAAAAUUACCCCUACAAUUUUCACUCCUGUCCGUCGGAUUUGGAAUUUAGACAUGCAAAAAAGUAAUUUUGCUUGCAGGCCUUUAGGCCUUUGAAUGGGCCAUUUCAGCUACACCCUAAUCCAAGCCGAAGGCCACAUUGGGCAUAAAAUCAACAAUCCAAAACAGAACGAUGGCAGUACCGUAGUUAAUUGAUCGAGGCCCCAUUCCAUAUGCAACAUGAAUGUAUACGACUCUGCAAGAAACAAUGUGUUGUUAAAUGCUCAGUGCACCAAAAGCCACUACCUAACAAUCUUCAUAUAUUUCAUAACAACCUCCUUCUGAUACAAGCUGGCUAUUUGUAGUCGGUUCUCUACUAACCACCUAACUAACCAACUACUUACACAAGUAUCAAUCAAAAGAUGACACCUGUCCGAGCAUCCUAACAAUACCCCCCCUUAAAACUGAUCUUACAGAUCACAUACGAAAUUCUGCAGAAAAUUUACAACACAAAACUCAAACAAUUUGCACACACAGAGAAAUACAACACAAAUUCAAAGAUCAACAAUUUUCGGGAAACUUGAUCUUCAAUUCAUAGUAAUUCUCCCAAGUAGCAUCCUCUGUGGAGUGAUUCUGCCAUUGCACCAGAACUUCGGUCACUGCAGAGUUGCCUUUCUUUACCAUUCUUCUAUCACAAAUCCGAAUGGGAACAUCUUGCAAUAUACCAGCAUCCGUAAUACCUGGCAACGGCACUGUGGUUUGCACAUCUUCUCCCAAAUGCUUUUUUAAACAGGACACAUGGAACACCGGAUGCAACUUAGAGUGAUCUGGAAGUUUGAUCUUAUAAACUACAUUGCCGAUUUGAGCUAAAACUUGGAAUGGCCCAUAGAAACGAGGUUGAAGCUUGUGAAAAGGAUGUGCUGCCAAGGAACUAAAGGGAAAAUACAACGUUGUAAUUAUAUUACAGGACCAUUACUCAAUGUUGGUAAUUUGCUAGGCAAUUUAAUAAUACAUUGUGUUUGGAAGACAGCCAAACUACAGGAAAGUGAUCUCCAAUAUUAUUUUAUAUAUUUUUAUAUAUAUAAUUUUUUUUAAUAAAUAAUAUUAUCUAAACUAAUAAAUUAAUAAUAACAUGGUUCAAAUUGAUAAAAAAUAAUCUUGAGAUCCUGAAUAUUUCUCAUUGAGAGUGGCUAUUAUGGGAAAAUUCCCAUUGAGAUUUCACGCUUGACAAGGUUGGUUGUCCUAGAUAUAUCUCUAUCUGAAUAUCCGAGGGACACCACCCUUGAGAGCCCGAACUUAAGCAUGCUCUUUCUGAACCUCACAGAGAUUUGUGAGCUCUAUCUUGAUGGGAUAAAUAUAUCAGCACAGGGAACUCAGUGGUGCCAAGCAUUAUCAUCUUCACUCCUACACCUGAGGGUGUUGAGCAUGUCUGGAAGCCAGCUCUCAGGUCCUUUUUGUCAGUCCUUCGCAAAACUUCAGUCUCUCUCGGUGAUUCAAUUGGAUAAUAAUGACAUCUCCGGUCCAAUUCCAGGAUUCUUCGCCAAGUUUACAAAUCUGACAGUGUUGAGCUUGAAUAAUAACAACAUUGCUGCUAUGGUUCCAAGAUUGUUUGCCAACUUUUCAAAGUUGACUGCUUUGAGUCUUCAAAAUUGCAAUCUUAAUGGAACAUUACCCAAAGAGAUCUUCCAGGUACCUACUUUACAAACUGUUGACCUUUCGCAUAAUCUACAGCUUCAUGGUUCCCUGCCUGAAUUUCCUGAGAAUGCAUCUCUUCAAUUUUUGGACCUAAGCUUCACAAAAGUUUCAGGGUUAUUGCCGGACUCUAUCGGCAACCUCAAAAUGUUGUCCUUUUUAAAUCUUUUCAAUUGCAGUUUCAGUGGAUCAAUCCCAAAGUCCAUGGCAAGCCUAACAGAAUUGGUUUAUUUGGACAUGUCAUCAAAUAUGUUUAAUGGUUCGAUUGAUUCCAUUUACUGGGGAAACCAUGUUAGUCUCCAAUCUUUAUUUUUGGAGUCAAAUUUACUCACUGGUACUAUCCCGUCAUCUAUCUUUUCUCCUCCCCCUUUGCUGGUACUGACACUUUCCCACAACCGAUUCUCUGGUCAACUCCAUGAAUGUUCUAAUGUCUCGUCCCAGUUAUCUUUGCUAGAUUUGAGUUCCAACAAUUUGGAAGGACCAAUACCUGCCUCUAUAUCUAAUUUUCAAGAGCUUGCAUAUCUUCGUCUUUCUUCAAACCAUUUCAAUUCGUUUCCUUCCAAUGGUCAUCCUUGUCAAUUUGAAGAGUUGUAUUUGGCUUUUAACAAUUUGAGAGCAGUCCCAGAUAUCUUGAGAUAUCAAACCAGCAUAAGAAGAUUGGACCUUUCAGGUAACCAGAUUCAAAAAGUACCCAAUUGGUUUUGGAGCCUCCAUUUGCUCGAUUACCUAAAUCUUUCUUCCAACUACUUGGUAACUCUAGCAGUUCCUUUUAACUAUACAAAGGAAUUCUCCACACUUGACCUUCAUUCUAACCAACUCAAGGGGUCCAUCCCACUAUUGCAUGCCAAUUAUCUGGAUUACUCAAGCAAUCAUUUCACUUCUAUACCGACUAACAUUGGUGAUUUCCUCAAUCCCUCCACUAAGUUCUUAUCUAUUUCGAGCAAUGAUUUGCAUGGGCUCAUUCCAUCAUCAAUAUGCAAUGUAAUUCCUUUGGUAAUUCUUGAUUUGUCCAUUAUUUCUCUGAGUGGUACGAUUCCCCAAUGCUUGUCUGCUAUGAGCCACCUUGAAGUGCUUAACUUGAGGCGAAACAAUCUUACUGGAAGUAUUUCUGAUUUCAAAUUUUUUGAAGAUUGUGACUUGGUGUCUCUAGAACUCAAUCAGAAUCAAUUACAUGGUCAAUUUCCAAAGUCUCUAGCCAAAUGCAGUAACUUACAGGUUGUAAACCUCGGAAACAACUAGAUAACAGAUACCUUUACAUGCUUGUUGAGGAACAUCCCACCUUGCGUGUCCUUAGUUUGCGGUCCAACAAACUUUAUGGACGCAUUGGAUGUCCCGACGAGAGCUAUGGAACGUGGCCAGUGCUACAAAUCAUAGACGUAGCUCACAACAAUUUUCAUGGAGAAAUACCAGGAAGGUAUUUGAAAACCUGGCAGGCAAUGAUAAAUAACGAAGGUGAUGACCCGUCAGCAGUCCACGAGCUUUAUUCUGAAGAUAGUAGUUUGAAUGGUUAUCAUCAGACAAUAACAGUCAUAAGGAAAGGUUUUGAAGUCGAACUGGUAAAGAUUCUAACUAUCUUCACCACCAUUGACUUCUCUUGCAACAAUUUUAGCGGACCAAUUCCUAAGGAAAUGGGAGAAUUCAAAUCACUAUAUUUCCUCAACUUGUCAAGUAAUGCUUUUACUGGUGAAAUCCCAUCGUCAUUUGGCAAAAUGAGACAACUCGAGACCUUAGACCUGUCGCAAAACAAGCUGAGGGGGAAUAUUCCAUUGCAGUUGGCAAACCUUACUUUCCUUUCAUUCUUGAACCUCUCAAAUAAUCAAUUGGUUGGCAGGAUCCCAACCGGUCCUCAGUUUUCAACAUUUACAAGUGCAUCAUUUACAGGUAACAAAGGAUUAUGGGGGCCUCCUUUAACAGUAGAUAGCUUGUCACCACCACCAACAUUGACUGGGAGUGUUCCGAGUUCUGGAAAUGAGAUUGAUUGGGGUCUUAUCAAUGUUGAAAUUGGAUUUGUAUAUGGCUUUGGAGUUGCAGUCGGGUCACUUGUAUUAUGCAAGAGAUGGAGUAAAUGGUAUUACAAAACAAUGUAUAAAAUCUUUGUAAAGAUAUUCCCUCAUCUUGAAGAUAGAAUUGGUCCUCACCGAAGACAUGUCCACAUAAAUCAAAGGUUGGGACGCUGAAAUUAACGAUCAUGGCGACCAAUGCAGCUGGAUUUCAAGCUAUGCCUGGGAAAUUUGAGAUCCAACAAAUAAGAAGUUUGCUUUUUGGUUUUACCUUAUAAUUUAUGUAUGUUCUAGUUAUAUUUGUAAUAGUUUAUUGUGUAUCUUUAUGCUUUGUUUUCAAUAAAUUUGCUUGUACUGUCGAUGUUCCUAAAGUUAGCGUAAUCUGAUAAGCCCAAAAGAGAGUACCACAUGUUGUUAUGUAUUAUUUGUUCAAACUGGGUAGUAACAUGUCAAGACCAACUCCAUCCAUCAUAAUAUUCUAAAAAAGAAUAUCUUGACUUUGAAUUGCGAUAUGUUUUUAACAUUCUGCCAUUAAUUCAACUCUAAACUCAUCAUAUCUAGUAUACAACACCCAAUGUUUUGUUUUUCACCUCAAUUUGUAACAGAACAAACUCGCUCUUCUUGUUUCAGGAUUUCCUCACCAACUUUUAUGUCUGAGAUUGCAUCAAAAGGCAAAAACCAACCCUCUUAGGUAACAAAUAGAAAUGAAAAACUCAAAUGCUUUUACAAAAAUCAGCGAACUACUGUUCAAGCAGUAUUCUCCCUUUGAUGCCUGAGCAUUGUUCUAAAAAUCCCCGCCUAGGCGUUAGGCGGCUGGCCAUUGCCCCGAUUAAUGCCUAGGCGGAUGAGGCACCCGAACCCACCCAUAUUUGCCUAGGCACCUGCCUAGGUUGCGACUCACUUAGACAGAAAAUAAAUAACUUUCGAUUUGCAUUUAUUUAUUUUUUCGAUAAAUUGUAAGAGACUUAUUGAAUACUAGCACACACUCGAUGCUUGUUUCCCAUGUUUUCAUUAUGUUCCGAUACUUCAUAAUACAUAUGUCAUUCUAUUUUGUAGUUGAUGAUGAAAUUAUAUUUAUUAAGUAUAAACAAACACUUAUUUACACGAAAUAUAAUGGAUUUACUUAAAUCCGCCUAGGCACCCGCCUAGCCACCUAGGCGCUAGGCCUCAGCCCGCCACCCGACUAGCGCCUAAUGUCUUUUAGAACCUUGUGCCUGAGCACAACGGAAAGUUAAGAAACCCUACAAGGGCUUACAAGAGUUAAUCACUCGCCCUAUUGUUAACUGGUUUUACAAUGAACAUCAACUUCAAUUUUAGGACAAUCUCUAACUUGUAUUUUAAGACUUUUAGCUGACAAAGGCGAAGUAUCUAUCGCGAUGAUUAGGUCUUCCCUAUUAACUCUUAACUACUAAAAGAGAGGGUUAACACUUAACUACUAAAGGAUUUGAAUUGGGUUUGUUCCUCUGUGAGAGACUUAAUUGAAGGAAGUUACCCCGAUAAAUCCUCCACCAUAUCAUAGUUACAUACAACAUGAGCAUACACAAACCGUUCUGUUUUUCUUCCACCUAUAAUGGUAUUUGUAUUUGGUCGACUAUAUAUUGGCUUAGUCAGUCAAAAACUAAUAUAGGAGAAACAUGUAGAUUGCAGAUAUGCCUAGACUACUUCAAAGUCAAUCAAAUCAUAAACCUGAGUAAUGCAUGUAAGGUGGACUAAUACAACAUGGUUCUAGGAUAACAAUUUAACAUGCAUCAAGAUAAUUACAAGAAGAAGAUGCAUGAUACUAACCUGCACCGAUUGGAGACAUGGUGGCUUGAGUUCACAGGUUGUCUUCUACUUCCAGUACUUCAAAAUGUCUCUCUACCGUGAAUAGGGUUUGGCGUGAUUGAGAGUAUAAGCGUAUGGAAGCAGGGACUUAACCAUAAUAUUUAUAUCAUUAGGGUUUAAUCACAACCAACCUAUUAUUGGUUGUGAAAGUCAAACCCUAUCACUUAAGUGUUUAAGUCCCACCAUGAUACUGUAUCUUUGUAGUGAAAUCCAUCAGAUUUCUUUUAGGUCAAUUGCAAAGGCUAAGACUCCAUAAUCCUUAUUUCAUUUGGACUAUCAGAUUACUUAAUUUGUUAACAACUCAAUAAACAAGUGGUCUACAACAUAAGUAAUCCAAUACAUCAUUCAUUGUCAUUCACAACCUUACAAUGCACUGAAGAUUUCUGCUCUGGAAUCUCUGACGCUCAGGGAAUAAGCAAAAAGCAUGCAACAAAGCCUCCAAUGUUAAACCUGAAAUAACAACAGUAUAUCAAGUUUAAUUUUCUUUUCACUGGAAAUCAUACAAAAGAAUCAAGCAAGCCCACCGAACCAAUGUUUAGUAUAGUUGUAGCUAGGCACUGACUCAUUCAAGUGUGUUUAUAUGGAAGCUAAUCUAAAUUAUUUGUUCAAUUUAUCUGGUUAGUAACAUGUCCAGACCAACUCCAUGCAUCAUAAUAUUCUUCAACUGAAUCUGGACUCGUUCGAUGUAUUAUAUGGAAGUCAGCAAAAUUAUGGAGAUGAGAUUGAUUGGGAUCUUAUCAGUGUCGAAAUUGGAUUUGCAUUUGGGUUUGGAAUUGUUGUCGGGUCAUUGUUUUGUGAAAAAGAUGGAGUAAACGGUAGUGUGAGCUUGAUCUGUUACAAUUUUAUAAUUUGAUGUCGAAAGUUUUUAAAAGGUAGAAAAGAACGACAUAUUCAGGAUCAAAUUUUUCAUAAUGUUUUUUAAUCUUCUUUUCGAUACAAGAAUCAGCAUUACUCACUAUCGAAAUGAUAUAUUCUUGAACAAAUUUUCAAAAGUACGGAAUUUGACACAUAAAAUACAAAUCAUAAAACUAAAAUGGUGCUCAACAGAAGACAGAAUUAAACAAAAAAGGUGAUACAAGCAACAUUAAAUUAAACAGUUUUACUUAAUCGAGCUUCAUUUGACUGACUCUUCGCUUUUUCUUUUUUUUUAGGCCUUGGUUCUUAGCUUUUGCUUUUGUGGUUCUCCUCUUUGUUUGCAUUGCUGAUAUCAUGAACAUUUACUCUGUUUUAGCUUUGAUUUUUCUGGACGAAGACUUCCUAGUCAAGCUAAACAACGACAAAUCUAAUGGAGAUAUUUUCCCCAACAUUAAAGCCGGCACCGCAUCAAUACAAGCUGAGCGGGGAAAUCCCUUCGUAUCGUGGUGAGCAAUAUUAUUUUUCCAUCACUAAUCACAUUAAAAUAAUAAUAUGUCCUUUUCCAAAAAUUGACUUCCAAUUCAAGAUGCACGACUUAACAAUGAUUUCACAUUAUAAAAUUAGGUAAUGUUUAUGUUACGUAACGAUUCAUUUGUGUUGUUGUAUACUAGAGGGGAUCAGUCAAGGGAUAAACUAUCAUACGGCUUCGUGAACUUUGUCAAAUUGCAAUGGAGUUGAAUCUCCUUAAAAAGAGUGAGAUACACGUGUCUCAACCUAAUAGUUUACGUGCUUCUUAGAAAAAUAUUACAAUUUUCUUGUACUUUUCCUGACAAAAAAUAUAUAGUAUUUCUAAUUUUCUAUCAAGUUACUUGCCUGGCCAGAAGACUGGGUCACUGGAGCACAGCUGCUUAUUUCAAUUUAAGCCAAUUUCCUCCAGUGACUUUGAAUUAGUCGCUUCAAACCUUUUUUUCCUGGUUCGAGUCGGAGAAAAUUAUUUUAAUGGUUUAAGACUUCAAAUUCGUUUUCUCCAUCAAAUUAUUUAGAAUACAUUUGAUAAUUACUUUUUAUUUUUUAUUUUAAUGGUUUAAGAGCCAUACAUAAUAUACAUAUAAACAAGUCAAUCCCCUUGAGUCACUUCAGAUUUUAAAAGUGAUAGAUUUGAUAGGAUUUAAGAGGAUUAAAGAUUCAUACAAAAUUCAUAUGGAUUUGAAUGGAUAGUUUGUAGAUUUUGGUGGAUUGUGAUGGAAGGAUUUGAAAUCCUAGGGGGUGAGGUUGGAUUCCUUUUAGCCUUGGUUACAUAUAGAAAUCCUUAGAAAUCCUUUAAAAUCCACAACUUAUAGAAAUCCCCCAAAAUUUGAAUACACUUAGAUUUGGAUGAAUUUUAAAAUCCUUUAAAAUCUUUUAAUUGACUACACCUAGAUUUUAAUGGAUUCUAAAAUCCUUUAAUUGACUACACCUAUAUUUUAAUGGAUUCUAAAAUCCUUUAAAAUCUUUUAAUUUACUAAACUAGGAUUUUAAAGUCUUUUAGAAUCCUCUCAAAUACAAGUUUGACUACACCCAAUACGUUUGAUAAUUACUUUUUUUUUAAAAUUAAAAAUAGUUACUAAAUGAAUUUUUAAUUUAAAAAAAGAUAAAUAAAAAAUAAAAACGAAAUAGUUAUUAAAUAACCUCUUAAAGCUUAAAAAUCAUUUUAUUUAUUAUUUUUAGUUUUCACUUUUUGUACUUAAGAUAAGGGAAAAUAAGAGAUGGACUGGUUACAAAUGUAGAUGUUGUGCAACUGGCUGUGCGGAACUGAGAUCCAAAUUACAUCUACAUCACAACAAACCACAGUUGAAUAAAAUGGGGCCCUGUGUGAAAAUUAAAACGGGACCCUUUCACACACAAGACUUAUUUUUUUGUGUUUAAAACAAUUUUUUUCCUUCUAUGGUAUAUUUAGAGCACUUUGAAAGUUGGGCAAUCCCCUAUGGGGUAGGCUAUUCAAUGCCCCAAUCCCUCCAGCAAUUGGCUCCAGCCCAAUCCAAUCAGCUAGGCUUCAGGCGAGCUUGAACUGUCCACCAGGCCGAAAUCCAUGGGUAUAGCCCCCAAGCUGACGUCAACUAUUAAAAAAUUAUAAAAUAUUAAUAAAUUAAAUAUAAAUACAAAAAAUAUAAUUUUUCUAUAAAUACCUAAACUUUCUUCAUAUAUCAAGCACAAAAAAGUGAAAACCAAAGUCAAUGAAAUGGUUAUCAUGAAAUGCUUUAAUUCACUUGUAGAAUUAAACACUAUUUCAUUAAUUACCCCACCUGUAGAUUUGUAAAAGAGAUACUUAAUCAUAGUUUGAAAGUGCCUUUAAAAUAACUGAAAGUACUUUUAAAGAAAAUGUUUUUAAGUUCCAAAAGCACUUGAAGUGUUUUUUGGGUCGAAGAAGCACCACUUGAAGUGUUUUUUCCAAAAUUCACUUGCGUUUUUACUAAUAAUUAAUUCUAGAAAUAUUUUUACUAAAAAAACUUUCUGUUAUUUUAAAAUCACUUCUAAACAAGCUAUUAAAUAAAAUCGAGAAGAUAAUACAUGUAUCUGAACGUGGGGAACACACUCCCUUGCGUGAAGUUUUAGCCCCUCUCUUGUCAACAUUGAAAAAACAACCCACAAUUUAAACCCCACAAGGAAUAUGGGGAAAGACUUUGAAGUCAACAAGUCAAGCAAACCUCAAAUUUGGUAGAAACCAUCAACCAUGUUUUUCUCAGAGUCUCUAAGAGUCAUACAUACACACGUCAAUCCAUUUGAGUCACUUCAGUUAUUUAGAAUCCGUUUCAUAAUUAUUAUUAUUAUUUUUUAUUUUUUAAAUUAAAAGUAGUUACUAAAUAAGUUUUUAAUUUUCAAAAAAAAAAAAACGAAAUGGUUAUUAAACAGCCUAUUGGAGCUUGGAAAUUAUUUUAUUUUUUUGUUCGUAGUUUUCACUUUUUUGUACUUGAGAUAAGGAAAAAUGGGAGAUUAAAUGGUUAUACAUGUAGAUGUUGUACAAUUGGCUAUGCAAAGCUGAAAUUUAAAUUACAACCAUAUCACAACAAACCACAGUUUAAUAAAAUGGGGCACUGUGUGAAAAUUAAAAUGUGGCCCUUUCACGCACAAGACUUGUAACGCCCCGGCUUCAAAAUAUUUAUUUUCGGGAAAAACAAUUUCUAUGGUAGGCCCACAAUUGAUAUAUAUGUCUUAUCCACGAUCAUUCACCACAAUUCUCUCUAAAAAGCCUUGAUUCCACCAAUGGCUCUUAAUUAAAAAUUCCUUAUCAAAUGUACAAUUAAAUUUCUAUUUUAUCACCAAGUCCUUUACAUGGACAAAUUUCUAGAUUUCAACACUAAUUCUCAAAUUUCUUAACCUUACUUGAUUUAUGGCUGCAUCUAACAUCUUAUUAGACUGCCUACGUACCCUGAACAGGGAUCAAGCCAUUUGUAGUUCAUAAUUCAAUAUUUUCCAAUUUCCGAACAUAAUCUCUAAUCCACCAUAUUCAUAUCAACCGUUACAACCCAGUUCAUCUCAAAUGGGUACCAAUAAAGAUUCAGAAUAUCGAAACUUACAUGAAAAAUGGCAACGUCGGCUCCCUGGGCGUGAGCCGCCGCACCCGCCGCCGCCAGUGGUGGUCGGCCGCCUCGAAUUGCCGGAAAAUUCCACUAUUUCUAAAAAUUCUCAUAAAAAUACAUAAAUAAAGAUCUCAAAGAGUAGAGCAAACUUUAUACCUGUGGUCAAGUCCAAUUUGGCCUGGAAAGGCUCCAAUUUGAUUCAAACCCGCCGGAAACCCUUGAAUUUGGGUAUUUUUGAUUCGACUCCAAAGCUACUCCGACGCCUCAACCAUUACUUGGGCUUUGUUCCAGGCUUCAAGACGAAUCUAAUGGUGGUGGUAAUUUAAUGAAAUCGUUUCGGAUUUGGGUGAUUCGAACACAACACCACCGCACCCUACCGUGUGGAUUCACCCAUUUUCAAGGCCAAAACCCUUGAUUUUUGAGGUGUAAGAGGAAGAGGGAAGGUUAUGGGGAGGUUUUCAAUUGACUUUUUCGUGGAAUUCACUGGAAAAACCGUCGGAAAAGCCGAAUGGGUAGCUGGGGUUCACGGGUCCGUUCGACCCGACCCCUUUUCCCCUUCUUCCUUUUUCUCUCCUUUCCCUCAUUUCUUUCUCCUCCCAUUGGUCCUGCCCCCUCCUUUCUCUCAUUUCCCUCAUUUCUCUUCUUUCCUUUUCAUCCCAACCGUCCAUCUCAUUUUUUUCUUAUUUUCUUUUCAUCUCAGCCACACAAGUGGCACACCACAGAUUCCAGAAAAUCUGGAAUGUUCCCACUAGAUGUCAAAAUGACUAGUUUACCCUCCACUUCUAUCAUUAAUAUCUUCCUCGUUAUAACUUCAUUUCACGAACUGUUCACGCCUACGCGUUCAUGAGAUCGAGCUCUAUCCAAAAUAUAAAUUGUGACCUCAAAGGGUCUACGGGUUUUAAAUAAUUAAUUUCCAAACUUUAAACCUCGUAACCAGUUUAAUUGAAAACUAAACUCAAUUGAAUUUAUAUAAAUUCUCGAUUCUUUUCACAUAUCCAUAAUUAUGAAUAUCCAAUUCAUAUAUUUAAAUUUUAUAUCAAAUUCAUAUAUUUAAAUUUUAUAUCAAAUUCAUAUAUUUAAAAAUUUCAGGGUAUUACAAGACUUUUUUUUGUGUGUUUAAAAGAUUUUUUUUCUUCUAUGGCAUAUUUAUAAAAGUACAAAACUUAGUCUGAAAGUCAACUUUGUAACACAAUAUCUUCUACUAAAUAAUUGAUAUAGAAGAAUUUAAGGGAAGGUAUAUGUUAAACAAAUGAAGUUUUUAACAAAGAAAAAAUAUAUAAAAAGAUACAGUAUUUUUAAAACAGAAAACCAUUUGGGUAUUUUUCAAAUUUGUACUUAGUUAAGUUAUGCAUAUAUAGUUUUUUUUUUUUUUGGAAUAUAUAAAAUUGAAAUAUAUAUGGAAGCUAAUCUAAAGUAUUUGUUCAAUUUAUCCAGUUAGUAACAUCACUUUAAUCGCUUUUGUAGAAUGCCGCUUCGAACCAAAAAAUUAAACAUGAUUUCAUUAAUUACUUCACUUGUAGCCUUGUAGAAGAGAGACUUAGACCUCGUUUAGAGGUGCUUUUAAAAUUAUUGAAAGCGUUUUUAGAAAAAAAAUGUUUUUGGGUCUCAAAAACACUUGAAGUGUUUUGUGGAAGAAGCAUCACUUCAAAUGAUUUUCCAAGAUUCAUUUUUGUUUUUAUAGAAUAUUGAUUCUAAAAACAUUUUUUUUCUUAAAACGCUUUUAAUUGUUUUAAAAAUACUUUCAAACAAGUUUUUAUAUGAAACUAGGAGUAUAACGCAUGUAUCUGAACGUGGGGUAUACAUUGUUUCGUGAAGUUUUAGCCCCUCUGUAGGGGCGAAAUUUUACCCUCUCUUUUCCACUCAGUGGUCUGUCAGCAUUGAAUAAAACAACCUACAAUUUAAAAUUCUUCAUACAUACAUACAUUACCAUCACCACGAUAAGGGAUACGGGGAAAGACUUUGAAGUCAACAAGUCAAGCAAACCACAAAAUUAUACCCGCUAUACAUACCCAUCACCACGUUUUCUGUAGUAUGGCUCGCUUAAGUUAACGAAUUUUUAAUUUUUGAAAAAAAAUAAAAAAUGAAAAUAGAAUGAUUAAUAAAAUAUAGGACAAUUGACGCGUGAGAACUAUAAUUUGGACUAUGAAGAACUUUAUAAAAUAUAGGACAAUUGUUACACAUUCGGAUAAACAAAGCGCAUAAACACACGUUCACAGUUCAACUUCAUCAUGGUUUCAGCUGAGCUUAGAUAGUCAUUUCGGUUUGUAUUGACUGACUAUGUAUUGCCUUAGUCAGUCAAUAGCCACUGGAAAAUGAGGAUAGGAAAGCAACGCAGUCAGACUAGAACGCCAUGUUGUAUUAAAAAUAUCUAGAAAUCAAUUAAACUUUAUCAAAAGUCAUGAAUUGAGACAAUCAAGACUUCAAAAUCAACGUCAACCAAUAAAACCAAGAUUUUUUUUUUGAAAUGUUAUAUGAAAUUAUACACCUUCAAUUUAUCAUAUAUGAACUAAAAUUUUAAACGAUUUGUUAUACCAACUUUCUGAAUCAUUAAUUUUUCAUCUAACUCUAACUUCGUUAAGUUUUUCAUUCAAAAUAACUCAUGUGCAAGGCACCCAUAACUUAUGUUCAGGAGUAAUUUUAGACAUUUCAACGAGUGUCGCCCUCACUUCUCCCUUUGCAUUUAAUAACCACAAAAGGCAUCAAAAUGCCUUUCAUUCGUCUCUGCUUUUUAGGCACACACCCCAUUUUACUUCUCACACACUUUUUUAAAUUUCAGCCGUUGGAUCGGAUAAAUUGAAGAAGAUCUAACGGACAGAAAUUAUCAAGGGUGUGUGAGAAGUAAAAUGAGGUGUGUGGAUAGCACACCCCUUCCUUUUAUUCUAGUCUGCUUUUCUUUUAGCUGUGCAGGGAAAACAACAUUCUAUUUCAUUUGAACCACGUUAUUAUUAGUUCAUUAUAACUUUAAAUUUAAAAUUUCUCUUUAGUAUAUCAUUUGUUCAAAAAUAAAAAUAAAAACUCAUAAGAGUAUAUUUCCAAAUUUAUUGAGGUCAAGGGAUCUCAAUGCACCUUUGUUGGCUUUGCUAAUGAAAACAUUGCAAAGUACGUGAUUUAUUUUAGAUGGAAAAUUUAAUAGAGUUGGUAUGACAAAUCGCUUAAAUAUUAGUUCAUAUGAUAAAUUUAAAAAAAAAAGUGUAAAAAUUCCUAUAACAUUUCAAAAAAAAAAAAUCCUAAUCUAACAAUUCUACAGUGCCAUAUAUAAAUCCAAGUAUAUUAAUUAGUAUAUUUCAUGCGACAAAUUUCCACUUGCCACAUUGCCUAAAGUAGUACUACAAUUACUCUUAAGCAAUAAUAUUUCGCUAUUGAAAAACAACCCACAAUUUAAGCCCCACAAGGAAUAUGGGGAAAGACUUUGAAGUCAACAAGUCAAUCAAACCAUAAAUUUGGUAGAAACCAUCACACACGUCAAUCCGCUUGAUAAUUAUUAUUUAGAAUCCGUCUGAUAAUAAUUAUUUUCUUAUUUUUAUUUUUUAAAAUUAAAAGUAGUUAUUAAAUAAGUUUUAAAUUAAAAAAAUGAUAAACGAAAAAUAAAAACAAAAUGAUUAUUAAACAGCCUAUUGGAGCUUGGAAAUUAUUUUAUUUUUUGUUUGUAGUUUUCACCAUUUUGUACUUGAGAUAAGGGAAAAUGGGAGAUGAAAUGGUUAUACAUGAAAAUGUUGUGCAAUUGGCUGUGCGGAACUGAAAUUCAAAUUACAACCACAUCAUAACAAAUCACAGUUCAAUAAAAUGGGGCACUAUGUGAAAAUUAAAAUGUAGUCCUUUCACGCACAAGACUUUUUUUUUGUGUGUUUAAAAGAUUUUUUUUUUCUUCUAUGGCAUAUUUAUAAGUACAAAACUUAAUCUGAAAGUCAACUUUGUAACACAAUAUUUUCUACUGAAUAAUAGAUAGAGAAGAAUUUAAAGGAAGGUAUAUGUUAAAGAAAUGAAGUUUUUAACCAAGAAAAAAAAUAUAUAUAAAAAGAUACAGUAUUUUUAAAACAGAAACCAUUUGGGUAGUUUUCAAAUUUGUACUUAGUUAAGUUAUGCAUAUACAGUUUUGUUUGGAAUAUAUAAAACUGAAUAUAUAUCCCUGUUCCUUCGGGACCCCCACAGCCGACACUGAGUAAGACCAAAUUGGUCUUUGGCUCACACGCCAUUACACAUUCUAUAAUUACAAAGAAGAAUAACUAGGGACCUGCCUAUUACAUUUGGUCACAUUUGGUCACAUAUCAGCAACAACUUCCGAUGAAAACUCCUCUGCUUUCAUGGCUUUUCUUACUCCGCAUUUGCUAUGUUUCACUCACCUUCCAUACGUUUGUGGUCUCUACCCAAUGUCCCGGCGAUCAGCAAUCUUUGCUGCUGCAAUUGAAGAACACCCUCACAUUUGACCCUGCAACGUCUCAAAAACUUGUGAACUGGAAGAAUGGAUCGGAUUACUGCUCUUGGGAAGGAGUGUCCUGCAAAGAGGGUUGUGUUUCGAAUCUGGACUUGAGCAACGAGUGGAUUACUGGUGGACUUGAUAAUUCCAGUCCUCUUUUCGGUCUGAAGUCGAUCGAGAACCUGAACUUGGCUAACAACUCCUUCAACUACACUCAGAUUCCUUCCGAGUUCAAGCAGCUAACCGGUUUGCAUAACCUGAACUUGUCGUGUGCUGGCUUUGCGGGGCAGGUUCCGAUUUAGAUUUCGCACUUGACGAGGUUGGUAACUCUUGAUUUGUCUUCCUUGCACGUAAGCGGUUCUGGCUUAUAUGGUAGAUUCCCAGAGAAGAUCUUCCAGGUACCUACACUACAGACUAUUGAUUUGUCAGGCAAUGAACAGCUUCAGGGUUCCUUACCCGAAUUUCCAAAGAAUGCAUCUCUUCGGUCCUUGGUUCUACGCUGGGCUAACUUUUCAGGGUUACUACCGAACUCUAUUGGCAACCUCAAAAUGUUGUCCAAGAUAGAUCUUCGGGGGUGCAAUUUCACUGGAUCAAUCCCAAGUUCAAUAGCAGACCUUCAUCAAUUGGUUUAUUUUGACUUGUCAUGGAACAAGUUCAAUGGUUCAGUUCCAUCCUUCAGUAUGGCCAAGAAUCUGACCCUAAUAUAUCUUUCUGCCAAUCUACUUGAUGGGACUAUUCCGUCAUCUCUGUUUUCUCUUCCCAUGCUGCAAGGUUUAGAGCUUUCUAACAAUCACUUCUCUGGCCAGUGACCUGAAUUUGGUAAUUUUUCUUCCCUACAAGUCCUUGAUUUGAGUAGCAAUAGUUUGGAAGGGCCUAUACCCAUGUCGAUCUUUAAUCUACGAGAGCUUAGAACACUCUCACUUUCUUCAAACAACUUCAGUGGGUCCUUUCCGCUUAAUGAUAUUCAACAACUGAAAAAUCUCCAAGAACUUUAUCUUUCAUACAAUAGCUUGCUAAUUAAUCAUUACAGUUCCAAUUCCUCCUACUCCUUUCCUCAACUUCGCGCAUUGAAAUUAGCUGCUAGAAAGUUGAGAACCUUUCCUGAUUUCUUGAGAAAUCAAUCAAUAUUAGGCCUUUUGGACCUAUCCCUAAACCAGAUCCAUGAAAUACCCAACUGGAUUUGGAGGCUUAGUGGUCUUUAUAUACUAAAUCUUUCUUGCAACUCUCUGGUAAAUCUACCAGGUCCUUUCCUCAAUCUUACUUCUCAAUUGUUUAUGCUUGACCUUCAUUCCAACCAGCUUCAGGGACAAAUUCCAAUGCUUCCACCAUCUGCCGGUUAUCUGGAUUACUCAAGAAAUAAUUUCAGCUCAAGCAUACCGGCAGACAUUGGUGAUUUCCUUAUGCAGACAGCGUUCUUCUCUCUUGCAAGUAAUCACAUCCACGGGAUCAUUCCAGAAUCAGUAUGCAAGGCGACAUUAUUUCUUGAAGUUCUUGAUCUGUCCAAUAAUUCCUUAAGUGGCAUGAUUCCCCAGUGCUUGACUGCAAUAAACGGGCCUCUUGCAGUACUUGAUUUAAGGAGAAACAAACUUUCUGGCACUCUUCCUGAUAAUUUUCCUGAGAACUGUAGUCUACAAACUCUAGACCUCAAUGGCAAUGUGAUUGGUGGUCAGUUCCCAAAAUCUCUAGCCAACUGCAGAAUGUUAGAGGUGUUAAACCUGGGAAACAAUCAGAUAACAGAUGUCUUUCCAUGCUUAUUGAAGAACAUAUCCAGCUUGCGUGUACUUGUCUUGCGUUUCAACAAAUUUUAUGAUAGCAUUGAAUGCCUUAAGACUAAAAGUGCCUGGCCAAAGCUUCAAAUUGUUGACAUAGCUCGCAACAAUUUUACUGGCGAAAUACCAGGAAGUUUUUUGAAAACGUGGCAAGCAAUGAUGGCUGACAAAGAUGGUGCCGUGUCAAAGCAAUUUCAAGUUGUAGACCUCGGCCAGGUGUACUAUCAGGAUACUGUAACAGUUACCACCAAAGGUCUAGAGAUGGAAUUUAUAAAGAUCUUAACAGUCCUCACCUUAAUUGACAUGUCCUGCAACAAUUUUAAUGGAUCAAUACCUGAGGAAGUGGGAAAGCUCAAAUCACUUUAUGGCCUAAACUUGUCCAGUAAUGCUCUCACAUGCGCAAUCCCAUCAUCACUAGGUAAUCUACGACAGCUUGAGUCCUUAGACCUUUCGGACAACAAAUUGAGCGGAACAAUUCCAUCAGAAUUUUCCAAACUUAAUUUCCUCUCAUUCCUAAAUCUGUCGAGUAAUCAACUUGUCGGGAAGAUUCCAACCGGCACUCAGAUUCAGUCUUUUUCACCAGAUUCUUUCACAUGCAAUAAAGGAUUAUAUGGGCCACCGUUAGAUGACGGAUCACCAAGGUUGCCACCAACAUUAGAAGGCAAACAUUCUAAUUCUGCGCACAGAAUUGAUUGGGAUCUUAUCAGUGUUGAAGUUGGAUUUAUUGUUGGCUUUGGAGUUGCGGUCGGGUCACUUGUGUUGUGCAAGAGAUGGAGUAAAUGGUAUUACAAAACAAUGUAUAAAAUCCUUGUUAAGAUAUUCCCUCAGCUUGAAGAGAGAAUUGGUCCUCACUGAAGACAUGUCCACAUAAAUCAGAGGUUCAGACGCUGAAGUUAAUGGUCAUGGGGACCAAUGCAGCUGGACCUCAAGCUAUGCCUGGGGAAUUUGAGAUCCAACAAAUAAGAGGUUUUCUUUUUGGUUUUACCUUUUAAAUUUGUGUAUGUUAUAGUUAUAUGUGUAAUAGUUUAUUGUGUAUCUUUAUCCUUUGUUUUCAAUAAACUUCCUCGUACCGUCGAGGUUCUUGAAGUUAGCGUAAUUUGAUAUACCCAAAAGAAUGUACUACAUGUAAUGUAUUAUUUGUUCGAAUUGUGUAGUACGAUGUCGAGACCAACUCCACCCAAAAGAGUGUACUACAAAGAACAUCUUGACUUCUGAAUUGCGAUAUGUUUUAACAUCUUGCCAUUCAAUUUUAAACUCAUCAUAUCUAGUACUACAACACCUAAUGAUUUAUUUUUCACCUCAAUUUAUAAGAGAGCAAACCAGCGCUUUUUGUUUCAGAAUUUCCUCACCAACUUUUAUGUCUGAGAUCGCACCAAAAGGCAAAAGCCAACCCUCUCAGGUAACAAGAAGAAAUGAAAAACUCAACCGCUUUUACAAAAUCAGCAAACUACGGUUCAAUCAGUAUUCUCCCUUUCAUGUCAGAGUACAAUGAAAUACUCAUUUGCUUUUACAAGAGUUGAGUCACUCGCCCAAUUUCAACUGGUUUUAGGAUGAACCUCAACUUCAAUUAUGGGACAAAAACUUCUAUCGUUUAAGACUUUAAGUUGACAAAUGCGAAGUAUUGAUCACGAUGAUUAGGUCUUCCAUAUUAACACUUAACUACUAAAAGAGAGGAUAAACACUCAAUAGGAUUUGAAUUGGGUGUGUUCAGUUACCCCGAUAAAUCCUCCGUAGAGCAGACUACGACAGUCACAAACCCACGAUACCAUAGUUACAUAUAAUACAUGAGUUUUUCGGAGAAUAUAUUUCUCUUGCUACCCAGAAAAUCAACAUGAGCAUACACAAACCAUUCUGUUUUUCUUCCACCUAUAACCGUAUGUGUAUAUGAUCGACUAUAUAUCGCCUUAGUCAGUCAAAAACUAAAAUAGGAGUAACGUGUAGAUUGCAGAUAUGCCUAUACAACUUCAAAGUGAAUUAGAGUCAAUCAAAUCAUAAACCUGAGUAAAAUUUCUGGUUUGGAAUCUCUGACGUGCAGGGAAUAAGCAAAAUGCACGCAACAAAGCCUCCAUUGUUAAACCUGAAAUAACAACAGUAUAUCAAGUUUAAUUUUCUUUUCAUUGGAAUCCUGAGUAAACAUAAUUCUUUCAAAAAGAUCAGACGCAAAUGCUUAUAUCCUACAGAUUUGUAAUUUCAUAUUGUGAACUAGCACCGCAACAAAAUAUUUACAUGUAUAUUGCAUAGUAUUUCUAAAUGCUUACAAAUUGGUAGGAUUAGCUAUUAUAUUGCAGUGUAAACCUCCUUCUGAAUGAAUGAAGCCGAGUGGUAUCUCCCACAAAUGUGAAGAACUUGUUGGAAUCAAUGCUUUUCUCUGAAACUUUAGCCCUUACCAAAGACAAAAUCUUCGAUUAAUGACUCAAGUCCACUAAAACAAGUCUAGAAUUUCCAAGCUUAUUCCUAAAUUCUAUAGCUUUAUCAACAAUAAUAUCAGAUGCCUUUGCAAGGUCAAAUUGAAAAUCUGCUGUUGAAAUGAAAGGAAAUGCUAGAGUGGAAACAUCGUUUAGAGAACCAUCACCGCUAACAGAGCCUACAGCUAGCUCUUCACCUUCCUUUGACUCCUUACCAGAUUUUUCAGAAAGUGAACCUGUUCCUUUCAAAGAGGUUUCCUUUUCUUCAGUAAUUUGAGAAGCAUUAGAAUCCUGUACACUCUUCGAAGUUGAUUCAGUAUUAGCAGGACCAUCGGUUUUCCUUAAGAACAUUAUACCUAGUUGAAUUUUUGCACCGGGGUUCUUCUGACCGAAAUAACCAUUGGGAAGUGUAUCUAACGGACCAAGUCCACGAAUGCAUCAACAGAAGAUUGAACAUCACUCUCACUCUGGCAAUAAGUAAUUCUAGCAAACCCUUCACUCAGCUAAGGCAAUUCUUUCUUCUGCAGCAUUCUAUUCACAAUCGCCGCAGCUUUCCCGCCUUGCACAUUUCCUUCAUGGCCCGUUCGCUUCACAUACCGCAAUAUACAAAGCUUGGCAGGAAGAUCAAGCACCACAACAUGAACAAACUUGGGAACUACCACCAAGCUUCACAAAAUCAUCCCUUUGUUCUUCCUCUACAUUACACCUAUCUAUAAACACACUCUUCUCAUCCUUCAACGCAUUCAUUGCACUCUCUAUACACUGCCCUUUCGUUCGGGCUUUACCAUUUUUGAUAGUAUCCUACAAAAACAAAAAAUAUGAACAUAUAACAGCAUAAAACAAGAACCCAAAUGAAUAGAAAUCCGGAGUACCAUACUACGUACUGAAAAUAGCAAUCUAGAGCCCACUGCGACAUUUCAUCGAACACACUGUGUCCACAGAGAUAUACCUGGCAAACGCAAACACAAGGGCGAGUGGAGCGCAUGACAUGUUCGCAGAAGGUAGACAUGUUCGCAGAAGGUGAUGCGUAAAAUAACUAAACACACAAAAUUAAACCCUCUUUUUAUCAAUUGUAGUAAAGUAUGUAAGUAGGGAUCGUUCUAGGCCGGGGAUUAGGAGGGAUUGCUAAAUCACUUGGAAACUGACUUGAAAACGUAAAAACAAAGUUUAAAACACUAACUAGACUCAAAGAAUGCAAAACUAUACUUUAAAACACUAAAACAAACCAAAAGACUCAAAACAGCCCCUAAACACUCAAAACUACCUUAAACACACAAUCUGGGCAGUUUUGGGACUCUAACACAAACUUGGACGAAUUUUGGUUUUCUAAUGAACUAAACACUUAAAAACAUAAUCUAAGACAAGUUCUAUUUUAAUAUGACUCAAAGAAAUAAGAUGGGGUUGAUUUUGGACAAAAAUAAUUAAAUUAAGACAAGAACAAAGUAAACGAAUUCUUAGACAAAUUUAAGUGAAUCAAAACAAAUUGUAAAAUGAAUUUGAAUGAAACUUAUGGAUGGAAGGCUAGCUAGGAGGUUCUUCUCCACACAUGUCACACUUGCAUACAAAACGAUUUCCAGUUGCUUUUCGAUAAGCUAUGAAUACUCAACGCCCCAAAUUAACCGUGAAUUGCACUAAUUAACCCUCAGUUUUUCCACAAGUUAUUAGGUUGGAUGAUCGCAUACGACAACCCAAAACAUUCCCUACAAGUUCCCUACAUGAAUUGCAUAAUAGAGAUACAAGCAAGAAUCAUUAAGUUCUAUGAAAAACAUAAGCAUUGACGAGGCACUCGUUACUAUGAUUUGCAUGAAACUUAUGCCAAGAAUUUACUUAACGUGAUUGUGACUAGCAACCUUCACUACUUGUGAAUAUAAGUUCAUAACGAUUAGGUGAAACUCCCUUAUAUUCUAGCGUCAAAUUCAUGCAUGAAAAUUAAGCGUGCACUCUCAACCAACAUACACAAAUCAGUUUUUAUACGAACGGAUAAGUAAAUUGAAUUCACAACUUAUGAAUCACAACUGGAUGUAAUCAAAUCAUAUUGCAAGUAUGAACAUAGUUUCGAAUCACCCCUAACUAAGAGGGGUUUAGUUCCUCAUACUCACAAAACAAAGAUACAUAAAAUUAGACAUUAAAAUCAAAGGAAAGAAAACACCUAAAAUGCUCCAACUUGGUAGCAAGUGCAUCCAAGAUUCCUCCUUUCCCUAUGCUUGCGGCAGAUUGGGUUAUGGACAGAUUUUGGGUAGUUUUAUGAUGUAGAAUGGAUGGGGAAUGGUAUGGAAGGGUUUAGGGUGAGUGUGGAGGAGUGUUUGAGGGUUGGAGGGUGGUGGAGAACUAGGCAAAGAGGGUGGAAGAAGGUGGAGUGGCUGUUAUGUUUUCUAGGCACUAGAAUGGUGUUUUUUGGGGUGUUUUGCUUCCUAGGGUGUGUAUGGACGAAUUUUUGUGAUAAAAUGAUGAAUAUGGGGGAUUGUUCUUUGGCCAAGGGGUGUAAACAUGUAUUUAUAGGCCCCCAAAAACCUUAGAAAAUCAGGUUAGGUUAAGGAUGAAAUGCAUGGCAAUUUGUGUGUGUGGUGUGCAAUGGUCCAAGGGUGAAAAUGAAGUAAUGAUGCAAAGUGUGAAGGGUAAAAUGGAGUGGUGUUGUAGCUAGGGAGCAUGAAUGAUUGUGUACAUUGCAUAGAGAUGGAAAGGGAGGUGAAAUGUGUCAACAAAUGGGUCAAAGGUGCAACAACAUGUGUUACACAUGGCAUUGGAUUCCAAAUGUGAAUGAUGGAGCAUCAAUUGGUGCAUGUAAUGGAUGUAAAUGUUGUCUAAAAUCUAAUGAGUGAAGGGAACAAGAGGUAUCAAGCAAUUGAGUGUAAUAAUUAAAUAAAUUGAAGCAUGAAAUUAGAAAUUAUGUAGGGGACAAGAGUGAUUAAGCAUGGCAUGGAAUCCAAAGGGAAUUCUAUGUGGUUUGCAUGGCAAGGAAUGCAAGUUGGGGUGACAGAUUUUUGGGCUGUUUUCUUCAUCUUUUGGACCAUAAUUCUUCAUAUUCUUGGCCUCUUUAGUUCUCAAAUUCGUCCAUCCACUUGGCCCAUGCAUUUGACAUCCAUUCCAAGCCCCAUUUUGCUCCAAAAUGCAUCUUCUUGCCUACUUUGUCCAUAAAAUCUGAAAACACACGAAAAUGACUUUAAACAUUAAAAUAACUAAGGAAACACGACAUAAAUGCACAAUAACAAGCCAACUAAGUCGCAUAAAUAUGCUCCUAUCAGAAGGUAGACAUGCCGCUUCCAGGCCCACCUACCAAUAUUACUACGACAGGCUUUCCUUGUUUUUCUUCCCCCGUCAAAAACGCAUACAGGUUUUAUGAUCACCGAAGGCGGCGACGACCGAGAAUGGUAAAACGCGGCGUUUUGGAGAAAGGGCAUACCUUUGACUGUUUCGUCGAUGUCCAUGUCCAUGUUUUGGAAGACUCUGCGAGGCACUUUUGAAUUAACAGCGGAAAAGCAACGGUUUCUUCUUCCACUGGGCUGGAAGCCUGAAGCUUCUAUUGCCGGUGCCUGGUGCUUGCGUAAUGGGACACAUGUCACACAUCGUCGACCCGAAAAUUGACAAGAUCCGAUUCGAUUUGGAUUUUAUCCGUAUUUUAGCCUUCUCGCAAGUGCUAAUGCGUAAAUGAGAAGUAUUUUAUAAUCACGGGCCUUACGAGCGCCCUUUAAAGAUGGGUUUGCUUUAAUUAUUGUUCUAAUUGUUUAACAUUGUUAUUUCGUAAGAAAUUUGCGAGGGCAUUUUCUUAUGAUAUUAGGUAUUUCAAUCAUCUUCCUGUGAUAAUUUUUUCUAUAAUUAUGUUAAAGCCCUCCGUAUUCCGGUAACCUACAACAUGGUAAAUCUAUAGAAAUUAUAAACUUGAUAAUUACGUUUAUAGCACAAAAGCCUAUACAUACAAUCGUGUUUACUUGGUGUACAAGUAAGGAUCUCUUCAAUUUCUUGAUAGCGAUUUUACCACUUGUAAAACAAAGGGUUAAACCAUAGAAAAUUCUUGCAAGAGAACAAGUGUUUGUAGUAUAGAAUGGCUCAAGCAAUGUCGAUCUCCUCAGGGACUGAUAUAAACAAUUUACGAGUUUUUGUGUAUUUAACUUAUUUAACUUUAAGAAUUACACUAAUUUGACGAAACUAAAUAUUACUGGAUGUGACUUAACCAAAUAUCUAACAUGGGAAUUGGUUUAUAGGAACAGUGAUUCAACUUAAACAAAACAAGUAAAUGAGGAAAUUUAAGAUAAAAUAACUGAUUGAAGAAAAAUAGAUUGACAAUAUGCUAGAGUUCAACCUUUACCAACAACACUCCUACGUAGCUAUUCCAAUUGCUUAAAUAAUUGAAAACACACAUGCUUUGAAGGUUGGAAUUUCCUUGUGUAUGUUUUACUUGUGACAUUCAAGUUAAAACGCAUACCACUACAUGCAACUUAUCCAUGACAUUUGGAUUAAAUAUAAACAUGAGUGAUUCAUUAAUCUUGGUGAAAAUCCUUUUGUUAAACCAUGUAAUCCCUAAGAGCAUGAUAUUUACCUUAGGAGAGUACAAUCCUCAAUCACAAGAAGCACAACCAAUUUUAACAUGACAUUCGUUCAAAAUUGCAUCCGAUAACUUUUUAAGCAUCCUAAUGGUGAUCAAGCAUCAAGGUACAUAGAUAGUUUAAUUCAGUGAUUGAAAAUAUCAAAGCAAGCAUGUAACAACACUUAAGCAAUUGAAAAAUAAAUCUACGUAUUCAUGUUGCGGCUCAUGGCCUCACUCUAACAAAAUAAAUUAGUUACACAUAAUUAUUUGAUACAUAAAAAAUUAUCCAUAAAACAAAAUAACAAAAAAAGAAAACAUCCGUUUUAACAAGACGAGCUCUCUGUUGCUCCUGACUUCCUCUGCUCUGCUGCGCCUCUUCUUCUUUGCUUCUGCUACACCUCUGCUUCUGUGCUCUGCUGCGCCUCUUUCUUUUCCUCCCGUCAGUCUCCCCCCUUUUUACUUUUUCUUUUCUUUUCUUUUCCUCUGGUUCCGUCUGCCCUCUGCUGCGCGUCCUUUCUCUUAUAUUUUUUUCUUCGUCCGUGCUCUGCCUUCCUUUCUCUCUGCCUAUUCUUUUCUUUUGUUUUUCUUCUGCCAGUCCCGCACUCCUCUCUGUCUAUUCUGUCAGUGUCUCCCCUCACUUUUAUUAUCUUGCUUUCCUUUUCUUAUUCCUUCCAUUUUUCUUUGUCUGUGUCCCCCAUUUCCACUAAUCAGCUAUAUGCUUUUCUUUUUCUCCACCACAAAAGCUUAAUGGAAGACAAGUCCACUCUCCACUUGCCGUGUCUUUUAUUUGUUUUUACAAUUUCCUUUUCUCCAUUUUGCUUGAAAUUGAUCUUAAAACAAAUUUAACUACACAUUAACACAAGGUAAAAUAAAAAUGCCACAAUUUUAACACAAAGACUUUAUAAAUAGAUGGUAUAAAUGCAUGAAAUAUAUGAGUGAUCAAAUACCCCCAAACUUGCAUUUUUGCUAGUCCUCUAGUAAAACAAAACACAAAACAAAAACACUCAACUAAAACUAGACUCAACAACUUAGUAGCCAACUUCUAAAUUUCGAUUUCAGAGAUAAGUGCUAAUCAUGAAACAAACAACCAAGAACUAAUCAAGAGUUCAAAACAUCAUCCAAUAAUUAACCAAAUUUCCUUCAAACAAAACGUUGAAAUGCCAUGUGUGAGCUAACCAUGUCAAUGCAAUUCCAAACUCCUUUAAAUCAUCAUAUGCAAACAUGUGAGCUUCUCACAAGACAUACGCUCAUUCACUCAUAAGUUUUGGUUAAUGUGUUUCACUCAAGUGAUCUCAUUGUACAUGCCGCCAUAUGCUUGCUUGUCCACCUAACUCGCUUAUCAAUAUUUAAGUAAUACCUUGGAUAAAUAGGACUUUAUUACGGUUGUAAUGGGGCUAAAGGUGAUAGGCUAAUGAAAGAAAGGAUAUGGAAAUCAAAAAUUUUGAGAAAGUACACUUUGAUAGUUUUCCAACACCUCAAUAUCACACCACCUCAAAUUGAAAGCAAAAUAAUAAAACCUCAAGCACCAGUUACUCCCCAAAUUCAACUUCAAAAAGAAAUUUAUACUCUGCAGACACAUUUUCAACAAAUCAACACUCUCCAAUUUUCAUAUAUUUCGUUUUUUUUUUUUCAAUUGAAAGAAACAAAUCUGCAAAAGCUACAUCACCCAUCAAAUUCACAUUUCAUUGUAAUACACAUGCUCCAUCCAUCUUUCUACAUAAAUGAAACCCCCAAAAGCACAACCCAUGUAAUACUUUAUCAAAACAAUAAGGAAUCGAUUUUUGUGUAUGGGCUCAACUCCAAUAUUGGAGCAAGGUAAAGAGAUGUGGCUAACAAAGAAAUGGCUUAGUUAAAGGCUCAAUGGGCUACUACGGAUAAACAUAGCAUAUAAGGUAGGCAUGAAAGGCUCAAACGAUCCAAAGAUGACCUAUAUCACUUCCAAGUUAUUACAUGAAUUGAUUAAUGAAUCGAGUAGUAUAAAGCAAGUUCUAGAGAUACAUGUACAGUGAGAUCAUACGCACAAGAAGGAAUGAGAUUGAUGCAUAAUGGUUCAAUCAUGUAUAGGCUCAAAAACUCACAAGGUUUACAUAAUCUCACAUGAUUCACAUAUGAAACGCUAAAUCAUGCUCAAGUUUCACAUUGACAAGACUAGGCACAUUUAUUUUUCAAGUUGAUUUCUGGAAAUCACAGUUAACACAAAGACAACGAAAAGAACUUAGACUUCUUGAAAGUAAGAAGGAAAUUAAAAUCAAAUCUCAUCAUUGAAUUGAGAAGUAGCUACAAACAACAAUAAAAAUGCAAAAACUUUUUUUUUUAAUUAUUAUUAUUAUUUUUUAAUUUAAUAAUUUUUUUUUAUUUUUUAUUUUUUAACAAGAAGUAAACUAACGAAAUAUAUUUCCACCCAUAAACUUAAUUAUAGCAUUGUCCCCAAUGAUAAUGAAAGGAAUUUUGAACAAUAAGACAUAAAAAUGGAAGGAAAGAAAUAUAAAAUGAAAUAAAGACACAUAAAGAAAAGGAAAGAACACACCAAUUUGUGUAGGCGAGGAGAACAAAUGUGUGAGUAACCCGUGGGAUUAAGAAACUUUGCAGAAGUUGUGGUAGAGAGUUCCUUGGUUUCAAAUCAGACUCCUUUUGCUGGGUUGAUUUGAUUGUGCAGUCUGCAUUCUUCUCUGCUUGUUUCUUCUGCACCACGGGCAGGCACAAGGUAGCUGUGUUGGUCUGUUUCUUUCUUCAAUCUUUCCAAGUGCCCACCUCUUGCUUUCUUUCUCCUUGUCUCUAGCUGAGGAUGAAUUGGUAAAUUGUCUCCACAUGCUUCGAGGUAUCAUUUUCACUUCCCUUAUCUGUUCCCCAGGCAGAUGUGGUAGACGAAGAGGAAGCAUAAGAUGAUGAAGAUGAGUACUCGAGAGCAAGGCUAGGUAAGCAAUCAGGAAGGGGUUCCAGGCAGUUGGCUCCAGAUCGGAAGAUUGAUACCAAGUGCUGGCUGAUUGCUCUCUUUCUCCUUGUCGUAAAACAAAGACAAGGAGAAUGACAGGGAGAAAGCAUGAUAUGAGAUACUAUUGCUUUCAACCUUCAUGAUAUGAAAUACUUUUUCUUUGGAUGGGUUGUAUGCAGAGGUACCCCAAGGAAUAAGGAACACUGAGUGACUCGAGAGGGUUUGUUGGAAAGGCAUUCUCUGAGAAGAAAAAGGUUAUGUAUGUUUGCCUUGCCAUGGAGGAUGAAUGUCGACAUUUAUAGGAAAUAAUAACCGGUACUGUUCUUUCACUCUUGUCUGCCUUUCCGCUUAAUGAUAUUCAACAACUGAAAAAUCUCGAAAGACUUGAUCUUUCAUACAAUAGCUUGCUAAUUAAUUAUGACAGUCUCAACAACUUCAGUGGGUCAUUUCCUCAACUUUUCACAUUGAAAUUAGCUGCUGGAAAGUUGAGAACCUUUCCUGAUUUCUUGAGAAAUCAAUCAAUAUUAAGCACUUUGGACCUAUCUCUAAACUAGAUCCAUGAAAUACCCAACUGGAUUUGGAGGCUUAGUAAUCUUGGUGAAUUAAAUCUUUCUUGCAACUCUCUGGUAAAUCUACCAGGUCCUUUCCUCAAUCUUACUUCUCAUUUGUCUGUGCUUGACCUUCAUUCCAACCAGAUUCAGGGACCAAUUCCAAUGCUUCCACCAUCUGCCUAUUAUCUGGAUUACUCAAGAAAUAAUUUCAGCUCAAGCAUACCGGCAGACAUUGGUGAUUUCCUUGAUUGGACAGUGUUCUUCUCUCUUGCAAGUAAUCACAUCCACGGGAUCAUUCCAGAAUCAGUAUGCAACGUGACAGUUCUUCUAGUUCCUGAUCUGUCCAAUAAUUCCUUAAGUGGCAUGAUUCUCCAGUGCUUAACUGCAGGGAACAUGUCCCUUGCAGUACUUAAUUUAAGGAGAAACAAACUUUUUGGCACUCUUCCUGAUAAUUUUCCUGAGCACUGUAGUCUACAAACACUGGACCUCAAUGGCAAUGUGAUUGGUGGUCAGUUCCCAAAAUCUCUAGCCAACUGCACAAUGUUAGAGGCGUUAAACCUGGGAAACAAUCAAAUAACAGAUGUCUUUCCAUGCUUAUUGAAGAACAUAUCCAGCUUGCGUGUACUUGUGUUGCGUGUCAACAAAUUUUAUGAUCGCAUUGAAUGCCUCAAGACCAAUAGUGCCUGACCAAAGCUUCAAAUUAUUGACUUAGCUCGCAACAAUUUUACUGGCGAAAUCCCAGGAAGUUUAUUGAAAACGUGGCAAGCAAUGAUGGCUGACGAAGAUGGUGCCGUGUCAAAUAUUAAUUACCUCGGAAAUCUUCUAGACCACGACGCGGCAUACUAUCUGGAUACUGUAGCAGUUACCGUCAAAGGUGGAGAAAGAGAAUUGGUAAAGAUCUUAACAGGCUUCACCUCAAUUGACAUCUCCUGCAACAAUUUUAAUGGAUCAAUACCUGAGGAAGUGGGGAAGCUGGUAUCACUCUAUGCCCUGAACUUGUCCAGUAAUGCUCUCACAUGCGCAAUCCCAUCAUCAUUAGGUAAUCUACGACAACUUGAGUCCUUAGACCUUUCGGACAACAAAUUGAGAGGAACAAUUCCAUCACAACUUUCCAAACUUAAUUUCCUCUCAUUCCUAAAUCUGUCGAGCAAUCAACUUGUCGGGAAGAUUCCAACCGGCACUCAAAUUCAGUCUUUUUCAGCAGAUUCUUUCGCAGGCAAUAAGGGAUUAUAUGGGCCACCGUUAGAUGACGGAUCAGCAAGGUUGCCACCAACAUUCGAAGGCAAACAUUCUACUUCUGCGCACGGAAUUGAUUGGGAUCUGAUUGGUGCUGAAGUUGGAUUUAUUGUUGGCUUUGGAGUUGCGGUCGGGUCACUUGUGCUGUGCAAGAGAUGGAGUAAAUGGUAUUACAAAACAAUGUAUAAAAAUCCUUGUUAAGAUAUUCCCUCAGCUUGAAGAUAGAAUUGGUCCUCACCGAAGACAUGUCCACAUAAAUCAAAGGUUCGGACGCAUAAAUUAAUUAUCAUGGAGACCAAUGCAGCUGGACCUCAAGCUAUGCAUGGGGAACUUGAGAUCCAACAAAUAAGACGUUUGCUUUUUGGUUUUACCUUUUAAAGUUGUGUAUGUUCUAGUUAUAUUUGUAAUAGUUUAUUGUGUUAUCUUUAUGCUUUGUUUUCAAUAAACUUCCUCUUACCAUCGAGGUUCUUGAAGUUAGCGUAAUCUGAUAAACCCAAGAGUGUACUUUAUGUAAUGUAUUAUUUGUUCGAAUUGUGUAGUACGAUGUCCAGACCAACUCCACCCAAAAGUGUACUACAAAGAAAAUCUUGACUUCUGAAUUGCGAUAUGUUUUAACAUCUUGCCAUUCAAUUUUGAACUCAUCAUAUCCAGUACUACAACGCCUAAUGAUUUAUGUUUCAGAAUUUCCUCACCAACUUUUAUGUCUGAGAUCGUACCAAAAGACAAAAGCCAACCCUCUCAGGUAAGAACAAGAAAUGAAAAACUCAACCGCUUAUACAAAAUCAGCAAACCACGGUUCAAUCAGUAUUCUCCCUUUCAUGUCAGAGCACAAUGAAAUACUCAUCUGCUUUUACAAAAGUUGAGUCACUCGCCCAAUUUCAACUGGUUUUAGGAGGAACCUCAACUUCAAUUAUAGGACAAAAACUUCUAUCGUUUAAGACUUUUAGUUGACAAAUGCGAAGUAUUGAUCGCAAUGAUUAGGUCUUCCAUAUUAACACUUAACUACUAAAAGAUAGGAUUAACACUUAAUAGGAAUUGAAUUGGGCGUGUUCAGUCAACCCAAUAAAUUCUCCACACAGCAGACUAAAGUAGGAGUAACAUGUAGCUUGCAGAUAUGCCUAGACUACUUCAAAGUGAAUUAGAGUUGAUCUAAUCAUAAACCUGAGUAAUGCACUGCAAAUUUCUGGUUUGGAAUCUCUGACGCUCAGAGAAUAAGCAAAAUGCAUGCAACAAAGCCUCCAUCGUUAAACCUGAAAAAACAACAGUAUGUCAAGUUAUUCUUUUCAUUGGAAUCCUGGGUAAACAUAAUUCUUUCAAAAAGAUCGGAUGCAAAUGCCAAUAUCUUACAGAUUUGUAAUUUCAUAUUGUGAACUAGCACCGCAAUAAAAUAUUUACAUGUAAAUUGCGUAGUGUUUCUAAAUGCUUACCAAUUGGUAGCAUUAGCUAUUAUUGCAGUGUAAACCUCCUUCUAAAUGAAUGAAGCCAGGUGAUAUCUCGCACAAAUGUGAAGAACUUGUUGGAAUCAAUGCUUUUCUCUGAAGCUUUAGCCCUUACCAAAGACAAAAUCUUCGAUUAAUGACUCAAGUCCACAAAAACAAGUCUAGAAUUUCCAAGCUUAUUCCUAAAUUCUAUAACUUUUCUCAACAAUAUUAUCAGAUGCCUUUGCAAGGUCAAAUUGAAAAUCUGUUUUGAAAUGGAAUAAAAUGCCAGAGUGGAAGCAUCGUUUAGAGAACCGUCAUCGCCAACAGAGCCUACAACUAGCUCUUCACCUUCCUUUGACUCCUUACCAGAUUUUUCAGAAAGAGGUUUCCUUUUCUUCAGUAAUUUGAAAAGCAUUAGAAUCCGGUACACUCUUCGAAGUUGAUUCACUAUUGGCAGAACCAUCUGUUUUCUUUAAGAGCUUCAUUAUACCUAGUUGAAUUUUUGCACCGGGGUCAUUCUUCUCAGAAAUUGAAAUAUACUCCAUUAUUAUUUGUUUACAAGAUGGAAGUCCUCUCUUAUAGAGGGCCAAAAACUAGUCCUAACAAGUGGACAAGCCAAAUGAUGAUUACAUGAGGAAAACAUCGAAAAGGAAAAUACGGAGAAAAGGAAAGCAAAGCAAAGUAAUGAUGACUAGCUAUAAAGCAAAGUAAUGAUGGAUAGCUAUAAAGUAAAGUAAUGAUGGCUAGCUAGAGGAAUAAUUACAAGUCUAUUGUCUAUACCAAUAAUGUCUACCAACUAUUGUUGACACUCCCCCUCAAGUUGGUGCGUAGAUGUCAUGAAUGUCCAACUUGCUUUGUGAGUUGUGAAAUACUGAACUUGUGACUGCUUUUGUGAGUAUGUCUGCUAAUUGAUCUUCAGAUUUAACGAAUGGAACUUCAAUAAGUCUUGCCUUAAUUUUUUUCUUUAAUAAAAUGUCUAUCCACCUCCACAUGUCUGGUUCGAUCAUGUUGAACCAGAUUGUGAGCAAUGUCAAUUGCAGCCUUAUUGUCACAAUGUAGACGCAUAGCAUGCUUGGGCCUAAAUCCCAAAUCUCUCAGUAAAUUCUUCACCCAAAGCAGUUCACAUACUCAUGUGCCAUGCUUCGAUAUUCUGCUUCAGCACUUGAUCUAGCAACAACCUUUUGUUUCUUAUUACGCCAAGAGACUAGAUUUCCUCCAACAAUAACAAAGUAUCCUGAUGUUGAUCGUUUGUUAGUUACAUCACCAGCCCAAUCAGCAUCAGUGUAGCCCUUAACCUCAAGAUGAUCAUGUUUUGAAAACAUUAAUCAUUUCCCAGGAGCUAACUUUAAAUACCUCAAGAUACGGUUUACAGCAUCCAUGUGUGUUUCACUUGGUAAAUGCAUAAACUGGCUUACCAUGCUGACUGCAUAUCUUAUAUCUGGUCUAGUAUGUGCAAGAUAUAUUAGCUUACCAACAAUUCGUUGAUAUCUCUCUUUGUUGAUAGGUAUCUGAUCAGGAUAUUCACCAAGUUUGUGAUUCAGCUCAAUUGGGGUAUCUGCUGGUUUGCAUGCUAGCAUCCUAAUUUCCGUCAAAAUAUCAAGAACAUAUUUCCGUUGUGAUAGAAAUAUUCCUUGUUGUGAGCGGGCCACCUCAAUGCCCAAGAAAUACUUUAAAGCAUCGAGAUUUUUCAUCUCAAAUUCACUUGCUAGAUACUUUUGUAGUGUUGCCUUCUCUUCUGGAUCAUUUCCUGUAAUCACCAUGUCAUCCACGUAUACAAUAAGAGCAGUGAUUUUACCUUUCUUAUGCUUUAAGAAAAGAGUAUGAUCUGAGUUGCUUUGCUUGUAUCUGAAAAAUUUCAUCGAUUUGGUAAAUCUCCCAAACCAAGCUCUCGGUGAUUGCUUUAAACCAUACAACGACUUUUUUAGUUUACAAACGUUGUUGGUUUGAUUAGGAUCCAGCUUGCAUCCUGAGGGAAGCUCCAUAUAAACUUCUUCUUCUAAAUCUCUAUGCAGGAAAGCAUUUUUGACAUCGAAUUGUUGCAAAGGCCAAUCAAGGUUUGCUGCUAGGGAUAAGAGUACACGAAUAGUGCUUAUCUUAGCUACAGGGGCAAAAGUCUUUCCGUAGUCAAUGCCAUAUGUCCGCGUGUAGCCUUUUGCCACUAAUCUUGCUUUGUAUCGCUCAAUAGUGCCAUCUGCAUUAAAUUUUACCUUGUAUAUCCACCUGCAACCAACUGAUUUCUUCCCCUUGGGUAGGUUAGUUAACUCCCAAGUGGAAUUUUUCUGGAGUGCCUCCAUUUCUUCAUUCAUUGCACGAGUCCACCUAGGAUCUUUCAUAGCAUCCUCUACACUACAAGGAAUAGAUACAGUGGAUAAUUGAUUCACAAAUGCCUCACAUGAUGUAGAUAGCCUAUGGAGGGACACAUGGUUAGCAAUUGGGUAUUUAACCUUGACUCUAGGAUCAGGAUCAUAUAACUGUUUAGGAAUCCCUCGAGAUUUUCGAGAGGGAAGUUGAUAAUUAAUGGACUCAAUUUGCCUUGACUCAGGUACGAUCUCAAUAGAAUUAGAUUGAUCAGUUACCUGUUGAUUGUGUUUAGGGGCUGAUUGAUCAUGUGGUACCAUCGAAGAAGGCAAUCUCAAGCCAUAUGGACUUAACGUUGCUGGAUGUACUUCUGUGUCUGAUGUUGGAGUCGAUGAUUCUGUUUCUGCAUGUAUUGUUUGAUUACAGUCGUCUGCCGACUUAUCAACAUUUAUCUCAGUUUCUGAAAUUUCUGCAACAAUUUUAAUGUUACUAAUGUCUUGGGUAUCCUCUUCAAACAAACUAUUCUCAUUUUGAAGGGGAUACUCAAUGUCUCCCUUUGAAAAAUAUGUUUCUCCUUCUUGAAACUGGACAUCUGCAGUGAUGUAUAGAGUUUGGGUAGGAGGAUGAAAACAUUUGUAUCCCUUUUUUGUAUCAGAAUAACCCAAGAAUACACACUGGAUGGCACAUGGAUCAAACUUCCCCCGUUGAUGUGGAUAAACCUGUACAUAAGCCACACAACCAAAGACACGUGGUUAUAAGUUUGGGAUAGAUGGAAUGGUGAGAAUGUGGUUAAGUGUUUGGAAUGGUGUUUGAUAUUGGAGAGUAUUGAAUGGUGUUCGAUUUAUGAGAUAUGUUGCAGAACACAGUGCCUCUCCCCAAAACUUAUGACGCAUGUUGGCACUAUAUAAAGAUGCACGAACCACUUCUAAGAGAUGUCGAUUCUUCCUCUCUGUUACACCGUUUUGUUGAGGUGUAUAGGCACAUGUGGUUUGAUGAACAAUACCAUGCUCUUGCAAAUAGUUAUGUAGAGCAUGAUUGACAUAUUCUUCUCCAUUAUCAGACCUGAGUGUCUGAAUUUUCUUGUCAAACUGGGUUGCAACAUAUUGAUGAAAAAAAUUGAACUUGGUAGGAACUUCACUCUUGUGCUUCAUUGGAAACACCCAGGUCAUUCUAGUACAGUCAUCUAUAAAUGUCACAAACCAUCUAAAUCCAGAAGUGGUAAGAAUUCUGGCAGGACCCCAAACGUCAGAAUGAACGACCAUGAAUGGCACAAAACUUUUAUUUAAUCUUAAUGGAUAGGAAACACGAUGACUUUUGGCCAAAAUACAAAUUUCACAAUGGAAAUCAGAUUCUUUGAAUUGGGGAAAAAGUUUAGGGAAUAAAAGUUUAAGAUAACCAAAUGAGGGAUGUCCUAAUCGCUUGUGCCAUAACCAAAUCUUCUUCAUUUGGGUUGAUUCGUCUCUGCUUACAUGAUGCACUAGACUCAAUCUAUUGCUGCAUUCUUCCAUUAAGUCCAAAUAAUAUAGUUUGCCCCUUCUAGUACCACAACCAAUCACGGCCCUUGUGAGCAGAUCCUGGAAAAGACAAUAUAGUGGCCAAAAUGAAACAGAACAAUUAAGGGAGUCAAUAAUUUGAGAAACAGAUAAAAGAUCGUAAUCUAGGGAUGGUACAACUAGGACAUGAUCAAGAUUGAGUGAGGAGGUUAGUGAAAGAGAGCCUUCUCCAGUAACUGGAGAGAUUGAACCAUUGGCACUGGUAAUGAAUGUCUGGUUGGCUGUUUUUAGUGAGUGAAGAAUGUUAGCAUCAAAUGUCAUGUGAUAUGUAGGUAUCAAGGUUCUAAAAAUCGCUAGGCGCUAGUCAAAUGGCUAGGCGGACUAGGCGGAUUUAAGUAAAUCUAUCAUAUUUCAUGUAAAUAAGUGUCUGCUUCUACUUGAAAUAUAUAUAAUUUCAUCAUAAACUACAAAAUACAAUGCAUAUAUAUCAUGAAGUAUUGGAACAUAAUGAAAACAUGUGAAAUAAGGAUAUAAUGUUUGUUCAUUCAAGUAUGCAACAAGUCUCUUACAAUUUAUUGGAAAAAAACAAAAUGCAAAAUGAAAGUUACGUAUUUUCUGUCUAAGUGAGGUGCAACCUAGGCAGGUUAGGCGGGUGCCUAGGCGGGCUAGGCGGGUGCCUAGGUGGUCUAGGCGGUGAGCUGGGGCCUAGGCAUUAAUCGGGGCGGUGGGCUAGGGGCUGGGGCCUAGCGCCUAAGCGGGGAUUUUUAGAACAGUGGUAGGUAUCAAUAAUCCACGAUCUAUUACAAGUAUUAGUGGAUGUAGAGUUAGAUAUAUUUGAGGUGUUCAAGGCUUUUGGGACAUGGUCAGAUGAGUAACAUCUUGAGAAGACUCAGAAGUGGUGAAUGAUGCUCUGCUGGAUUCCUUUUUUGGUCCUUUGUGAACCCAUCCUUCUGGAUAGCAAAUAAUCUCAUAACAGCCUUGAAUAGUAUGAUUUUUCAAUCUGCAUUUGGUGCACUGCAUAGGUGGUCGAUUACGAAAUCGAUCAGCUGUUGAGGAGUUUAUGUUUUGAAGUCGAGGUCCUUGUGGAGAUCGAGAAUUUGUGGUAAAGAGCACAGUAGCUUCAGGCAUGGUGGCACUUUCUGAUAUGGUUCCUUAUCAAUUGCUUUCACGUUUGACAUGAGAGUAUGCUCCUUCAAGACCAGGUUUGGGCUCCAUCAUCAAAAUCUCACCACGAAUUUGAUCAAACUUGUUGUCUAAUCCUGCAAGAAAAAUAUAGACUCGAAGUCGCAAUUUCUUGCUGCCUUGAUAAGAUAUCAUCUGUGUCCUUCAUGUUAGUAGGACUAAGUUGAUCAAGUUCUUGAAAAAUCUCGGUGAGAUUGUUGUAAUAGUUAGCAAUAUGAGCUCCAUUUUGCUUCAUGGUAAAUGACCUUUUGUGAAGAUCAUAAAUUUUGGCUUCAUCAGAGCCAUCUGAGUAAGUCUUUUUUAUGGCAUCCCAUACUUGCAUGGUUGUGUCGUAACGGAUGAACCGCUUCAUCUGAUUGGGUGUCAUAACAUCAAAUAACCAACUUUUGACUUGGCAAUUUUCAGCUCGCCACUUGUUAUACAGUGGGUCUGUGAUUGCAAGCUGCUUGGUAUCACCGGAAAGAUGCCCAUGUUUUUCUCGACCAACAAUUUUCAUCUUUAUGACUUGAUGCCAUAGAGAAUAGUUGUUCUCAUCAGGUUUAAUUCCUGCAGAGAAAUUGGAAUUAUCAUUUUGAAUGGUGACCACUUGUGUGGUGGAGUUUGAUUCACAUGGUGUGAAGGACUGAAUUGGUGGGUCUGAUACUUUAUCAUCACUAGCCAUUGUAUAGGCUUAAGAUCAAUGAAGUUGAAAUAAAAAUAAAACUGAUAUGAUGAUUGAGAUAUGAUAUGGCGGAAGCUUUUUUCUGUUUUUGAGGUUCAAGAGUCAGUCGUGAUCGACUGCUCUGAUACCAUCUCAAAAUUUGAAAUAUACUUCAUUAUUAUUUGUUUACAAGAGGGAAGUCCUCUCUUAUAAAGGGCCAAAAACUAGUCCUAACAAGUGGACAAGUCAAAUGAUGAUCACAUGAGGAAAACACCGAAGAGGAAAAUAAGAAGAAAAGGAAAGCAAAGUAAUGAUGACUAGUUAUAAAGCAAAGUAGUGAUGACUAGCUAUAAAGUAAAGUAAUGAUGGCUAGCUAGAGGAAUAAUUAUAAGUCUAUUAUCUAUACCAAUAAUGUCUAGCAGCUAUUGUUGACACUUCUGACCAAAAUAACCACUGGGAAGUGUAUCUAACGGACCAAGUCCACUAUAUGCAUCAACGGCAGAUUGAACUUCACUCUCACGCUGGCAACAAGUAAUUCUAGCAAACCCUUCACUCAGCUUAGGCAGUUCUUUCUUCUGCAGCAUUCUAUUCACAAUCACAACAGCUUUCCCGCCUUGCACGUUUCCUUCAUGGCCGUUCGCUUCACGACCGUGAUAUACCAAGCUUGGCGGGAAGAUCAAGCACCACAGCAUGAACAUCAACCUGGGCACUACCACCAAGCUUCACAAAUCAUCCCUUUGUGCUUUCUCUAAAUUACACCUACCUAUAAACACACUCUUCCCAUUCUUCAACCAUUUUUGAUAGUAUCCUAUAUAAAAACAUAAAAAGUGAACUUAUAACAGCAUAAAACAAGAACCAAAAUGAAUAGAAAUCUGGAGUAUCACACUAAGUAUUGAAAAUAGCAAUCUUGAGCCCACUGAGGCAUUUCAUCGAAAAUAUUGUGCACAUAGAGAUAAACCUGGCAAAGCCAGCACCCUAAAAUGGUAAAGCUUUCAAUAUAUUAAAAAAGCAUUCCCUUUUUAAAAAAGAAAAACUAACAAUGAAGUUUCAAAACUUUAAAUUUUAAUAAAAAAUCAUGUAAUAACUUUAUUUAAUAGUUAGAAUAAAGCAUAACACUAAACCAGUCCAAUUAAAAUGACCUAAAGGUUGAGUUUCCGAUUGUGCCCCAUACAGCAAAGCAACAUGCCGUCCCUUCCUUCUCGUACCUUUUCUUUUUAUCCAAGUAUGGAAGUAGUUCUAGUAAUUUUUUUUUCUUUUGAAAAUUUUUAAUCACGACAUUUUAAUUGAGAAGAGCAAAAUAUUAAAAAUAUCCCAUCUCCAAGGAUUUUUUAUUUUUUACCAAAUAUUCAAGCAAGUAGUUUCGUUGACUGUUUUUUUUUUAAAAUUCUUUAAUCACAUUUUCUAAAUUUAAAUUCAUUCAAAAAAGCAAAAAAUAAAACGAAAGAGCAAACUAGUUACAUUAAACAUACAGGCUUUUUUUUUAAUUUUUUAAUAUUUAAUUUAUAAACAAUAGCUUUAAUUAAAUUGUUUUUCUUUUGUUUUGAACGAACGAUACUAUUUACACGAAUCCGGUGACGAAGUGGGCUAAGCCUCACAAUAGGCUAACAAGCGAAGAUGAAUUUAAACCUUAGAUUUCUCACUUACAAGUGAAGAUGAAUACCACUAGACCGUAGUAUUAAGUGGCUAGUGGGUUAAAUUGUUAAAUACGAGAGAGACGAGGGAUCGGUAGGGAUUGAACGCAUCAGGAUGCAUACACAGUAACCUUGAUUAAUGACAUUCGAAAUAAAGAGAAAAAUAAAGAAAAAGAAAGAAAAUAAUCUAUACGAGGGUACAAACACAUAUUAAAUACAAAUCAUCUAGCUUAUUAGAUGGAGUAUUUGACAAAUCAAAUAAUGUAGCGAGCCAGGCCGCCGCGUGAGGUCGAAUGGGGUGUGUUAGACAAAUAAGAUAAUGUAGUAAAAUUCCUACGUAUUUUAGAUGAACUUUAUUUUAAGAGGACAUGUGAGAUUUGUGAAUGCCAAAAAUACCAUACGAAUUCUAUCUUAUUUUACCCCUUUUGCGCCCGAAUGAUGGUAGUUGGGAAUUUCAUCCUAUCCCAGGCCACGAUCAAGCAGAUUCACAACUUACAAAGUAUUAAACCUAAGACCUCCCUUUUUUUCCUUUGGGGAGUUGUUGUUCGCCUUUGUUUCACUGAAUCACUUGUCCUGGUUUAUUGAUGAUAGUAUUUUACUGGAAGUAAUAUAUCAUACACUCUUUCUUUCUCCCCAAACACCCUUUUUCAAUCUUUUUCGUUGAUUUUGUUGAAAUUAUUCAAUUUGAUAACACAAUACAAAAAAAUGCUUGGGGUUAUCAUUCUUUUAUUCACUAAUCACAAAACCAAUUUGUUAUAUGUGAAAUGUACCAAUUUUUUUUAACACUAUGGAUACAUUCUUUUGCCAUUUAUUAUUUCUUAUUUUUACAUAGUUUUUAUCCAUUUAUUUAAUCAAAAUGUUUGAAUUUUUUUAUUGGAACCUUUUCUAAUAGUAUUAUAAUGAGAGAUUUUAAAUUUAUAGGAUUAUAAAUCUCAUAAAAUAUCAAACAAUUAAUGUCAAAACUAUAAAAAUAAAAAUAUUAAUAGUAAUAUAAUGAGGUGUACAAAGUCAAGGGAUCUUGAUCAAACUUUGAAUACGAUUAAGGUUUUAAUCAAAGAAUGUUAAGGAUUAUGAACCGUAUCCAAAAUAUCCCUAAAAUAAAAUAAAAUUUCUGCCCCCUACCAAACAGCCAUACCAAAGAAGUCAACCUAACAAUGUCACAAUUCCACAGCUAGCCCCUGAAGUUACAGGCAUGGCCAUGAAUUUCACAUUUGAGAAAAGUGAGACCUUACAUGUGCAGCAUACUUAUAAGUAAUUGAAAUGCUCCCAAUAUUACCAAUUAGUUUUAUGGUGCAACCUCAACUUUUUUCAUGCUGCUAGAGCAGAUUGUUCUAUGUAUGAAACCGAACGGCCACAUGUGCUCCAUGUAACACGAUUUAUGUUGUCUACAUGCUAGGCUUGAAAAUCCGUCUUCUGUGAAGUUGCUUAGGGGCCCGGAGGUGAUGGUUGCUCCACCAAGUCUUUGCCCCCACGGUCACCUCGCUUUUAAUUCGGACCCUAUUUUUGUUGCAGGUUACAGACUUUGAGAUGUGGGAUUUUAGAGGGAGAACACUUGAAAGUCGAGCAAUUUUGGAGGGAGAAGACUUAGACCUAGUUUGGGAGUGAGGUGCUUAAAAAAAAAACACCCAUGAAAAAAAGUUGUGAGGGUUUUAGGUGUUUGGUAAACUGAAAAAAAAGAGCUUAUUUUGGAAGCUACUGUGAGAAUAAGCUGAAAUCAAAGGAAAAAGCUGAAGCUGCUAUUUGUAGCUUUGGAAAACUGGCUUUUUUUCAAAUCACAUGGAGCUACAGUGCUUCUUUAAUGAAAAAAUCCAAUAUUAGACUGCUUUUUUUUUUCCAAAAGCACUUUUACAAAAAAGUUUACCAAACACUCUGCUGAUUUAUUUCACAGCCGCUUAUUCUCACAGCACAGCCGCUUAUUCUCACAGCAGCUUUUUUUUCAAAGCACAGUAAUACCAAACCAGCCCUUAGUCAGUCAACAGCCACCGGAAAUGAAGAUAGGAAAGCAACCCGGUAAGACUUGAACAUCAACCCAACCACAAAACCGAAUGACCACUGAAAAUUUCUGGUGUUUGGUGGCAAUGUACUGAGAGUUUGUGGUUGAAAAUCUCUAGGUGUUCUGGAAGUAAGCAGACUGCAUGCAAUAAAGCCUCCAACCAUCUAUCCAAACUAUGUUAAAACCUGGUUGAGCAAAGUUGUAGGCGCUGAUUCUUUCUUUUUCAAAUACUAAUGAAGAAAUUUUUUACAUCUAAAGAGAAAAAAAAAAUGUACUAGCAACGGUUAAUUAUCACCUGACAUAGAAUGAACACAAUAAGAAGCGAGUGAUUUAAGUGCAAGUUUUUAUUUUGGACAAAAAAAGAAGGACGUUCAUGCAACCAAACGUACAAAUAAAGGACUUGUAGGUCAAUUGGUUUAAGUAUUUACCCAUGAGAGAAAAAACACGAUGACGCGUUUAUGGAAUGCAAAUCAUAUAAAGCAAUCAUGAGCACCCAUGUAGGUGGGAGUGUGACAUGCAUCCACUUUCUUCCACUUCUCUUGUGUUGGCACCACUAUUUCUUCAUGGCUACAGAGAUGGCAGAAGACUUCAAAGUCCACAUGAAAGAAGAAAAACUAUUCGUCCCAUUUCCCCUUUUCCGAUUCAACAAUGCGUAUUAAAGCCACCACAACCAUUCUCAGUUUCCAUCACUUUCCCCGAUUAUAGUCCACGGGCCUAGCCCCCAGAGCAGCCACUAAUUAAGACCAAAUUGGUCUCUGACUCACACACCAUUACACAUUCUUUAUAUGCAUGUGUAAUUAUUCCCAACAGAACACAGUAUAUUUACAAAGAAGAAUAACUAGGGACCUGCCUAUUGCCUAAGCUAUUCCUUACUUACAUUUGGUGUCACAUAUCAGCAGCAACUUCCGAUGAAAACUCCUCUGCUUUCAUGGCUUUUCUUAAUCCGCAUUUGCUGUGUUUCACUCAGCUUCCAUACGUUUGUGGUCUCUAGACAAUGUCCCGGCGAUCAGCAAUCUUUGUUGCUACAAUUGAAGAACAGCCUCACAUUUGACCCUGCAACAUCUCAAAAACUUGUGAACUGGAACAAUGGCUCGGAUUACUGCUCUUGGGAAGGAGUGUGUUGCAAAGAGGGUUGUGUUUCGAAUCUGGACUUGAGCAGCGAGGCGAUUACUGGUGGACUUGAUCAUUCCAGUUCUCUUUUUGGUCUGAAGUCAAUUGAGAACCUAAACUUGGCUUACAACUUCUUCAACUACACUCAGCUUCCUUCCGAGCUCAAGCAGCUAACAGGUUUGAGUAAUCUGAACUUGUCGAAUGCUGGCUUUGCAGGGCAGGUUCCAAUUGAGAUUUCACACCUUACGAGGUUGGUAACUCUUGAUUUGUCUACCUUUUAUUUCUCGGGAGCUCUGUUGCUGAAACUUGAGAUGCUGAAUUUGAAUGUGCUGCUUGGGAAUUUUUCUGAGCUUGUUGAACACUAUCUUGAUAGUGUGAAUAUUUCAGCACAGAGAACUGAGUGGUGCCAAGCUAUAUCAUCUUCACUGCCAAAAUUGAGGGUGCUGAGCUUGUCCAGUUGUAAUCUUUCAGGCCCUAUUGAUGGUUCAUUACUGAAGCUUCACUCCCUCUCGGUUAUUCGUUUAGAUAACAAUGAUUUGUCUACUCAAAGUUCCCAAAUUUGACUUCCUUGCACCUAAGCGAUUCUGGCUUAUAUGGUUCAUUCCCAGAGAAGAUCUUCCAGCUACCUACAUUGCAGACUAUUAACUUAUCAGGCAAUCAACAUCUUCAGGGUUCCUUACCAGAAUUUCCAAAGAAUGCAUCUCUCCGGUCCUUGGUUCUAAGCGGGGCUAACUUUUCAGGCCAGCUGCUUCCGAACUCUCUUGGAAACCUCAAAAUGUUGUCCAACAUAGAUAUUUCGGGUUCCAAUUUCACUGGAUCAAUCCCAAGGUCAGCAGGACACCUUCAUCAAUUGGUUUAUUUUGACUUGUCACGGAACAAGUUCAAUGGCUCUGUUCCAUCCUCCAGUAUGGCCAAGAAUCUGACCCUUAUAAACCUUUCUCACAAUCAGCUAACGGGUCAGAUUAAUUCCACUCACUGGGAAAACCUUACUAAUCUGAUGUAUCUCAACUUGAGAUCCAAUCAAUUAGAUGGGUUUAUUUCACCAUCUCUGCUUUCUCUUCCCGUCCUGCAACAAUUACAGCUUUCCAACAAUCACUUCUCUGGUCAGUUGCCUGAAUUUUCAAAUGUCUCUUCGUACUUACUGGGUACCCUCGAUUUGAGUUACAACAAAUUGGAAUGGUCAAUUCCGAUGUCUAUCAUGAAAUUCCAAGGGCUUAAGAUUCUUUUACUUUCAUCAAACAACUUCACCGGCUCUUUCCUUCUGAAUGAUAUUCAGCAGCUAAGCAAUGUUUCAAAUCUUGAUCUUUCUUUCAAUAGCUUGUCUAUUAAUUACAAUGACAUCAAUUCCUCUCCUUGUUCAUCUCCAAAAAUUACCACCUUGAAGUUAGCUUCUUGCAAUUUGAGAAGAAUCCCAGGUUUCUUGCGAAAUCAAUCGACAUUAGGCACUUUGGACCUAUCACAAAACCAGAUUCAUGGUGAGAUACCCAACUGGAUUUGGAAGUUGAGUAGUCUUAGUCAACUAAAUCUUUCUUGCAACUCUUUGUUAACACUAGAAGGUCCUGUCCUCAAUCUUACUUCUAUUUUCUCAGUGCUUGACCUUCAUUCCAACCAGCUUCGGGGACAAAUUUCAGUUCUUUCACCAUUUGUCUAUUAUCUGGAUUACUCAAGAAAUAAUUUCAGCAUUCCGGCUGACAUUGGUAAUUUCCUUAUUGUUAGAGUUGCUGCACAAUAAAACAGGAACAAUAUUACCAGAGAAUGAAGAACGUAAAAUGAAAAUCUGUCUUGGGUUGAGUUGCGGACAAUGUCGCUUUCUUUAAGACGUUUCACGGCUUUGCCCAAUGUGUGCAAACAGUUCGAAUAACACCACGUCGUCCCCAGGAUAAAACAGCCCAGAAUCCCUCUGUCUAGACCUUCCUUUGCACUGAGGAAGAUCCGAAAACACUCACCCUCUGAAUACUCAGUGUUAUUAGCUAGGUUUUUCUUAGUUUUUUUCUUUGUGUGUCGACUAAAGAGAGGUCCUCAAAUUUAUAUAGAAAAACCAAAGUUUAACGUUGAAGAGGUUGAGGGAAAGGUGGCCUAAGAAUCAGGCCAAAAAAUCUGGUAGUGAUCACCUAGUUGAGGAAGACUAGGUCUUUUCCUUUAUCUUCAAAACCAAAAUCUAUUUGAUAAAAUACAAGUAACCAUAAAAAUAGGAGAGCUAGUUCCUGAAUAAAACCAUAACUAUGGUUUUAAAAUAAACACAAAGUUUCAACAAUCCCCCACUUGUUUAUUUAAAAACAAAAUUUGUUCAUUGAGCAAUCAAGUUAUAGAGUUGUGCUUAAGCACAAGUGUUAAUCAACUUGAACUAGUACAUAGUGUCAUUGCCUCAGAACAACAAGUGUUACACCCCACCCCCAAUUAUAUGUAUAAAUUCGUAAUUUUCCCAAAAAUUUAUUGGAAUUAUAAAUUUAGUCCCUAGUUCUUUACCCAAUCCGGAUCUAAAAGUGGGAUUUCCUCCAACCCUCAAACUACCAUGUGGCAGCACCCCAACACUCCUCACUUUUCUCUCUUUUUUCCCCCACCCCGAGACCUCUCUCUCACUCUCACCUUCAGCUCUUUCUCUGCACUCCCUCUUCCUCUCUCGAAAACCCUCUCACUCUCUCUCCCUUCGACCCACACCAGACAGCACCCACAUCACCUUCUCGCUGUCAUCUACACCACCACCAUCAACACCUCAUCUUUUUCUUUCUUUCUCUCUCUCUCUCUCUCUCCAGCGACAGAAAACUCUCCAGUGAGAUUUUCUCAUCUUUCCAGCUAGGUAAGCCUCGGGAUUCUCUCUCUGUGUUUUAGGUUGAUGUUGAGUUCGAUUGUUGAGAGAUUAAUUGUUGUUGAAACACCCCAACCCCAUUUUAUUUAAAAAAUUGUUUUAAAGCCGUAAUUGGUGAGCCUGUGGGGCCCACCUUGUUUUAUUUUUUUGUGUUUCCCAGUCUCCCUUUCUCCUAUCCCAGUUCUCUUUCUUCCUCUUCUUCUUCCCUUUCCCGUAUACCUCUCUCAUCUCUCUCUCCCUCUCUAUCACCAUGAACACCCACCACCAUAACCACCUGCAGCUACUCUACUCGAGAACAUCAUCAUCAUCAUCAAGCAUUGCUCUAGUCUCUCUUCCAUCGCAGCGAGAUUGGUGAAAGCAGAGAAAAGGAACCUCCGGCGAGCACUGACCCUUUCGAGGCCAUUUCCGGCCAAACCAAGGCAAGUUGGCCGGCAUGUAACGUAUCAAUCUCUUCGUCUCCCUGAGUACUACAACUUUCCUUUUUGUUUCACUCAAUUUCGUUGAGUAUUGAAGAAGUUAUACUCAUUUGAAUUUUACCCAGUUUCCGGCGACCUCCGAGUCUUUCAAGGAAUUUUCCGGCCAAACCACGGCGAGUUAGACAUCAUGUGAGGUAUCAUUCUCUUCGUCUCUUCAAGGGCUACAACUUUCAUUUUGUCUCACUUGAUUUCGUUGAGUACUGACAAAGUUAUAGCCGUUUAAAGUUGGGUAGUUUUCCAGCCGAAUUUCCUACCUUCUCCUUCGACAAACCCAGGCCAUCCGGCCUAUCCCAUUUCCUCCCCUCGGGCCUUAGGCCCGUGUUGUCUUAAGCCCAAAACCCUAACCCCUUUAGUUUUUAAGUUUGUUAUUUGGUUUUUAAAACCCUUAAGGCCUGGGCCGGUUUUGACUUAAAGGGCUUAAAGCCCUGUUAGUUUUUGUGAGGCCUUAGGGCCUUGGUGCCGUGGGUGUGUGUGUUAGGUGUGAGUGUGUGUAUGUGUUUAUGCAUGCACAUGCAUGCCCCGUGUGUGUGUGUAUUUGUAGUAUGUGUGUGUGUUUGGGCUAAAGCCCAAACCCCAAUUCUCACCCUAAAGCCUUUUAACCCAAAAACCCUAGGUUUCUAAAACCCAUUUAAAACCCUAAUCCGGAUUUCAAGUCUAAAACUCGUUUGACCUAAUUUGACGGUUGACUCCCGGUCAACGUUGGCCUUCAAGGUUGACUUUUCGGGUUUUUGCUCAAAAUCCCUCUUAAGCUAAUUUCAACGUUCUGAAUCUGUUUCCAACGUCCGUUUUCCCAAAUUCAAUUUCUAUUAUAUAGUUUUAUUUAUUGGACUCUUUAUGUGCUUAGGGGCAAUUAUUGUGACGUUUCCGUCUUCGCUAGUGGCGUAGUUUUUGGCAGCUAAGUACUGUGAGUUGACCCUUUCUAAAAUUACAUGAUUUUAUAGUUUAAUUGCAUAAAUGAUUAGCAUGCCUACGAAUUUAUGAAGUGAUUUAUGUGAAGCCUGUUGAUUUAAUAUAUUGAUUUUCGUCUCGUGUUUUUGGUGAGGAAUUCAUUGUUGGCCUAUAUUGAGCUAUAUUUUAAUAUAUCGUAUUUUCUAUAAAAACCAUGAACUGGUAGACUAUCUGAUAGAUGACGAUAGGAUGCUAGAACAUGUUUUUGAACCCCUCUUUAUAGUGUAGACGAUGAUCGAUAAUCUCAGUUAUGAAGUGGUUAUUUAUGAGAUGCGUGAAUAUUUGUGCGUACCUAGUAGACACUAUGCCGCCUGGGGCGAGGAACUGGUGUUGGCAUUUAGGCCGGGAGAAAUAAUCCCUAGCUAUGGGCUGAGGGACAUGGAGCAGGUAUUGGGCCGGGAGUUGUUAAUCUCUGACUACGGGCGCAGAGACCACGGAGCAGGCAUUGGGCUGGGAGUUAUAUUUAUUCGGUGAUGUUACUAGCAACACACCGCGCUUAUGAGACGAUUUAUGAGACGUUUACUAUUUUGAUUUCCGCGAUGUUAUUCCGCGAUAUGGCUUUUGAGAUAUUUUGGCAUGCUAUGAUUUUUAUUAAAUCCAUCACUUAUUAUGCUAGUAGUUUUCAUUAUAUAAACUGUGGGGGUUAGUAUCUUGAUAACUGUUUUAUUAUUAUUAUUAUAUAUAUAUAAACUUGGCUCACUCACCUUUGUUUUGUGCCCCCAUUCAGGACUUAGAAUCAAGGCAUCUAAUCCCGGCGUGAAGGCACUUCCGCAGCAGCAUAUUCGAGUCCUCUUGGUGUAGGACCCUCAUCCUUUAUUUAUUCAAUUUUAUAUAAAUUCUUUUAGUGAUUAGGUUUAGUUGUAUGCUCUAAACACGUUCCUAAAUUGUUAGUUCAUUGUAUUUCAAAUUUCUAACCCUUAUUUAUUUCUUAUUCUUAGCUUUUGUAUCAAUUAAUGGCUUUCGUCACCCUCGGGUGUCGGCCAGCACGUGUCUAUCCUGGUAUUCGGGGAAUAUCAGGGUCAGGGCGUGUCAGUUGUUGGCAAGGUUUAAAACGAGAAAACGAGACUGGCUCGGGGAAACGAAACCCAUCUCCAACGAGUCCCAUGGGUGUCGAGGAGUUUUUUUACCACCACUGGCCGUUUCACGACGAACCAAAGGUAUCAAAUCACUCAUUUCACUUUCCACUACAUGUUGAUACUAGAUCGAAGCUUAGGGUCCUUGUUUAUCGUCAGCCGGAGCUGGGAAAGCUUCGACGUUCACCUCUAUCAAGCCCAAGCCUUUCAGGCCGUUUCAAACCCUCAGGUUUUAGGCCCGUUAAGAACCUAGCCCAAAAUCCUUUUCCGUUUCAUUUUUAUUUUUUAUUUUAAUUGUUUUAAAACCUAAAAGGCUUUCGGGCAUGUUCCUUUAAGGCCUUUAGCUCAUUGACCCAACCCUAAAAAAAUCUUAUAUUUGGGCCAGGCGUUUAAGCCUGGGCCUGUGUGAUUUAAAACCCAGGUUAAGGCUUUAGGGCCAAAUAGAACUUGGGCUUCCAGCCCAACCCUAAGCCUAUUUCCCUAAACCCAUUAACCCUAAACACGGUCUAACCCUAAGCCCAGACCCUGUUUGGCCUGGUCUGACCCGAACCCGUUAACUUUAACCUGAUCUGACUGUUGACCCUUUCGGAUAUUAAAAUCUUUCAUCUUCCCCUUCUACACCUGACUCUUUAUGUCGGCACAUUUCUGAUCAAGUUCCUGGGCUUCCCUGACCAUAUCCACCAAAACAUAUCUAACCUGGAAGUGUGCCAACCAAGCUUUCUGAUCACGCGGUUUCACAGUAAUGCUGGUUUCUCGAAGAGAAAAUAGUAACGGAACAUGGAUAGCUCCAAGAGAAGCAAGAUGUCCGUGAUAUUUCCGGCUAAGUGCAUCCGCCACUACAUUGGCAUGUCUGAGAUGAUAUUCGAUCGUGCAGCCAUAGUUAAUGAUGAGCUUCAUCCAUCUUCUUUGCCUCAAACUCAAAUCUUUCUGCAUAAAGAUAUAUUUGAGGUUCUUAUGAUCAGUGAAGAUGCGGCACUUCUCGCCAUACAGGUAAUGUCUCCAGAUUUUCAGAGUAAACACCACUGUGCCAAGUUCCAAAUCAUGAGUGGGAUAAUUUCUCUCGUGGGUCUUGAGGUGCCUAGCAGCAUAGGCAAUGACUUUCCCAUGCUGCAUCAAUACACAACCAAAACCUGAAAGAGAUGCAACAAUGUAGAUCUCAAACUCACCACCCUCUUCCGGAAGGGCAAGGACUGGAACUUGAGUAAGAUGUUGCUUCCACUCCUGAAAACUCUGUUCACAGUUUUCAUCCCACUCAAACUCGACCUCCUUCCAACUUAACUUAGUCAAAGGCAAGGCAAUUGCUGAGAAACCCUUAACAAAUCGUUGGUUAUAGCCAGCUAGACAUAGAAAACUCCUCACCUUUGUAACAUUCCUCAGUUGCUCCCAUGUAGAUAUUGCCGAAACCUUCUGAGAAUCCACACUAAUUCCCUCAGCAGAUACUACAUGUUCGAGAAAGCUGAUCUGGUUUAGCCAGAACUGACACUUACUGAAUUUAGCAUACAACUACUGACUUUUCAACCUUUCCAACACCAACCUCAAAUGUUUCCUGUGUUUGGCAACAUUCUUAUAAUAGAUCAGGAUGUCAUCGAUGAACACAAUCAUAAACCAGUCCAGAUACAGUCUGAAGACACUGUUUAUCAAAUCCAUAAACGCUGCAGGUGCAUUCGUUAAUCCAAAAGGCUUGACAUAGAAUUCAAAGUGUCCAUACCUGGUACGGAAGGCAGUAUUCGGUACAUCUUCCUCCCGGAUUAGUAGCUGGUGAUAACCUACGCGAAGAUCAAUCUUAGAGAACACCUAAGCACCAUUCAGUUAGUCAAACAUGUUGUACAUGCCUCAAGAUAACGAAGUGAUGAAAAAGGAAAUCUUGGAUGAAGCACACAUUUCAGCAUAUGCCAUGCAUUCGAGAAGCACCAAACUGUAUCACACUAUUCGUCUGUUCUAUCACUGGGUUGGAAUGAAACGGGAUAUGGCGGAUUAUGUGAGUAGAUGUAUUAUCUACCAACAGGUGAAGGCUAAGAAACAACGACCUAGGGGACUAAUGCAAAAUCUUCCGAUACCAGUAUGGAAAUGGGAAGACAUCACCAUGGAUUUUACGUAUGGUUUGCUGAGGACAUAGUCGGGAUUUGACAACAUUUGGGUAAUUGUAGAUCGACUCACUAAGACCACUCACUUAUUGCCUGUUCGGCAAACCUAUUCACUAGAAAAGCUAUCGAAGUUGUUCAUCGAUAAUAUUGUCAGAAUUCACGAUGUACCCGUCUCCAUCGUUUCAGACAGAGAUCCCAGGUUUACUUCUAGGUUUUGGAAAGUUUUUAAUACUGCCAUAGGUACUCAAUUGUUGUACAGCACUGCCUACCAUCCUCAGACCGAUGGUUAGUCCGAGCGGAUAAUUCAGGCAUUGGAGGACAUGUUAAGAGUGUCUGUUAUUCAGUGGAAGGGUAAUUAGGAUAGCUACCUGUCGUUGGUUGAGUUUACAUACAAUAACAGCUAUCAUUCAAAUAUCGACAUGGCACCUUAUGAGGCUUUAUAUGGGAAAGUGUUUCGGACACUGUGGUGUUAGACAAAGGUCGGCAAACGAGUGUUAGUGGGGCCAGAGAUUGUGGACACCACCAAUGCUAACAUCCAGCUGAUUAAGAGAAACCUAAAGGUAGCAUAAGACCGACAGGAUAAAGUUUUGAAGAACAAAGUUAUUUCGUUGGUGAAAGUGCUUUGGAGGAACCAUGUUGUUGAGGAAGCGAAGUAGGAAACGGAGAAUUUGAUGAGAAGUCAGUACGCGUUUUUAUUUGGUUGAGGUUGUAAUUUCGAGGAUGUAAACUUUUUUAAGAGGGUAGAUUGUUACACUCCACCCCCAAUUAUAUGUAUAAAUUCGUAAUUUCCCCAAAAGCUUAUUGGAAUUAUAAAUUUAGCCUUAGUUUGUUACCUAAUCCAGAUCUAAAAGUGGGAUUUCCUCUCAACCCUCAAACUGCCACGUGGCAGCAACCCAACACUCCUCACUUUUCUCUCUUUUUCCCCUACCUCAAGACCUCUCUUUCACUUUCACUUUCAGCUCUCUCUCUGUGCACUCCAUCUUCCUCUCUCGAAAAUCCUUUUACUUUCUCUCCCUUUGACCCACACCCGAGAGCACUUACACCACCUUCCCGACGUCAUCAACAACACCACCAUCAACACCUUGUCUCUUUCUUUUUCUUUCUCUGCUCGCUACGAGGACGGGGAAAGACUGAAAACUCUUCGGUGAGAUUUUCUCAUCUUUCCAGCUAGGUAAGCCUUAGGAUUCUAUCUUUCUAUUUUAGGUUGAUGUUGAGUUCGAUUGUUGAGAGAUUUAAUUGUUGUUGGCAAGGUCUAAAACGAGACCAGCUAGGGGAAACAAAACCUAUCUCCGACAAGCCUUGUGGGUGUCGAGGAGUUUUCUGACCACCACCAGCCGUUUCACGACGAACCAAAGGUAUCAAAUCACUUCUCUCACUUUCCUCUACAUGUUGAUACCUAGAUCGGAGCCUAGGGUCAUUAUUUGCUGUCGAUCGGAGCUAGGAAAGCUCCGGCGUUCACCUCCGUCAAGCCUAGGCCUUUUAGGCCGUAUCAAACCCUCGGGCUUUAUGCCUAUUAAGAACCCAGCCCACAAUCCUUUUUUGUUUCUUUUUUAUUUUAAUUAUUUUAAAACCAAAAAAGCUUCGGGCCUAUUCUUUUAGGGCCUUGGCCCGUUGACCCAACCCUAAAAACUCUUAUAUUUAGGCCAGGCAUUUAAGCCUGGGCCCAUGUGAUUUAAAACCCAGGUAAGGCCUUAGGGCCAAAUAGAACUUUGGCUUCCAGCCCAACCCUAAGCCCAUUUCCCUAAACCCAGUCCAACCCUAACCCGUUUAACUUGGUUUGACCUGGACCUGUAACCCGUUGACUUUGACCCGAUCUGACCGUUGGCCUGGUUAACGUUGACCAUUGACUUUGACUUUCGGGUUGACUUUUCUGGUUUCGUCCUAAACUCCUCUUAGGCUAAUUUCGACGUCCUGAACCCAUUUCUGACGUACGUUUUCUCAAAUUAAGUCGUUUGAGUAGAGUUGACUAAAUGUACCCUUUAUAUGCAUAGGUGAAAUUAAUAGCAGUGUUCCGUUAUUUCUUUUGGUAUAGCUUUGCACCAAUGGUGUACGGUGAGUUGACCCCUUCUAAAAUGCAUGUUUUAAUAGUAGAAAUGCAUACAUGGAAAAGCAAGAUUUAACAAUAAUGUUCUAUGAAACAUGAUGAGAUAACAUGCUUAUUGAGGCUAGAUUGAAUUACUAUUACUUUUUCUAUAACCCGUGUUCUUUAUAGAAUAUCUUAUGAAUGACGAUAUACUAUUUAGAACAUGUUUAGAACACUUCUUUAUAGUAUAGAUGAUGGAUGACUUUAUACUAUGAAGUUGCCUUUCAAAUAAAUGUAUGUUCCAAUGGUUUUGUACUUACCUAGUGGUCCCUAUUCCGCUACGGGGCGAGGGAUAGAUUCUGUUCCGGGCGACAGUUAUGGUGUUGACAUAGGGCUUGAAGUUUUUUUUCCUCUAGCAAUUAGCAUAGGGAUGGGGAGCUGGCAUAGUGCCUGGGGGUUAUUUUCUUCUGACAACUGGUACAGAGACGGGGAGCUAACAUGGGGCCUGGGGGUUAUCGGAUAUUCACUAGUGAUUAUUAUAUAUACAAGAUAUGUUUUGAGACAUUGCACGACAUGCUAUGUUUCGGAAAAUAUAUUUUAUCAUGUUAUAUAUGUUUUCAUAAAACCUGAAGGUUAGUAUGUUGAUAACUGUUUUAUUAUAUCCAUAUCAACUUGGUCUACCCUUGUUUGUUUUGUGCCCCCUUCAGGAUCUAGGAACGAGGAAUACGAUUUGAGCUAUGAGGCAUUCCCCUACCAGUGAUAUCGUGUUAUAUUCUCUCUGCUUCGGCAUCUGUUGUAAUAACACUCUCUAUCUUAAAUUUCCGCUUGUACUCUGUAUUAGACUUAUACUCUGAACAUGUCAUGCAUAAUCUUAAUAUUAAUUGUUAGCAGUUGAACUUUAGUAUUGUGUUAUUCGUCCCUAUUGCAUGGUUAGUCCCAAUUUAUAUGCAUGGUUCACAUGUUCUUAGCAUUUGCAUAAAUUAAAUGGCUUUCGUCACCCUUUGGGUGUCGGCCAACACGUGACCAUCCCGAUGAUCCGAGGACAUCGGGAUCAAGACGUGUCAACAAGAGUAACACUUGGUUUUGAACUCUACCUCUGACGACAAAGCAUACACAUCUCUUCUAGGGUGAAGUUCGAAACCAGCACGUUUCGGCCUUGUGCUUGUAUCCCGGUUUAGUGAUAAUGUUAAGAAGUUUGCCCUUAAACUUCUCAGUUUGUGGCCUCACCUUCAUCAUGACAUAGGUGAAACUAUCAAGGACAUUUCUACAGCUAGAUGUCCCACUAAAUAAAAGUAUAGUUAUCAUUAAGAGUAUCACAAACUCAUCCUUCUAAUCGCUAUAGGAUGUCAUGCUUCUGUAAAUGAUUAAAAUGACAUUUCUUAGCUUCAUAGCAUGAUUCCAUAUCACUUCAUGACUUGUUAUUACCUUUUGAACCAAUUUCUCAGGAUCUCUAGUCUAUUGGUUGGGUUACCAUCAUAAGUGACUCAACUAUCUAAAGGCAAUAACCUCAUUCCUUUGGAGGGUUUCCAAACUUUCUCACAAGCUAAUCAUUUCGUCAAAGGAUCAGCAAUAUUAUCCUCGGACUUUACAUGAUCCACUCAAAUAGCCCUAUUAGAGAGAAACCAUCUGAUUGUGCUAUGUUUUCGACGUAUUUGACAUCUUUUACCAUUGAAUAUCGAUUCUUAAUCUUUGCAAUAGUUGCAGUGCAAUCACAAUGAAUGAGAAAUGCUGGUAUAGGUUUUUCCCAUAAUGGAGUGUCGGAUGGUAAAUCUCUAAGCCACCAUGCCUCUUCACUGGCAGUUGCUAAUGCAAUCAUUUCUAGUUCCAUUGUAGAUUGUGCUAAUAUUUUCUGUUUUUUAGACUUCCAUGACACUACAGCUACUGUUAUCUUAAAGAUGUAGCCACUCGUGGCUUUGGAGUUUUUUGGCAGUGUGUUCCAAUUAGCAUCACUAUACCCUUCAAGGACAGCAGGAAAUCUCUCAUAAUUUAAACCAUGAUUAAUGGUCAUCUUGAUGUAACAUCCCACAUCAACCAACGGAGAGAGGGUGAUGUGCCUUAUAUGUACAUACCCACCUCCAUAUAGCACGAGGCCUUUUGGGAGCUCAUUGGCUUCGAGUUCUAUCGGAACUCCAAAGGUAAGCGAGUUCGCACGAGAGCAAUCCCAGGAUGGGUGACCCACUAGGAAGUUCUAGUAUGAUUUCCCAGAAACAAAACCGUAAGGGCGUGGUCGGGGCCCAAAGGGAACAAUAUCGUGCUACAGCAAAGUCAUGCCCGAGAUGUGGUGGAGACAGGGCCUGGAUGUGACAAUUUGGUAUCAAAGCCAAUCCCUGACCAGAAGUGUGCCAACGAGGAUGUUGGGCCCCUAAGAAGGGUGGAUUGUUAGAUCCCACAUCGCCUAGGGGAGUGGAUCCUUUUUGCCUUGUAUGUACAUGCCCACCUCCAUAUCGCACGAGGCCUUUUGGGAGCUCACUGGCUUCAGAUUCCAUCGAAACUCUAAAGUUAAGCGAGUUCGGGCGAGAGCAUUCCUAGGAUGGGUGACCCACUGGGAAGUUCUCAUCUAAGUUCUCAGAAACAAAACCGUGAGGGCGUGGUUGGGGCCCAAAGCAGACAAUAUCAUACUACGGCGGAGCCAAGACUGGGAUGUGGUCGAAUGGUAUCAGAGCCGCUCCGCCGUUCGGUAUGGAUAUGCCGACGAGGAUGUCGAGCCCUUAGGGAGGGUGGAUUGUAACAUCCCACAUCGACCAACGGAGAGGGGGUGAUGUGCCUUAUAUGAACAUGCCCACCUCCAUAUAGCACGAGGCCUUUUAGGAGCUCACUAACUUCAGGUUCUAACGGACAAUAUCGUGCUAUGGCAGAGCCGAGACUGGGAUGUGACAUAAUGGUAUCAGAGCCACUCUGCCGUUUGAUAUGGAUGUGUCGACGAGGACGUUGGGCCCCUAAGGGGGGUGGAUUGUAACAUCCCACAUCGACCAACAGAGAUGGGGUGAUGUGCCUUACAUGUACAUGUCCACUUCGAUAUUGCACGAGGCCUUUUGGGAGCUCACGUGCUUAUCAUUGGGACUGCUUGUAAAUCUGCACAACAUUCCACGACAUAGGCUAUGUCUAGUCUAAUGCAAUCACUAGCAUAACGAAGGCUACCAAUAGUGCUCAUAUAUUCAGGUUAUCUAACACUGUUGCCAGUGUUCUUGAACAAUUUCACACUAGAGUCAUAGGGAGUGCAUGCUGGUUUACAAUCAAAGUAGUUGUACUUCUUUAGAACCUUCUCAAUGUAGUGAGAUUGGUCUAAAUAGAAACCUUUCAUAGACAUAGUAAUCUUGAUCCCAAGGAUUACAUUUGCAUCACCUAGUCUUUCAUAUCAAAGUUAUCACAAAGCAGUUUUAACUUCAUUCACAACAUGCAAAUUGGAUCCAAAUAUCAACAAAUCAUUAACAUACAGACAUAUCAAUGUGCACAGAUUAUUUUCAGACUUUGAAUAGAUACAUUUAUCACUUUCAUUAAUUUUAAAACCUUUAAAGAUAAGUAACCCAUCAAACUUAGCAUGCCAUUGCUUUGGUGCCUGUUUUAAACUAUAGAAAGACUUGUCUAACUUACAUACUUUAUGUUCUUGUUUGGGUAUUACAAAACCUUCAUGUUGUUCCAUAUAUAUCUCUUCUUCUAAGUCACCAUUUAAGAAAGUAGUUUUAACGUCCAUUUGAUGCACAACAAGAUCAUUAAUGGCAGCUAAAGCAAACAAAACUCGAAUUGAAGUUAUUCUCGUGAUUGGUGCAUAAGUAUCAAAGAAAUCAACAUUUUCUCUUUGUCUAAAACGUUUAGCUACUAACCUGGCUUUAAACUUCUCCAUUGUACCAUUGGGGUUUAGCUUUCUUUUUAGCACCCAUUUGCAACCGAUAACCUUGCACCCUGGAGGAAGAUCUACUAAGUGCCAAGUCUUAUUGGAUUCGAGAGAAUCCAUUUCAUCAUUUAUGGCUUCUUGCCAUAAGUCUGCAUCCAACAAGGUCAAUGCUUCUUGAAGAGUUCUUGGAUCUUCUUGCAAAGUAUAAGCAUGAAAGUCUGAACCAAAGUCUUUGGCUACUUUGAUUCUCUUACUUUUCAUUGGCUCAAGGUCAAUUUCAGCCGAAUCAAGUAUAGCAUUUCCAUUAACUCUAGGUGCAUCCAUCAUAAUAGUAUUAGAACCCUUACUAUUUCUUAACUUGAAAGGAAACUUCUCUUCAAAGAAAUCAGCAUCAUUAGAUUCAAUAACAACAUGGUUUUUCAAAUCAUAAAACCUAUAUGCUUUGCUAUUGUAUGCAUAACCAAUGAACACAUUCAAAAGCUCUACUAGCUAGCUUUGAUCUUUUAAGGUUAGGUUUUCUUACAUAGGCCAAACAGCCCCGAGUUCUCAAGUAAGAUACAUUUGGUUUCUUAUUUUUCUAGGUUUCAUAAGGUGGAAUUUUGGUUUUCGAAGAGGGAACCCUAUUGAGUACAUAAUAAACAGUCAAAGUAUUUCACCCCACCAAUAUGAAACACUCCCCGAGUUAAGUAAAAUAGCCACAGUCAGUUCACUAAGUGUUCUAUUUUUUCUCUAAGCUUUGCCGUGUAUUUCUGGGGAAUAAGGAGCAGUGGUUUCAUGUAUUAUUCCUAGUUUCUUACAAAAUUCAGUGAAAGCUCCAGAUUCAUACUCUUGUCCUCUAUCACUUCGCAACCUUUUAAUUUUUCGGUUGAACUGGUUUUCUACUUCACUUAUGAAACAUUUAAACAUGUCUAGGGCUUCACUUUUAUGUUUCAUUAGGUAGACAAACCAAUAGUUUGAAUGAUCAUCUAUGAAAGUUAUGAAGUACCAUUUUCCAUUUCGAGUUACUACACCAUCGAAUUCACAAAUAUCAGAAUGUAUCAGGUCUAGUAAUUCGGUUUUUCUAAGAACUAACCUAUGUGGAGUGAUGCGUAAAAUAUAAGCAGACAAAUUAAACCCUCUUUUUAUCAAAUGUAGUAAAGUAUGUAAGUAGGGAUCGUUCUAGACCGGGGAUUAGGAGGGAUUGCUAAAUCACUUGGAAACUGACUUGAAAACGUAAAAACAAAGUUUAAAACACUAAACUAGACUCAAAGAAUGCAAAACUAUAUUUUAAAAUACUAAGAUAAACAAGAAGACUCAAACAGCACUCAAAACACUUAAAAACAUAAUCUAAGACAAAUUCUAAUUAAUAUGACUCAAAGAAAUAAGAUGGGGUUGAUUUUGGACGAAAAUAAUUAAAUUAAGACAAGAACAAAGUAAACAGAUUCUUAGACAAAUUUGGGUGAAUCAAAACAGAUUGUAAAUGAAUUUGAAUUUAACUUAUGGAUGGAAGGCUAGCUAGGAGGUUCUUCUCCACACAUGUCACACUUGCAUACAAAACGAUUUCCAGUUGCUUUUCGAUAAACUAUGAAUACUCAACGCCCCAAAUUAACCGUGAAUUGCACUAAUUAACCCUCAGUUUUUCCACAAGUUAUUAGGUUGGAUGAUUGCAUACGACAACCCAAAACAUUCCCUACAAGUUCCCUACAUGAAUUGCAUAAUAGAGAUACAAGCAAGAAUCAUUAAGUUCUAUGAAAAACAUAAGCAUUGACGAGGCACUCGUUACUAUGAUUUGCAUGAAACUUAUGCCAAGAAUUUACUUAACGUGAUUGUGACUAGCAACCUUCACUACUUGUGAAUAUAAGUUCAUAACGAUUAGGUGAAACUCCCUUAUAUUCUAGCGUCAAAUUCAUGCAUGAAAAUUAAGCGUGCACUCUCAACCAACAUACACAAAUCAGUUUUUAUACGAAUGGAUAAGUAAAUUGAAUUCACAACUUAUGAAUCACAACUGGAUGUAAUCAAAUCAUAUUGCAAGCAUGAACAUAGUUUCGAAUCACCCCCUAACUAAGAGGGGUUUAGUUCCUCAUACUUACAACGCAAAGAUGCAUAAAUUUAGACAUUAAAAACAAAGAUAGAAAACACCUAGAAACGCUCCAACACUCCCAAGGCUUGGGCAUAGGCACGGCACAAGAUGUUCCUUCUCUUUCCUUCCUUGCAAGCAGCGGCACUAGAGGUUUUGGACGGUUUUUGGUGGUUUUUAUGGUGUAGAAAGGAUGGGGAAUGGUAUGGAAAGGUUUAGGAUUGAUGGGUGGUGUGGCUAGGGGUGGUUUUUGGCUAAAUUUGGAGAGAACAUUUGUUAUGACUUUGAUGAAUAUGGAAGGUGGUAUUUAUAGGCUUGAGAUAGGACCACUCCAUUUCCUUUGCAUGUGAGCUUGUGUGGGUGUGUGUUGGCAUGUUUCCCCUUUACAUUUACACACACAUGCUUCAUCAUUUCAAUCACAAAACACACACAUUUUCUGCCAUGUUUUUCCCUUUACAUUUACACACACAUGCUUCAUCAUUUCAACCACAAAACACACACAAUUCCUUCCACUUUGCCGUGAGUUUUGUAUGUGUAUGCUUCAAUGCUCUUCUCUUUGCCAUGUGUUUGCUUUCUUUGCCAUGUGUUUGCUGCCAUGUUUUCCCCUUUACAUUUACACACACAUGCUUCAUCAUUUCAAUCACAAAACACACACAAUUCCUUCACCUUUGCCAUGAGUUUUGUCUUCACUUUGCAUGUGGGCUUCUUUGCAUGUGUUUUCUCCCUCUCUUGCCUUGAGUUUGCAUGUGGGCUUCUUUGCAUGUGUUUAUCCUUGCAAUUACACACACACACUUGCACACACAUAUGCCCAAAACGUCCAUCCUCAUGCAUGCAAUCCAUUUGAGCCCAAUAUUGAUCCAACAUGCACCAAAAUGCAUUUUUCUUGCCAAGGUUGUUAUGAAGGCCUACAAACAAAUGAAAAUGGCUUUAAACACUAAAAUAACUAUGGAAACACAACGUAAACGCACGAGAACAAGCCAAUUAAGUUGCAUAAAAAUGCUCCUAUCAUGGAGCUUUAGUUAUCUUAGCUUAACUGUAGAACUCACAUUUCUCAAAAUUAUUAAGUGAAAGUUCUGGUAGUAAACCUAAGUUACUCAUUUGUUUUACUAGCCUUUUGUUUACGUGACAAAAUCUUGCAUCCUAAAUAUUAAAUGAACACAACAUGUAAGCAGAAGAAACAAUUUUAUUCAUGGCAUCAGUUGAUGCACAAAACCAGAGAGGUCUUGGAACAAUGUAAAUCCGACCGUGAAUCUGCAAGAAAGUAAAGAACACAAGAUGUAUCGUGGUUCACUCCAAUGUUUGGGCUACGUCCACACUGAUGUUGAUUGUAUUUCUCUGUAAUUGUAUGUAUGGAUUACAAGUGUGAGGGGGAGUCCCCCAGAGAAAUAGAGAGUUUAAGAGAGCUUUGCUCUGAAUAUGAGAGCCUCUAUUUGAGGAUGUGAGGCUUGAGGAUUGUGAGGAUGAAAAGGCCCUUUUAUAGACUAAGGGCUCAUCCCCUUUUACAUAAAUCAUGGGCUCAAUGUCUGGAAGCCCAAGUAACAAGGCUCAAUAUAAUAUGGUACCAACAGUGAUCCCCCAAGUCUUCAGUUAAGAGAGUCUUUUGGCUGGAGACUUGAAAUUCAGACCAUGUGUGGACUGAAGUAACUAGAUGUCGUUUAGAACUAAUACUCGAUAUGAGGCGGGGCUCAAAGUGAAAUAAUGCUCAACUAGAAGUAACACAUGUUGCAAGGUUGCUCGGGUUAUGGCUUAUGUUGCCUUGGUUGGCUUGGCUUGUGGCGUUGAAGGUGAGGGAGUCCAUUUUAUAGAAUAAGGGCUCGCUCUUUAAUACAUAAAUGAUAGGCUAGAGUUGAUGCUCGCGGCGAGGCGGUUGCUCAGCAGGCGGCAAUGCUUUCUAAUGAUGGUGAGAGAGUCCCUUUUAUAGAAUAAGGGCUCGCUCCUUAAUACAUAAGUGAUAGGUUAGAAGUGAUGCUUGUGGCGAGACGGUUGCUCAGCAAGCGGCGAUGCUCUCUAAUGAAGGUGAGGGAUUCCCUUUUAUCGAAUAAGAGUUCGCUUCUCAAUACAUAAGUGAUGGGCUAAGAGUCUCUCUCUAAUGAAGGUGAGGUGUCUCUUUUAUAAAAUAAGGGUUCACUCCUCAAUACAUGAAUAAUGGGUGCUCUCUAAUAAAAGUGAGUGAGUCCCUUUUAUAGAAUAAGGGUUCGCUCUUUAAUACAUAAAUGAUGGGCUAGAGUUGAUGCUCGUGGCGCGGCGAUUGCUCAGCAGACGGCGAUGCUCUCUAAUGAUGGUAAGGGAGUCUCUUUUAUAGAAUAAGGGCUCCCUCCUCAAUACAUAAAUAAUGGGCUAAGUCCCCCAAGUAUUUUUCAUGAGGCCCAGUUGUGGAAGCCCAAUAUAUAAUACAUAGUGUAGUCCCCCAAGUCUUCAGUCAAUAGAGUAUGUUGGCUAAAUACUUCAAAUUCAAUCCAUGUAUGGGCCGAAGUGGCGGUAGUUCGGAGUCGGUCUUUGUAUACCAUGCACUGAAGAUUUGUAGGUGAAGCUUUGAAAGUGAAGCUUUGAAGUUGGAGCUUUUGUAAAUGAAGUUUUUGAAGCUGAUUGACAUGAGUGAUGCUCAUGAAUAUUUAUGUUGAUUAACAUGAGUGAUGCUCAUGGAUGUUGACAUGAAUAUUGACAUGAGUGAUGCUCAUGAAUGUUGACAUGAGUGAUGCUCUUGAAUGUUUAUGUAUGAUUGACAUGAGUGAUGCUUAUGUAUAAUUUUUGGAGUACUGGACGUACUUUUGAUCACCUAUUUGGUGAUAAUAGCGGCAGGGUACCGAAUAAUUUUAGAGUACUGGACGUACUUUUGAUCACCUGGUUGGUGAUAAUAGCGGCGAGCUGCCGAAUAAUUUUGGAGUACAAGACGUACUUUUGAUCACCUGGUUGGUGAUAAUAGAAGCAGACUGUCGAAUAAUUUACUAGACGUACUUUUGAUCACCUAGUGGGUGAUAAUAGCGGCAGGGUACCGAAUAAUUUUAGAGUACUGGACGUACUUUUGAUCACCUGAUUGGUGAUAAUAGCGGCAGACUGCCGAAUAAUUUUGGAGUACUGGACGUACUUUUGAUCACCUGGUUGGUGAUAAUAGAGGGUGAACCUUUAAGUAGAGGGAUGGAGGUUGAAGCCAUAGGGCCUGGCUCUUUUAGGCAUAUGGGUCUUCGCCCUCCACAUAACAUUCCAGCCCAUUAUUUUGGGCUUGCCCUUUUUUUUUUUUUUUUUUUUUUGUGGCAUGCUGCCUUCUUUAUUUAUUUAUGAGCCUCUGUUAAGGUUAUACAGAUGUCUCCAAAAGAUAAGAAAAGUAAAUCACAUCAUUCAAAACAAAGGUUUCGACACAAAAGCUUUGACAGUUGCAGAUCGUUGGUGCGUAAUGGGUUGUUACAGAUCUUUUUCCAUGAGCGUAUUGCUCUUACUGAAUGUUUUACCUUUUCCUUUCUCUUUAUUUUUCUUUCUUUUGGCAGAUGACAGACAAGGGAAUAAUGUCAUUUCCUUGUUUUUGUAGAGGCAGAUCAGGAGAGAUGAGGAUGAGAUAUUCUUCUUUCCUUCUUUUUCCCUUUUUUUUCUACUUUUGCUUUCUUCUUUUGCUUUUGUUUCCCGCUCCAUUUCCAAACAUCCUUUUGGAGGUCAUCAACCCACCUAUGCUUGCAUGCCCCUAAUCCAAACCCUUCAACCCUAGCCCAACACAUCGAGACAUAACUGGCAGUAGGAGAUGGGUGAGGAGAGGUAGAGCGCCUUGUUGAGUCGUUGUAGAGUCAUGUUGAAGGAAAUGUGGACGAGGUUCUGUUCCGACGCGACGUUGGAGCCAGGGAAGUCAAGGAGGGAGUCGACGCAGAGGGAGAGAAAACGCGUCUACGCGUUUGAGAUGGCAUGCGUCUGCUUACAGCGGAGGAUGGAUGAGGCGGCAGGGUUUGAGGCUUUGGAUUUUCAGACGAUGAGUACCACGGCCGAGACGGUGGAGGCGAGGAUGAGUGCCACAGCAAGGAGGAACAUUAGGAUGAGCUUGUUCUUGCGGCUGCGGUCGUUGGAGCAAAAUGAUGAUGUGGCAGUUUGUGGGAGUGAUGAGUUUUCCACCACGUAGAAACUAGGGGAGCCUCUAGGGUCCAACAGCUGGAGUCUACCAUAGCCCAUUUCUCUUUAGGUGCAGAACAUUAAUUCUUCUAGAGAAUUCAUCUAACCAAUCCACAAAACUUUCCUUCUCUGAUGACCCAGAACCAGAAGCAUUCUCCUCACCCUUCUUCUCAACCUUUUUUCUCAUUUUAAUCCCUCUUACAAGACCCAUCAGCGCACAGCCCACAACCACUAAAUCGAAUCAAAACCCAGAAACCCUCCAGCCCCAAACAACAGAAAGAACACAAACCUUUGACAUGUGGGUUUGUGUUUGUUUAGGACAACGUUGCAACACGAGAGAGAGACAUGGGCAUUGCUGCUUUUACUGUUGGCUGCUGAGAGAUCUCGGCCGUUGGUGAGUUGGACGGAGCUUUAUGAAUUAGGGAGGAGAUCUACGGUAGGGAAGUAGGCGGAAGGGCAGAAGGAGCGGUUUAAAAGGCUGGUGAAGAAGAAGGUGGUGGCGACCAAGAGGAGGACUCCGAUCUGGUACGUGCGGGUGUAGAGAGGCUGCUGGUGGUACUGCACACUGAAUGGUCGGUGACAAUAAAUUACGCUUCCCAUUUUCAGGGUGUGGAAAAGAGUAUCUAUCUUCAAGAUCUAGGAAAAUGGUCAUCUCAUGAUGCAAUUGGAAAAGUCUUGGACAUGACCUGACCAUCUUUGAGAUAUGGGUUGCAGAGAAUCUAUGGCUUCUGAGAAAGGGCAAAAAGUAGUCUAUAUUUAGAGACAUGAAAAGACGCGGUGGUAGCUGUGUUGUUGAGAGAGAGAUGGAAACUGCAAUUUCAGAGAAGGUGCAGAUGACGGAGAGAGAGAAAUGGAAAUGGCGGAGAGCUGGAGGUUUCCGAGAUGGCUGACAAACAUGGUGUGAUAGGAGCAUAUUUAUACGACUUAGUUAGCUUGUUUUCUUGCUUUUAAUUAGCUAAACUAUGAUAAUUAUAGUGUUUAAAGUUAUUUUCGUGCAAUUUCAGGUUUUAGUGUCAAAGUAUGCAAAAAGAAGCAAUUUGGAACAUUCUAGAGCAUUUUUGGGCCAAGAUUGGAUUGUGCAAGCAUGGAGGCAUGAGGAUGGACGAAUUUGAAGACAAAAGAGGCUAUGAACAUGCUAAAAAUCUGGUGAAACAAAUAUAAGUUGCAAGAAGGGAUAAAUUUCUAGAAGGAUUGACCAAAACUUCACUCAAAACCAAGAAAUUCUUCAAUGCCGUGGGCAUUGAUUCACUUUCACCAGAAAUUUGAGUGAUGAUGCAAUGCUUAAAUCACCAUGACAUGUGAGUGGAUGAUGCAAUGCUUAACUCACCAUGACAUGUGAAUGGAUGACUCAAUACCUAACCCACAAACAAUUCCCACUCUUUGCCAUGCUCACCUACUCAAUUCCACCAAAAUUUUGUGUUAAACAAAUCCAUCCUUUUCCUAUAAAUACCAUGGCAACAACCUCAUUCAAAUCAUCCAGAAAUUAACCAUUCUCCAAGCCUUUCCUUGCCUCUCCUACAUAUCUAAACCCCUUCCCAUCCAUUCCUCCAAAUAACCAACCCUUCAACAUCAUUCCAACCUUGUUGUUGCGGCAAGGAGAAGGAGAAAAGUCCUUGGACGCGCUUGCUAUCCAACAUGGAUCAUUGGAACGUUUAGGUGCUUUCUUCCCUUUGUUUUUCAAUGGUUAAAUUUGUUUAUCUUUGUUUUGUAAUAAUGAGGAACUAAACCCCCCUUGGCUAGGGGGGAUUCGAAACCAUGUUAAUGCUUGCAAUAUGAUUUGAUUACUUUUAAUUGCGUUUCAUAAGUUAUGAAUUCGAUUUACUUAUCUAUUUGAUUGAUAACAUGUUUAUGUAUGUCGAUUAAGAAUGCAUACUUAAUUUACAUGCAUGAAUUUGAUGCUAGAAUAUAAGUGAAUUUCACCUAAUCGUUAUGAACUUAUAUUCACAAGUAGUGAAGGUUGUUAUCCACAAUCGUGUUAAGUGAAUUCUAGGCUGGAUUAACAUGCGUAUUCUAUAGUUAUGAAUGCCUAGUCAAUGUUUAUGAUUUCCGUUGAACUUAAUGAUCUUUGUUGAAUGUCUCUAUCAUGCGUAUUCCAUAGUUAGGGACUUUGAUGAGGAAUAAUUUGGUUGUAAUGCGUAUUCCAUUCAAUCCAAUGAAUCUAGGGAAAUCUAAGAGUUAAUUUAAGCGGACCUAAUUAACUUGGAACAUUGUCAUUCACAAUUUAUUGAAAGAACAACUGAAAAUCAAUUUAGGUUGCAUAUGUGUCAUGUGUGGAGAAGAACCCUCUAGCUAGUCCGUCACCUAUCCUUUCACCUUAAUUUCAUGCUUUUGUCAACUCUGUAAUUUAUUUAAGUUUAAUUUACUUCUCGUCAAAACCAAACCCCCCCAUUAUUAAAUUAUAUUAUUUAGUUAGUUUUCAUUGUUGUUAGUCUUUUAAUUCAAUUUCCGUCCAUUUCAGUUCCUAGUGUCUAAUUUGAUUGUUUUCAUUAUUUUGAGUCAUUCUAAGUGUGUUUCAAGUUAUUAGAGUUUUUAGCCUAGUUUUGUGUCCUUGAGUCUUAUUUAAUAUUUUUAAUAGAUUAGCAAUCCCUCCUAAUCCCCGGCCUAGAACGAUACCCUACUUACAUCUAUACUACAAUUGUCAAAAAGAGGGUUUAAUUUGUGUGUCAAAUAAUUCUCACAUCAAAUUUUGGCGCCGUUGCCGGGGAUUAGCAACUUUUCUAAUCCCCCAUUGUUUCUUUUUAUUUCUUUUUCGUGUCUUUUGUUUUAGUUACUGACUUUGUUUCUUUUCUUGUCUUAUGUUUUUAGUUUCUGUUUUUGUUUUGUUUUGUUUAUUUUACUUUUGAUAUUUGAUUUAGUUUUCUUUCUUUGAUUUUAGGUACUAGAGAAGUAAGACAUGGAUUUUGCUAGCAUUCAAGCUCAAUUGGCAAAUCUUACUUCUCAAAUGUCGCAGUAUGCCGAAAGGACCACAAUGCAAAAUGUCCCUAUAUUUGGUGCAUCUUAUAGGCAAGGAUAUCAAGCCAAUCAAUGUUCACAAAAAGAUUGGAGUGAUCAUUCAAACUCUAUGUGGUGGGAAGCUCAACAAGUUCAACAUGAAGGAUAUUGGCAACCAUAUGAGGAGUUCUAUUCAGGACCUAUGCAGCCACUACAACCUCAUAUACAAUAUGCCCAAUCAAACUCAGAUUCGUCAAUAGAUUACAAUCAAAUUUUUGAUGAAUUAAAUUCUUUGGUGCAGGGCUCACAAAAUCAAGCCAAGGAGGCUCAACAAGAUGGAUAUUGGCAGCAAUCUGAGGAGUUUUAUUUAACGCCUAUGCAUCCACCACCGCAUACCCCACAACAAUUCCAAUCAAAUUCAAGUAUGUCCAUGGAUAGUGAUCAAAUUCUUCAAGUACUAAUCUCUUUGACGCAGGACCAACAAAAUCAAGACAAGAAGUUGGAUAAAUUGAUGAGUCAAAUGGGAGAGAUUAUGGAAUUCAUGGUACAAAUUCAAGAGCAAAGUGAACUCUCCAGCUCAACUGUUGAAAAUUCGAAGGAAGAUUUUGAAAUCCACGAUGCUAUCACUUUGGAAGGUGACAUGAAGGAUGAAGCUGUCCCAGAACUAUCCAAACACAGCCCGAACAUGGAUGAAUUGCUGCUGCAAGCAGAAGAGGAGGAGGACGACCUGGGCAGUUUAGAAGAAUUCUUGCUGCAAGCUCCUCAAAUCCCUAUGUCAUCCAACUCAUGUGAGGAAGUUCUAAAUUCACUUCAUUCUAACAUUAUUCCACUGAACGUCCUUUAUCCUUGCAGGUUUUUUAUUCCAAAUAUCAAAGAGAGUGAAAAAGACAUUGUGGAAGCUCUUCCAAAGGUGCAAAGUGAUAUCCCAAUUCUUGGUGCACCAAAACAAGUUCCCGAUGGUAUUGAAACGUUCAAAGAACCUUGCACACCAAGAAAAGGGAUUCAAGAAAAUGAAGUGGUUGAAGCAUAUCAAGAAUACAUCCAAGAGGCUGUGCAUGAGACAAUCAAGCCCAAAGCAGUUGAGUUUGAUGACACGGGAUAAGCCACAACCAUCAUAGUAAACCUGGCCAAGUUCAAAGUCCCGGAAAUGUUCAAAAAUGUGGUGUUUGUCAUUGAGUUUGUGUCGGAAAAAGAAAGUAAGCCAUCUUCUCCAAUUUUAAUUUUAAUUUAUACUAACAUGUUUCUGAUUUUGAUGAUUCAGGCACCCACUCUUGAAUUUAAACCAUUGCCGAAUCAUUUCAAGUAUCACCUCCCAUUAAAAGAUAAAUUCCAUGCAUUGGAGCCGAGGGGAGUUUAAAGGAAAGAUUCGUCCGGCUAAAGACGUUAAAUCAAGCGCUUCUUAGGAGGCAACACAAGCAUUCAACGAAGGGAGACUUUGGAAUCGCUAGCCAAAUCAGAUUGCAUUCUUACACCCUUAUCUUUACUGCUUUCAUUUUGUUUUGUUCAGUUAGUUGUGUUAUUUGGUUGAUUUCUGUGAGUUUGUGUUAUUUAGUUUAAGUGUGGGGGCAGGUUAAACAAAGUCUUUUUACAUUAAUUUACAUAUUUAAUAAAAAUAAAUAAAUAAAUAAAAUAAAAUAAAAUAAAAACACUUAAAAAAAAAAACAUAAAAGUAAAAAUAUUUUACAAUGAUGUGUAAACUAAUAGCAUUCAUUGGUCAGGUGGUGCUUCAGUAGUCGGCGGAGCUUCAGCAGUCGGUGGGACCACGGAAGGAGGAGGUAUCGGAGGUUGAUCAGUUGGAGCUUCACUACGCGGUGCUGCCCCAGAAGACGAAGGCAGAUGCGGUUGGAACAAACCCACAAACCUUCGGUGAUCAAGUAAAAUCUGACCAUCAUUUUCCUGCAGCUGGUUAAUUUUCCUCUUCAUGUUUGUGGCAUAACUGUGUGCAAGCUUAUGCAAUUGUUUAUUUUCAUGCUUGAGUCCUUUAAUCUCCUCUUUGAGACUCUGUAUUUCAGCCACCAACGAUUCAACGUGACGGGUUCGAGCAAAUAGGCGUUGGGCCAUGUUGGACACAGAACCCGCACACUGCACGCUAAGAGCCAGAGACUCCUUAACCGCCAAUUCAUCAGACCGUCUAGCGAGCAGUCUGUUAUCUCUGGGGGUGACAAGGUUCCGGGCCACCACCGCAGCUGUCAUUUCAUUUUUCAUCACCGAAUCCCCCACGGUAAGGGGACCGGUAGGGGAUAUGAAGGAUGGGCGCCAUAUGUUGUCUGGUGAAGGCGGAGCUGCCUCUUCACCAAUGUUCAAGUCAAAACGACGAUCGGAAGGGCCAGACAUUUUUCAGAAUGGUAAAGAAAGAAGAGAUCGGACAGAUUAAGAUUUUGGAAGUGCAAGAAGGGAGUGUUUACAGGAGAGAGCUCAAGUGUGUUGUGGAACAAAAUUAACGCCUCUAUAAAAAGAAGAAAUCAAAGAGGCGCUCCUCAGAAAUCGAAGAAGCGUCAUUUCGCAAAUCGAAGAGUCGGGGCUCCUUUCUCAAAAGUCGGAUUCUUUUCUCAAAAGAGGCGUUUCAUUUCUUAAAGGCUGGGCUUGCUUAGAAACCACGAGCCGAACCCCGGAUUUCAAAAGAUCAAUUUGUCCAGACGUGUUGUCACUCGUCACAUGCAACUGGCAGCUUUGCGGAAAUUACGGGCAGCUUUGUCAGAAAGCGCAUAAUAUGUACUAUUCAUUCAUCCACCGGCUGCCGACAAUGAGUGAGAGAAUAGUUCCGGUUGUGAAGAAAAGUCCCAUAAGUAUCUACCUUCGCCUUCCCACAGCAAAGGCACACCCUUUCAACACUUCUUCAUCUCCGAGAAUGUAUUCCCAAAGAAACCUUUCAAGUCACUCUGUAUUUUUCAUCCCUUGGGGUACCUCUGCAAACAACCCAUCCAAAGCAAAAGUAUUUCAUAUCAUGAAGGUUGAAAGCAAGAGUAUCUCAUAUCAUGCUUUCUCCCUGUCCUUUCUCCAGCCAGCUCUUGCUCUCGAGUACUCAUCAUCUUAUGCUUUCUCUUUGUUUCUCACUUAUAAGGGAAGUGAAGAUGAUACCUCGAAGCAUGUGGAGACAACGUGCUGAUUCAUCCUCAACUAAGGACAAGGAGAAAGAGAGCAAGAGGUGGGCACUUGGAAAGAUUGAAGAAAGAAACAGACCAACACCUCUCACUCGUGCCUGCCCGUCGUGCAGAAGAAACAAGCAGAGAAGAAUGCAGCUUGCACAAUCAUCCCAGCAGAAGGAGUCUGAGAUGAAGAACUAGAGAAGCUGCCACAUCUGCUUGGAGAACAAAUAAGGAACUGCAACAUCACCAAAGAGCAAAGCUUCGCCGUACAAUAUCAUCAAAUCAUCACUUGCAAGUAAAAAGCUAAGUGUCACCCCCGUUCAAGAGGAAAGCUGUGGAAAGUCAACAAGCACGACCAAUGAUCACUUAUUAGUUCUAUUCAUUGUCUUUUAUCGUGAUUUUCAAUUUUUCGUUUGCAAUUUUUUUUACAUUUUCUUGCCUUACUUAACUGAAUUAUUUCUUUUCUUUGCAGGAAUUUUUGGUUAUUUCCACCCUUGAAGUUGAUUGCAGAAUUUUAGCUUGGGGGGUCAUCGCUUGGUUUUACUGCAAACUAGGGAAGUUUUCAGUCCAAUUGCUUUAUUUUGUUUCUUAUUAUUUAUUUAUUUUAUUUUUAUUUGCAUUAUAGUGUUUUCUGACAUUGGGGACAAUGUCCAGUUUAAGUUUGGGGGUAAAGAGUAUAAAAAUGACCAAAUUGAAAUUUUUUUUUUUUUGUACCUUCAACUACGAACGAGUUUCAUUUGUUUCCAUGUUGUUGCUUUUUGUUUUCUUAAUUAGUUUUGUUUUCUUUAAAAAAAAAAAUUUAAAAAAAAAUCGGAAAUUUUAAAAAAAAUCCAAAAAUAUUGUCUUGUUUCCCUUAUUGUUUUGAAUUAGAUUUUUGUUAGUUUCCCGACCCAAUGAUAUAAUUGGAUCAAAUUUGAACCAUGAUCAUCAAGAACUUAGUUAACAUGUGUUUUGUGAAAUUCCUAAUUCUCUUGUUAGUUUUGUACAUGUUUGACCAUCUUUGAAAAACCAAAUGCACAUAGCCUUGUUAAUGUGAAACUAAAGUAUGACUUAAAGCUUCAUAUGUGAAUUUAGUGACCAUAUACAUCCUAUGUGAGUUUUUGAGCCGAUUGAAAGUGUGUGCAUUUUUCAUACACUCCUAUUCUUUCAUGUGUGAUGAACUUAUGUGAGAUACAUCUCUAGAACUUGCGUAACGAUCUUUCGAAAUGUUUGUCAUUGAUUGCAUGAAUUUGGAAAUGAUAGAGGCAUUAGGUUUACCACUAUGGCCCAAAUAACCAUGUUUCCCAAAGAAAAAUGAUAUAAUUAGAUUGCCAAUUUGAGCCGUGUACGUUGAGCCUUUUAUUUCUUAUCACCAGAUAUGUCUACCCUUAUACCUGAAACAUUUUUCCUUACCCUUUCCAAGCGAGCAAUGCGAGAUUGUCUUAUGAGAAAUGUUUGUGAAGUACUUUGAAGGUGUUUGGCAAAAGAAUAAAUGUGGGGGUGUUUCAUGUUUGUAUUUAAAAAAAAAAAAAAAAAAGAGAAAAAAAAAAAGAAAAGAAAAAGAAAGAUUGUAUACAAAGAAAAUAAAAAGUUUUUCAAGUUUCAGUUAAGGGUGUGGUUGGAGGUGCUAGAAGAAUCGCUGGAAAGAUGGAAAGAUUGAGUUCUUAUAAAUCUAAACAAAAGAAUUGCUUGCAAUGUAGCUUGGAACUUGUGUUUUCCUAUUCUUUCGUUUCAAUAACCCUAUCCCUAAGCCUCAUUACAUCCAAUAAAAGUCCUCUUGAUUUAAGUUUUGCAAUUAUGACUGUGGAGAAGUGAUCUUUAUGCAAGCUUAUGGUAGAAAUUCACAUUUGAUUCUUUGAGCGAAACACAUUUAAACUAAACACAUGUGUGAUUGAGUGUAUAUCCCGUGAGAAGGUUGCUAGUUUUCAUAUGAUGAUUUUAAAAAUAAAAAAAUAAAAAAAAAUUUUGAAAUUGCAUUAGCAUGGCUAUCUCACACACUACACUUCAAGGAUGAUUUAAAGAUUACUGCUAAUAUUUGAAUAAGGAAGAUGAACUUGGAUUAGCUUGUUUGGUGCUAGCUAUGAUUCUUGUUGAUUUGUGUUCUCAAAUGAAAUUCUAUGAGGGUCACAUAGGGGGAAGCUAAUGUUUUUCUUGUUACUACUUGUUCUUGUUUUCUUUGUUUUGCUCGAGGACUAGCAAAAGCUAAGUGUGGGGGAAAUUGAUAGGAGUAUAUUUAUACGACUUAGUUAGCUUGUUUUCUUGCUUUUAAUUAGCUAAACUAUGAUAAUUAUAGUGUUUAAAGUUAUUUUCGUGCAAUUUCAGGUUUUAGUGUCAAAGUAUGCAAAAAGAAGCAAUUUGGAACAUUCUAGAGCAUUUUUGGGCCAAGAUUGGAUUGUGCAAGCAUGGAGGCAUGAGGAUGGACGAAUUUGAAGACAAAAGAGGCUAUGAACAUGCUAAAAAUCUGGUGAAACAAAUAUAAGUUGCAAGAAGGGAUAAAUUUCUAGAAGGAUUGACCAAAACUUCACUCAAAACCAAGAAAUUCUUCAAUGCCGUGGGCAUUGAUUCACUUUCACCAGAAAUUUGAGUGAUGAUGCAAUGCUUAAAUCACCAUGACAUGUGAGUGGAUGAUGCAAUGCUUAACUCACCAUGACAUGUGAAUGGAUGACUCAAUACCUAACCCACCAACAAUUCCCACUCUUUGCCAUGCUCACCUACUCAAUUCCACCAAAAUUUUGUGUUAAACAAAUCCAUCCUUUUCCUAUAAAUACCAUGGCAGCAACCUCAUUCAAAUCAUCCAGAAAUUAACCAUUCUCCAAGCCUUCCCUUGCCUCUCCCUACAUAUCUAAACCUUCCCCAUCCAUUCCUCCAUAUAACCAACCAUUCAACCACCAUAACCACCUUGUGCCGCCACCAUUGAAGGAGAGGAGGAGUAGUGCCGUGCUUAUGCAAUCUGCAACUAUUAGAGUGUUUGGAAUUCUUUCUUCUUUUAAUUCUAUGUUCAUGUUUAAUUUAACUUGCUGUUCAAUUAUGUUAAACAUGUGGAACUAAUUUCUUUUUGGCUAGAGGUUAAUUCAAAGCCAUGAAUAUAUUUGUAAUAUGAAUUGAUUACCUUCAGUUGUGAUUUCUGAGUUGUGAUUUAAUUUGCUUAACUGCUUGAUUGAUAACUUAUUUUUGUAUGUCGAUUAAGAAUGCAUACUUAAUUUACAUGCAUGAAUUUGAUGCUAGAAUAUAAGUGAAUUUCACCUAAUCGUUAUGAACUUAUAUUCACAAGUAGUGAAGGUUGUUAUCCACAAUCGUGUUAAGUGAAUUCUAGGCUGGAUUAACAUGCGUAUUCCAUAGUUAUGAAUGCCUAGUCAAUGUUUAUGAUUUCCGUUGAACUUAAUGAUCUUUGUUGAAUGUCUCUAUCAUGCGUAUUCCAUAGUUAGGGACUUUGAUGAGGAAUAAUUUGGUUGUAAUGCGUAUUCCAUUCAAUCCAAUGAAUCUAGGGAAAUCUAAGAGUUAAUUUAAGCGGACCUAAUUAACUUGGAACAUUGUCAUUCACAAUUUAUUGAAAGAACAACUGAAAAUCAAUUUAGGUUGCAUAUGUGUCAUGUGUGGAGAAGAACCCUCUAGCUAGUCCGUCACAUAUCCUUUCACCUUAAUUUCAUGCUUUUGUCAACUCUGUAAUUUAUUUAAAUUUAAUUUACUUCUCGUCAAAACCAAACCCCCCCAUUAUUAAAUUAUAUUAUUUAGUUAGUUUUCAUUGUUGUUAGUCUUUUAAUUCAAUUUCCGUCCAUUUCAGUUCCUAGUGUCUAAUUUGAUUGUUUUCAUUAUUUUGAGUCAUUCUAAGUGUGUUUCAAGUUAUUAGAGUUUUUAGCCUAGUUUUGUGUCCUUGAGUCUUAUUUAAUAUUUUUAAUAGAUUAGCAAUCCCUCCUAAUCCCCGGCCUAGAACGAUACCCUACUUACAUCUAUACUACAAUUGUCAAAAAGAGGGUUUAAUUUGUGUGUCAAGUAAUUCUCACAUUAUGGUGGUAGCUGUGUUGUUGCCAAAGUUGCAGAUGAUAGUCAAGGCAAUGGGUCUUUGUCUCUGUCUUUAAAUUAGGCAGUUUUUUGGGAGAAAAAUAGGGCGGAAGAUUCGAGAAAGAGAAAAAUGGGUUUUUGGAUGGUUUUUUAAAACUGCACAGAGUCUGCGAAGGUUUUCUGGAAAAGCCCAAAGAGUGAGGUUUUCUAGGUUUUUGGGUUUCUGCAGUUUCCCGGUGGUGAGAUGAAAAAAAUGAAAGAGAACCGACAUAGUUUUUCGUGUCGAUUUCCCACAGACAACGCCAAAUGUUGAUGCACAAAACCGUAGGGGUCUUGGAACGUAAAUCCGACCGUGAAUCUGCAAGAAAGUAAAGAACACAAGAUGUAUCGUGGUUCACCCCAAUGUUUGGGCUAUGUCCACACUGAUGUUGAUUGUAUUUCUCUGUAAGGGGGAAUCCCCCAGAGAAAAAGAGAGUUUGAGAGAGCUUUGCUCUGAAUAUAAGAGCCUCUAUUUGGGGAUGUGAGGCUUGAGGAUUGUGAGGGUGAGGAUGCCCUUUUAUAGACUAAGGGCUCCUCCCCAUUUACAUGAAUCAUGGGCUCAAUGUCAGGAAGCCCAAGUAACGAGGUCCAAUAUAAUAUGGUACCAAUAGCAUCAAUAUUCAAUUUGAACAUCCCAUCAAUGGCAUACUCAUUUCCCACAAAAACAUCAUUCUUUGUGAGAGUAUACAUAUCAGCCCCAAUAGUUUGAGUGAAUCUAGCAUUGUUGAUUAGAUAACCUGAAACCAGGUUCUUUCUUAUUUCUGGAACAUGCAGUACAUCUUUUAGAAUGACAGUCUUCCUCGAGGUGAAUUUUAGCUCUACUUCACCAGUUCCAGCAACAUUCGUUGAGUGAGAGUCUCCCAACAAAACCCUUAUGUCCUCAGCUUCAGAAUAGGACUUAAAAAGUCUGCGAUCAUGGCAGACAUGGCGCGAAGCUUCAGUGUCUACCCACCACCCCUCGGAUCCGUCAACUAUGUUAACCUCUGAUAUCAUAGCAAUGAGUUGAUCCUCAGUCAGAUUAGCUUGAUGAGUAAUCCGACGUUUGUUGUGACAGUUCCUAGCCAAGUGCCCAGGUUUGUCACAGUUGUAGCACAAAAAAUGGCACAACGGCUUCAUCUCAUGAGGGGGUACCUUCCUAUUCUAACUUUGCUGAGGAUUUUGGAAGUUUGGUCGAUUUUUGUUGUUGUUGCGAUUCUUGGUGGAAUUCUUUAUAUUCUUACCCAUGGGUUUGAGCACUACUGCUGCAUAAGUCCUCGAAUGAGUCUUCUUGAGAUUGUUGUUGUUUGAAACAACCAGCACUUCCUCCCUCAUAUCUUGUUUCCUGGCUUCUUCCUCGAUUUGAAGGCGAGUGAUUAGGCUUUCCAGUGAGAAUUCCUUUGUCUUGUGCCACAGAUCCUUCUUGAACUCCUUCCAACUUGGUGAGAGCUUGUCUAUGAUCACAGCAACCUGCAACUGUUCAUCCAGAUUCAUGCCCUCAUUGAUGAUCUCAUGAGCAAUCUUUUGCAGUUCGUGUGAUUGCACUUCCAUUGAUUUGUCAUCCAUCAUUUGAAACUUCAUGUAGCGGCUGACUACAAAUUUCUUUGCUCCUGCUUCUUCAGUGUCGUACUUUUUCUAGAGAGCAUCAUAUAGUUCUUUAGCUAUCUUACGAGAAUAGUAGUAAUCAUAUAGGUCAUCACAUAAUCCAUUCAAGACAUAAUAUUUACAGAGAAAGUCAAUAUUAGUCUAGGAUUGAAACAACUUGAACUGUUCAGCAGUGGGUUGAUCAAGAUGUGAUGGCGUUUCAGACAUGCAGUGGGUGGCAAGUUUCUUGGUGGUUAGAAAAAAUAACAUCUUUUGCCUCCAACGUUUGAAGUAGAUUCCUUCAAACUUGAUAGGUUUGUUCAGAUCAUUAGUAAAAGUGUUGUUUUCAUUCUCCAUUGCAGAAAUUGAACGUCUUAAAAUUGUUAGAGUUGCUACACAAUAAAACAGGAACAAUAUUACCGGAGUAUGAAGAACAUAAAAUGAAAAUCUGUCUUGGGUUGAGUCGUAGACAAUGUCACUUUCUUUAAGACGUUUCGCGGCUCUGCCCAAUGUGUGUAAGCAGUUCAAAUAACACCACAUCAUCCCCAGGAUAAAACAGCCCAAAAUCUCUCUGUCUAGACCUUCCUUUGCACUGAGGAAGAUCCGAAAACACUCACCCUCUAGUUGCUCAGAAUACUCAGUGUUAUUAGCUAGGUUUUUUUCAGUUUUUUUUUUUUUUUUUGUGUGUCGACUAAAGAGAGGUCCUCAAAUUUAUAUAGAAAAACCAAAGUUUAACGUUGAAGAGGUUGAGGGAAAGGUGGCCUAAGAAUACAACAACAACAACAACAAAGCCUUUUCCCACUAAGUAGGGUCGGCUAUAUGAAUCCUAGAACGCCAUUGCGCUCGGUUUUGUGUCAUGUCCUCCGUUAGAUCCAAGUACUCUAAGUCUUUUCUUAGAGUUUCUUCCAAAGUUUUCCUAGGUCUUCCUCUACCUCUUCAGCCCUGAACCUGUUUCCCGUAGUCACAUCUUCGAACCGGAGCGUCAAUAGGCCUUCUUUGCACAUGUCCAAAUCACCGGAACCGAUUUUCUCUCAUCUUUCCUUCAAUUUUGGCUACUCCUACUUUACCUCGGAUAUCCUCAUUCCCAAUCUUAUCCUUUCUCGUAUGCCCACACAUCCCACGAAGCAUCCUCAUCUCCGCUACACCCAUUUUGUGUACGUGUUGAUGCUUCACCGCCCAACAUUCUGUGCCAUACAACAUCGUUGGCCUUAUUGUCGUCCUAUAAAAUUUUCCCUUGAGCUUCAGUGGCCUACGACGGUCACACAACACGCCGGAUGCACUCUUACACUUCAUCCAUCCAGCUUGUAUUCUAUGGUUGAGAUCUCCAUCUAAUUCUCCGUUCUCUUGCAAGGUAGAUCCUAGGUAGCGAAAACGGUCGCUUUUUGUGAUCUUCGCUAGAUUGCUCCGGUCAUUAGUGUGGAUAAGUAUAUAAAUGGAUAGAGAUAGGAAAGCAAACACAAGAUGUACGUGGUUCACCUAGAUUGGCUACGUCCACGGAAUAGAGGAGUUCUCAUUAAUUGUGAAGGGUUUACACAAGUACAUAGGUUCAAACUCUCCUUUAGUGAGUACAAGUGAAUGAUUUAGUACAAAUGACAUUAGGAAAUAUUGUGGGAGAAUGAUCUCGUAAUCACGAAACUUCUAAGUAUCGGAGUGUGGUAUCGUCUUGAUUUGCCUUAUCUGUCUCAUAGGUAGAUGUGGCAUCUUCUUUGGAAGUACUCUUCCUCCAUCCAGGGGUGGUAUCUUUAACUGGUGGAGAUGCACAAGGUAAUGUAUCAAUUUCACUUGAAGCUUACUUGUAGUUUCAGGCUUGGUCAAGCGCGAUACAAACCAUGUAGUAGGAGUCCCCCAAGUCGCCGAGCUAGGGGAUCUGCUGAAAGAGUUGACAGACAAGGUAAGCAAUCAGAGCUCCGGCUGAUUGUUCACAUUCUCCCUAUCUUGCAGGCAGCAUGAAGGAUAAAGAGAAGAAAAAUGAGAAGAGAUGAUAUGGGAUACUUUUGCUUUUGAAGAAGUAACUUUCCACAGGCUUAUUCAUAAACUGAGCUGGAAGGUUUUCUGGUUUCCUCCAGAGUAUAAGGCCGACUGAAAAAUUUGAGGGUCAAAACAAGUCCAUCAAAUCUAAAGUACGUUCGACCCUGCUGAUAUGGGAUACUUUUGCUUUUGACAGAAUAGUGGAUGUAUCGGCACGUGUGCUGUUACGCUUGUCUCCACAUGCUUCCUUGUAUCCUUCUCACUUGCCCUAUCUGUUCCUCAGGCAGAUGCGGUAUCUUCCCUGGAAGCAUAAGAUGUUGAAAAUGAGUACUCGAGAGCAAUGCCAGGUAAGUAAUCAGGUAAGGGGUUCCAGGCAGUCAGUUCCUGGCUGUAAGCUUGAUUCCAAGUGCUGACUGAUUGCUCUUUUUCUCCUUGUCUUGCAGGUAAGAACAAGGCCAAAGGAAAAGACAGGGAAAAAACAUGAUAUGGGAUACUCUUGCUUUUAACCCUGAUGAUAUGAGAUAUUCUUGCUCUAGUAUAGCUUGUUUGCAGAGGUAUUAUCGGGGGGAAAGAAAGCUGAAUAUUUCGAAAGGCUUCGUUGGGAGUGCCCUCUCAGAUAUGAGGAAGGGUUGAGCAUUUUUGCAGGUCUGCCUGUUCGUUGGGGAUGGAGGUCUACAUAUAUAGGAGUCUCCCUAACAACAAGUAGUAAUGUUAUUCCUUUACCCUGCUUGGUCAUAGCACGGUAGUGGGAGCUGCCAACUUCACAUGUUUUAACUCUGUCAGAACACUUUGAAAAAGUGGUAUGUGGUAUCUGGAAAGCUGAUGUUGCGUAUGAAGAUUACAGACAAGCUUUAUCCAAGGAGAUCCGGCUUUUGAAGUUGGGAAAAUGGUGCCUCUUCGGUUUUCGAACAAGCAAUCCUAUCGGGGAUCUGGCUCUCGAGAUUCAGAGAACGAUGCCUCUUCGAUUUUUUAGAAAGCAAUCAUGCUGGGGGUCUGGCUCUCGAGAUUCGGAGAGCGGUGUCUCUUCGAUUUUUGAGAAAGUAAUCAUGUUGGGAGUCUGGCUCUCGAGAUUCGGAGGGCGAUGCCUCUUCGCUUUUGGAGCAAGCAAUCUUGUUGGGAGUGUUUUCUCGAAUGUGAGUAAAGGUUGGGCAUGUUUGCUAGUCUACCUUGCCACGAAGCACAGAGGUUGACAAACAGGGACUUUCCAAUUAUCCAGCAAUGGUACUGUUCCUUUACCCUCUCUUCGAUUUUUGAGAAGGUAGUCAUGUUGGGAGUUUGGCUCUCGAGAUUCGGAGGACGGUGCCUCUUCGAUUUUGGAGCAAGCAAUCUUGUUGGGAGUGUUUUCUCGAACGUGAGUAAAGGUUGGGCAUGUUUGCUAGUCUACCUUGCCACGAAGCACAGAGGUUGACACACAGGGACUUUCCAAUUAUCCAGCAGUGGUACUGUUCCUUUACCCUUGUGGGUAAUAAUAUGGUAGCUAGACCUUCAAAAUUUAUGUGUCUAAACUUUGUUAGUGUUGUUUCUUUGUUAUUCUUUUACCCUUCUUGGUCAGAGCGAUGUAGUGGGAGCUGCAAGCUUCACGUGACUCAACUUUGGCAGAGAACUUUGGCAAAGUUAUCUGUGGUACCCAUGAGCUACUGUUGCGCGUGGGUUGAACAGUAAGAUUCAUGUGCUUUCUACUUCACCAGUAGUCUUCGACAGAAUGCCCAUAAUUUCCGCAAAGCUGAGUAUGCGUGUGACAGGUGCUGACAAGGCUGGAAAAGUAGGUGCCUCUUCGAUUUCUGAGAUCGGCCCUCGUGGUCUCUGAGCAGCCCAGCUUUUGAGAAAGCAAGCGCCUCUUCGAUUUCUGAGAUCGGUCUUCGUGGUCUUUAAACAGCCCAGCUUUUGAGAAAGCAAACGCCUCUUCGAUUUCUGAGAUCGACCCUCGUGGUCUCUGAGCAGCCCAGCUUUUGAGAAAGCAAACGCCUCUUCGAUUUCUGAGCAGACGCCUCUUUGAUUUCUGAAGCUCCGUCGAGUGCAGAUUUUUAUAAGGGCUGGCAUUAAGUUCCAAAGCACACUUGAAUCUCCACCAGUAGAAGCUCCAUUCUUGCACUUCUAAGAUCUUGAUUUGUCCGACCUCUUCUCUCUUCAACACCUUUGAAAAUGUCUGGCCCCUCCGACCGUCGUUUUGACUUGAACCUUAUUGAAGAGGCAGCCCUGCCUUCUCCAGACAACAUAUGGCGCCCAUCCUUCGUCUCCCCUAUUGGUCCUCUUACCGUUGGGGAUUCCGUGAUGAAGAAUGAUAUGACCGCUGCGGUGGUGGCCAAGAACCUUCUCACUCCCAAAGAUAACAGACUACUUUCUAAACGGUCUGAUGAGUUAGCUGUUAAGGAUUCUUUGGUUCUCAGUGUUCAGUGUGCAGGUUCUGUGUCUAAUAUGGCCCAACGCCUAUUUGCUCGAACCCGCCAAGUUGAAUCAUUGGCGGCUGAAGUGAUGAGUCUCAAACAGGAGAUUAGAGGGCUCAAGCAUGAGAAUAAACAGUUGCACCGGCUCGCACAUGACUAUGCUACAAACAUGAAAAGGAAGCUUGACCAGAUGAAGGAAUCUGAUGGUCAGGUUUUACUUGAUCAUCAGAGAUUUGUGGGUUUGUUCCAAAGGCAUUUAUUGCCUUCGUCUUCUGGGGCUGUACCGCGUAAUGAAGCUCCAAAUGAUCAAUCUCUGAUGCCUCCUCCUUCUAGGGUUCUGUCCAGUACUGAGGCUCCGAAUGAUCCCCCUCCGGUGCCUUCUCUUUCUGGGGCUCUACCGACUGCUGAGACUUCUCCUAAGCAACCUUUGUGAAAGCUCCCUCUUGUUUGUUUAUUUUGACUCAUGUAUAUGUACAUAUUUGUAACUUAUCGGGGAUAUCAAUAAAUAAGCUUUCCUUCAUUUCAACGUAUUGUGUUAAAUACACCAAAGCCUUCUUUGCUAAGUUCUUUGAAUUUUCUUUUAUUGAAGCUUGUAUGUUGAAGCUUUGUGAGUGGAGCAUGUAGGUUGAGGUAGUGUUCCCUUAAUUUCUUGAGUGAGGAAAACUUCUCGGUUGGAGACUUGGAAAAUCCAAGUCACUGUGUGGGAUCGGCUAUAUGAAUCUUAGAACACCAUUGUGCUCGAUCCUGUGUCAUGUCCUUCAUUAGAUCCAAGUACUCUAAGUCUUUUCUUAGAGUCUCUUCCAAAGUUUUCCUAGGUCUUCCUCUACCCCUUCGGCCCUAAACCUCUGUCCCAUAGUCGCAUCUUCUAAUCGGAGCGUCAGUAAAGGUGGCCUAAGAAUCAGGCCAAAAAAUCUGGAAGUGAUCACCUAGUUGAGGAAGACUAGGUCUUUUCCUUUAUCUUCAAAACCAAAAUCUAUUUGAUAAAAUACAAGUGGUCAACCAUCAAAAUAAGAAGGCUAGUUCCUGAAUAAAACGAUAACUAUGGUUUUAAAAUAAACACAAAGUUUCAACACUUAUGUACACUGUGUUCUUCUCUCUUGCAAGCAAUCACAUCCACGGGAUCAUUCCAGAAUCAGUAUGCAAGGCGACAUCUCUUCAUGUUCUUGAUAUGUCCAAUAAUUCCUUUAGUGGCAUGAUUCCCCAGUGCUUAACUGCAAGGAACAGGUCUCUUGCAGUAAUUAAUUUAAGGAGAAACAAACUUUCUCGCACUCUUCCUGAUAAUUUUCCUCAGCACUGUAGUCUACGAAGUUUAGACCUCCAUGGCAAUGUGAUUGGUGGUCAGUUCCCAAAAUCUCUAGCCAAUUGCACAAUGUUAGAGGUGUUAAACCUGGGAAACAAUCAGAUAACAAAUGUCUUUCCGUGCUUAUUGAUGAACAUAUCCAGCUUGCGUGUACUUGUCUUGCGUUCCAACAAAUUUCAUGAUCGCAUUGAAUGCCUCAGCCUCAAGACCAAUGGUCAUUGGCCAAAGCUUCCAGUUAUUGACAUAGCUCACAACAAUUUUAGUGGUGAACUACCAGGAAGAUGCUGGAGAACCUGGCUAGCAAUGAUGGCUGACGAAGAUGAUGCCGAGUUUAAAAUUGCCUACGACAUCUUGAGUCCUUGGACCUUUCGGACAACAGAUUGAGCGGAACAAUUCCAGCAGAGUUUUCCAAACUUAAUUUCCUCUCGUUCCUGGAUCUCUCAAACAAUCAACUAGUUGGGAAGAUUCCAACCGGCACUCAGAUUCAGUCUUUUUCAGCAGAUUCUUUCGCAGGCAAUAAAGGAUUAUACCUGCCACUGUUGAAUUUUUGAUGUGUAUUUCAUAUCAAAACAAUUACAAGAUGAAACAUUAUAUAGGAAAAGAAAGAGAACAUAAGCCUAACUUGCCUAACUUGCCUAACUUGCCUAAUUUCCUAACUUGCCUAACUUGCCUAAUUUACACAAAGAAGGUUGACUAGCCUAACUUCACUAGUCAUCCAACAUGUUUAUUUCAUGCAUGCAUUUUAACAAAAGAUAUGACUUGCAUGCAUUCCAACACUCCCCCUCAAGCUGGAUCGAGGGGAUUCCUUGAGCCAAGCUUGGACAGAAUGCGCAUGAACUGAACCGUAGGAAGAGGUUUAGUAAAAAUAACGCUUUGCUUCUUGCUGCGCCAUGUUACCAAAUUCCCACUUGAAAUGGCUUCGUGCCGCAAACAAACAGUAAUGGCUUCGUGCCGCAAACAAACAAACUUGAAAUGGCUUCGUGCCGUAAACAAACAGUAAUGGCUUCGUGCCGCAAACUUGAACAACGUUAGGUAGAGCUAAAGCAUCCAUCGAGCUCUCAGCUUCAUAAUGUUCUCCAGCCAUCUUGGCUUAGAGUAAAUGUUCUCCAACCAUCUUGGCUUAGAGUAAAUGUUCUCCAGCCAUCUUAGCUUAGAGUAAAAGUUCUCCAACCAUCUUGGCUUAGAGUAAAAGUUCUCCAGCCAUCUUGGCUUAGAGUAAAAGAAACUUAGCGGAAACGAUCAACAGAGCAUCCAUCGAGAACUCAGCUUCAUAAUGUUCUCCAGCCAUCUUGGCUUAGAGUAAAAGAAACUUAGCGGAAACGAUCAAUAGAGCCAGGAAUUUCGAGUUCCUGCUCUGAUACCAUGUUGAAUUUUUGAUGUGUAUUUCAUAUCAAAACAAUUACAAGAUGAAACAUUAUAUAGGAAAAGAAAGAGAACAUAAGCCUAACUUGCCUAACUUGCCUAACUUGCCUAAUUUCCUAACUUGCCUAACUUGCCUAAUUUACACAAAGAAGGUUGACUAGCCUAACUUCACUAGUCAUCCAACAUGUUUAUUUCAUGCAUGCAUUUUAACAAAAGAUAUGACUUGCAUGCAUUCCAACCGCCACCAUUAGAUGACGGAUCAGCAAGGUUGUCACCAAAAUUAGAAGGCAAACAAAUUCUGCGCAAGGAAUUGAUUGGGAUCUGAUAUGUGUUGAAAUUGGAUUUAUUGUUGGCUUUGGAAUAGCUAGUGGAUCAAUUUUGUUUUGCAAGAGAUGGAGUAAAUGGUAUUACAAAACUAUGUAUCACAUUCACGUUAAGAUAUUCCCUCAGAUGGAGGAAAGAUUUGGCCCUCAUCGAAGACAUGCUCACAUACACCAAAGGUGGACGCGUUGAAACGAUUUUGAAGAACAAUACAAGUGCUUGCAGUCACGUUUUCUCUUGAACUGUUUUGUAUUCUGAGUUGUAAAGCUCCAACAGAUGGGAUUGAACCCCGUCGAAAGAAACGGUUCGUGGCACAAGCUUUGUAAGCCUCCUCUGCUAGAGUCUACUUGUCGGUUAGUUCCUUACUUGGCUAGUUGUUGACAGUAUAUUUCGUCUGUGUUUAUUAAGUGUUUGUGCUAUUUUACCAAAGAAAUAUCUCAAAAACUUAGCUCUCAUACUUUCAAACAUAUUAUAUAAUAAUGAGCAAUAAUUUCAACCCUUUUACUAUUAUUUAAUAAUUAUGGUGUUUUUUUUUUCUUCAUAUGUUUAAUCUUUACUGCAGCCUCCUUCCUUGUUACUGAGAUCAAUAUAUCUUAAUCGAGAUUUAUAUCUUAUGUACAAAUUAAUUCAAAAUCAGAACAGUCAUAGGUUUGAAAUUUUCAAUGAGAAUGACAGAAUGAAAACAUCACAAAUAAAUUUCAUGGAUAAGGUUUGACUAGCAAAACAAAAUAAUAAUAAUAGAAAAUAAAAGUUUGAUAGCAUUUCUUACAUAAGAGAUGUUGGUACUUUUUUUUUUUUUUUUGAACAAAUGCAUUUUUAAUUUUAAAUAAACUAAUUAUUUGUUAGUAAGAAAUUAAGAUGGAGUCUUUUAGCCUUCUUCUUAUGUAGCUAUUGUAACUCUUUUUUUGUUAAUUUGUUAUUACCCUAUUCACCACACUAUGUUUGGAUAAGAGAAAUCAACUUGAAAUUUCAACAAAACUCAUAAUUUAGAAAUUAAUACGAACCAAUUAUAUUGUUUGGAUUCGUAAACAUAGAAAUUUAGAAUUUCCGUGUAGAAUAAAAACUUGGAAUUUGAGACCUCUAAUUUCCAAGUUUAAAUUCCUUAUAAAUGUGUCAUUCCAAAUUUCUACAAGUGAAAGGUUAAAUAAAAGUUUAUGUCUUUGUUCUAUUAGGUUAACCAAACAAAAAAAUUGACAAUUCAAGAAAAUAAAAUUUCGUCAUUUUUAUUUCCGUUUAAAAUUCUUUAGUAAUUUUAAAUUUUUUCAUCCAAACCGUCCCUAAAGGUGAUAAUAACCCUAUAAUUAUUAGCAUUUUCUCCAUCAUCAUUUUAUUCAUUAUUAACUACCCAAUCUUUUCUGUAAGUAUUAUUCUCUCCAUUUGCUUCAUCUUUUCUAUUUUUACUUAUUGGCUAAAGAAGGGUGUUCGUGUGGUGGAUCUUUGGACUUUUUACAUUUGUUCUAAGACAUGUUUACAUGAUUUUCAAGCUUUCUGUUAAUUAACAAUCGGUGUUUGUGGCAAACGAAACAUCUGUUCCUCUUGAGGGUAAUGACAAGAUUAAAUUCUUUAACUCCGAUAUCGAGUCCCCUGUACUUUACAUCUCUGCAUUUUCAAAUCAAUUGUUAUUAGUGGGAAAGAUAGCUAGAAUGUUAAACUGUUUUGCAUUUAUCCCAUUUGUUAUUAGUAGAACCCAUGUAUCUGAAUGUGGGUAUCACUCAGUUUCUGUAAGCUUUAGCCCCGUUGUAGGGCCAAAUUUUACCCUCUCUUCUCCACUCAAGAUUCAGUCAACAUUGAAUAAAAUAGCCUACAUUUAAAACCCCACAAGGGAUAUGGGGAAAGACUUUGAAGUCAACAAGUCAAGCAAACCACAACCAACUAACCAGUCACUUGCCCUUUCAACACUUUGAUUUUUCUCUUGCCCGUUCAACAUUUUGAUGCCUUUUUUAUUUCAACCCAUGAAUAUAUGCCAACAACUAAGACCAAAUUGGUGUUUGGUUCACACACCAUUACACAUUCUUCAGAUGCAUGCGUAAUCAUUCCCACCAAAAAACAAAUUAAAUUUACAAAGAAGAAUAACUAGGGACCUGCCUAAUCUGUUCCUUCCUUACAUUUGGUGUCACAUAUCAGCAACAACUUCCGAUGAAAACUCCUCUGCUUUCAUGGCUUUUCUUACUCCGCAUUUGCUAUGUUUCACUCACCUUCCAUACGCUUGUGGUCUCUACCCAAUGUCCCGGCGAUCAGCAAUCUUUGUUGCUAAAAUUGAAGAACACCCUCGCAUUUAACCAUACAGCGUCUAAAAAACUUGUGAAGUGGAAGAAUGGAUCGGAUUACUGCUCUUGGGAAGGAGUGUCCUGCAAAAAGGGUUGUGUUUCGAAUCUGGACUUGAGCAGCGAGGCGAUUACUGGUGGACUUGAUAAUUCCAGUUCUCUUUUCGGUCUGAAGUCAAUCGAGAACCUGAAUUUGGCUUACAACAACUUCAAAUACACUCAGAUUCCUACCGAGUUCAAGCAGCUAACGGGUUUGACCAAUCUGAACUUGUCGAAUGCUGGCUUUGCGGGGCAGGUUCCGAUUGAGAUUUCACACCUUACGAGGUUGGUAACUCUUGAUUUGUCUACCUUAUAUUUCCCCGGAUUUCCUUCACUGAAUCUUGAGAAGCCGAAUUUGAAUGUGCUCAUUCGGAACUUUUCUGAGCUUCUUGAACUUUAUCUUGAUGGAGUGAAUAUAUCAGCACAGGGGAAUGAGUGGUGCCAAGCUAUAUCAUCUUCACUGCCAAAAUUGAGGGCGUUGAGCUUGUCCAAUUGUAAUCUUUCAGGCCCUAUUGAUAGUUCAUUACUGAAGCUUCACUCACUCUCGGUUAUUCGUUUAGAUUACAAUGAUUUCUUUAUUCAAGUUCCAGAGUUCUUCUCAAAGUUCCCAAAUUUGACUUCCUUGCACCUACGUGGUUCUUGCUUAUAUACAUGUUCUAGCUUAUAUGACAGAGGUUCUUGCUUAUAUGGUACAUGUGCUGGCUUAUAUGGUACAUUCCCAGAGAAGAUCUUCCAGGUACCUACACUACAGACUAUUGAUUUGUCAGGCAAUCAACAGCUUCAGGGUUCCUUACCAGAAUUUCCAAAGAAUGCAUCUCUUCGGUCCUUGGUUUUAAGCGGAGCUAACUUUUCAGGGUUACUACCAAACUCUAUUGGCAACCUCAAAAUGUUGUCCGAGAUAGAUAUUUCGUGGUGCAGUUUCACUGGAUCAAUCCCAAGGUCAAUAGAAGACCUUCAUCAAUUGGUUUAUUUUGACAUGUCAGUCAACAAGUUCAAUGGUUCAGUUCCAUCCUUCAGUUUGGCCAAGAAUCUGAUCAUGAUAAAUCUUUUUCACAAUCAACUAACGGGUCAGAUUAAUUCCACUCACUGGCAAAACCUUACUAAUCUGAUGUAUCUCGACUUGAGAUCCAAUCAAUUAGAUGGGACUGUUCCACUAUCUCUUUUUUCUCUUCCCUUGCUGCAAAAGCUACAGAUUUCCAAGAAUCACUUCUCUGGUCAGUUGCCUGAAUUUGCUAAUAACUCUGUACUGGACACCCUUGAUUUAAAUAGCAACAAUUUGGAAGGCCCAAUUCCCAUGUCCAUUUCUAAUCUCCGAGGGCUAAAGAUUAUUUCACUUUCUUCAAACAACUUCAGUGGGUCGUUUCCUCUCAGUGCUCUUCGACAGAUAAGAAAUCUUUCGAGUCUUGAUCUGUCAUACAACAGCUUGUUGAUUACUUCUGCUGAUAUUAAUUCCUCUUAUUCUUCCUUUCCUCAACUUACCACAUUGAAAUUGUCUUCUACAAAGUUGAGAGAAUUUCCGCAUUUCUUGAGAAAUCAAUCAAAUUUAGGCACUUUGGACCUAUCACAAAACCAGAUUCAUGGUGAGAUACCCAACUGGAUUUGGAGGCUCAUUAAUCUUUCUGAACUAAAUCUUUCUUGCAACUCCUUAGUAACACUAGAAGGUCCUUUACUUGGAUAUCCUCCUUCUCUGUCUAUGCUUGACCUUCAUUCCAACCAGCUUAAGGGACAAAUUCCAAUGCUUCCACAAUUGGCCACUUAUCUAGAUUACUCAAGAAAUAAUUUCAGCUCAAGCAUUCCGGCUGACAUUGGUGAUUUCCUUAUGUACACUGUGUUCUUCUCUCUUGCAAGCAACAAGUUAAAUGGAAGCAUUCCAGAAUCAAUGUGCAAGGCACCAUAUCUUCAACUUCUUGAUCUGUCCAGUAAUUCCUUAAGUGGCAUGAUUCCCCAGUGCUUAAUUGCAGGAAGCAGUUAUAUUGGAGUACUUAAUUUAAGGACCAACAACCUUACUGGUGCUAUUCCUGAUAAAUUUCCUCCAUCCUGUAGUUUGCAAACGGUAGACCUGAAUGGAAAUCAGAUAGGAGGCCAAUUUCCAGAAUCUCUAGGCAACUGCAACCAGCUAGAGGUGUUGAACCUUGGAAACAAUCAGAUCACUGGUACUUUUCCACGCUCUUUAAACAAAAUGCCCCUAUUACGUGUCCUUGUUUUUCGAUCAAACAAAUUUUAUGGGCGCAUUAGAUGUCCUAAGACCUAUGGCAGCUGGCCAAAGCUUCAAAUUAUUGACCUAGCACACAACAAUUUCAGUGGUCAUAUACUCGGAAGAUGCUUGAAAACCUGGCAGGCGAUGAUUGCCGACGAAGGUGCUGGCCUGUCACAACUCGACCACAUCAAAUUUCAGGUCCUAUCAUCACUCUCUCAGAUAUAUUACGACGAUAAAGUAUUUGUUACCACCAAAGGUCUAGAGAUGGAGCUGGUGAAGAUUUUGACUAUCUUCACCUCAAUUGACUUAUCGGGGAACAAAUUCACCGGAUCAAUACCUGUGGAAAUGGGAGAACUCAAAUCGCUCUAUGUCCUCAACUUGUCUAGUAAUGCUCUAACAGGUGAAAUCCCAUCAUCUUUGGGCAACUUACAACAUGUUGAGUCCUUAGACUUGUCGAACAACAGCCUGAGCGGGAAAAUUCCAUCACAGCUCACAAACCUCACUUUCCUUGCAUUCUUGAAUCUCUCAAACAAUGAACUGACCGGAAGGAUCCCAACCUGCACUCAGUUUUCGACAUUUCCAGCAGAUUCCUUUGCAGGCAAUGAAGGGUUGUGGGGGCCUCCUUUGACAGGUUAUAUCCCCUCAGGAUUGCCACUACCAGCACCACUGAAAAAAGGUCAUUCUAAUGCUCGGCCUGAAAUUGAUUUUGAUCUUAUAAGUGCUGAGAUUGGAUUUAUCUUCGGCCUUGGAGCUUUCAUCGGGCCUCUCGUGUUCUGUAAGCGAUGGAGGAUAUGGUAUUACAAAACUGUGGAGAACAUCUUCUUCAAGAUAUUCCCUCGUCUGGAUAGAAGAAGCGGUUACAGAGGAAGACAUGUUUACAUAAACAGAUUUUGGAGAUAAACUCACACUCAAUCAUGCUUGGCUUGACCAAAACCCUAUCUUUCUGGUUUCAAAUUUUCAUUUCCUAGCAAAUAAGAAGCCGUCUGAUCAUAUCGACGAGCUGAUCUUGUUCUUAGUAAGAUAAAUGCAUGUUAAAGUUCUGAAUACAUUAGCUUCUUGUUGAAUUGCUGAUUCGUCGAAUAUUGUAACGUAAUCUUAAUGUUUUGUGUGAACUGUGCUUGUUUAAAGCAAAACACUUCUUUCAGUUUUUAUUCUUGUAAAGUUUGGAUGAAUGUGAAGUUUCAGUUUUUGUUCUUGUGAAGCUUCAACUUCUUCGGAAUUUAUUAAAACUUUGAUCUCAUUUAUUGACACGGUUAAUUGUUUCAGGAUGUAGAGUCAUAAAUUUAGAAAUUAUACUUUCUAGCAUCAAUGGUUAAUAGCGUCACUGCCCACAAUUUGAUAGUUCAAACCUAAAAUCGAACCCUCAAUAAUCAACCGGAUCGAAAUUGAAGGAAAAUUGUAGAACCUCAGAGUAGACAUGUAGAUGAGUGAUCCAACUGAUAAGCUAAGAAAUCAAGUCUCCCUUGUUAGUGACAACAUAUCUACCUUUGCCUAAAGGGCAGAAAGAUUCAGGGUAUCCUAGUCUAAGGGAAACCAGGGUAGUUGGGGUAGGGCGCAUCGCAUGGGACCAUAUUUUUGACCGUUUAAGGCAGAAUAAAAAUCCAACUCCAAAGACUCCAAAACUGGGGGGCCAUACGUAGUACAUGUACCACUCAACGACUCCUUUUGCUUGUCUGGACUCUAAAUUGGUAUGGAACUCCAAUCAUUACCCUUGUUCAUUAACCUUUGUGUAUGUGCUUAUUUCCCUCGAUUUUUCCUCGUAUAUUUUGGUGUGAACACUGUUUUAUGAGUUCGGGCAGGUUUGGUAUUGCUUAUGAUUGUGCUCGGUAAAAAAUGUUAGUGUUUAUUGAUCUUAAAAGCGUUUUUGGAGAAAACACUUGUACUUAUUUGAAAGGCACUUUCUAGUAUUUUGUAGGAAAGCACUUGGAGUUUUAUUUAAGUAAACUUGUUUCUAAUAAAAACACUUCUAGCAAAAGUGUUUAAGAACAAAAAUGUUUCCUACAAAAAUAGUCCUCGAGCUCGCAGUCUUUUUUAUAUGCAGAUCAUAGUAUGAUAUAACAAAAUAACUAAUUUAUGUCACCAAAAAGAAAAGUUAAAGCACUCCACAUUAGAGCUAAGUAUUGGGCUAGAUUCCCCCUAGAAAUCAAGCAUGGCUUAACCUAUUUUGAACUCACCAAACUGUCAUAUUUUUAUUUUAUUUUAUUUUAUUUUAUUUACUUAUAAUUCAACAUCUAUGAUAAAAUGAGAUUAAAUUUGAUGGUAAAAAAUAUUUGAUGGCCCAAAAUUAAAUCUAAUGCCUAAAAUAAUUUAAAAAAAAUCAUUUAAAUCAAAUUUCACUUACAACUUUAUAAAUACCUAUGUAUUUUUAAUUAAAAUUACUUAUGGGAAUUUAAAUAUGUUUAGGUUAAAAUGUUCAUAAAAAUAAAUUAGGAUAAUCUACAUCAAUUUUAUUUUCAAAAAAGUUAUUGACAAAAAAUAAUUAGGCUAAAAUUAUUAUUUAAUAAUAUCAGACUAAAAUUUUAAGCCAUAAUCAUUGGAAGAAAAAAACAAUUUCCUAGUUAUGGCUUAAAAUUUUAAACUUUAUCUUCAAGCGUUGGAGAUGGUCUAAUAAAGAUACGACUCACAUGUGUUGGUGCAUCUAUUAGAAAGGUGAUACAAAUAUAAUAUAAAAAUAUAUUAUUAAUAAGCGGAUAAUGUUAGGAAUACCAAUUUUUUAAACCAAAUUUGCAAAUCAAAUAAUAUGGUUGAAGAUGAUUGGAUUAUUAAUUAAAUGUCGAUUAACGUACUUAUUACUUAUUGGUGACACAUUAUUUAGUUUAAAAAAUUAAUCUCCUCAACAUUACUAACAGUCAUCUCAACUUUAUCAAACUCCAUGGCUAAAUGUCAAACUUUACCGCCAACUUUGCAUGACUUUUGCUCUUUACCAACAAUGACAAUGAAAUCACCUACAAUAUCAUCCAUAAUUAAAAAUAUAACAAAUAAAUAAUAAACUUGUCCUUCUUUUCAAAGAUUGACCUCCAAUUCAAGAUGUUUGACUCAUCAAUGAUUUCACACUAUAAAUUAGGUAAUAUUUUUACUUACCUUCCUCGAAGACAUACUCAUCAUCUUAUUCAUCAUUGUUAAUAAGUUUAAAUUUUGAGUUUUGUGUCUAUUUGUUCUUCUUUUCAAAGAUUGAUCUCCAAUUCAAGAUGCCCGACUCAUCAAUGAUUUCACAAAUAAAUUAGGUAAUAUUUUUACUUACCUUCCUCGAGUAAUAUAGAUACUCAUCACCUUAUUCAUCAUUGUUAAUAAGUUUAAAUUUUGAAAUUUGUGUAGUGGAUAGACACAAAUCUCAAAAUUUAAAAUCAUCCAAUGAUAAUAAGCAUGGUGAUAACAUCAUUUCUACUUGAACGUGAUGAGCAAAAAUGCACCUAAAAUUAUAGACAUAAAUUUUAAAAUUUAAACUCAUUCAACAGUAAUAAGUACAAUGAUAACAUCACUAUCACUUAACUAGGUGAGCAAAAAUGCACCUAAAAUUUAUGGAUUUAAAGAAAAACUAAUAAAAAGAGCUUGAAAACUUUGAGUUCUAACGAUAAGGACAAAAUAAAUGGUAAAAUGAAUAGUAUCAGGAUUGACUUUUUAGUGUAAAAAUGUGAUUUUUCGUUAAAGUGAACAGUACCGGAAGUUUUUUAUUAAAAUUCCCUAGAUUUAAUCCUUUGGCACUGAAAUCAACAUUUCUUACCAAGAAAAUGAUGCAUUCCAAAUUAAAAAUUCACGUGUUCAUUGUUUAACACGAAAAGCACCAAUUUAAAAACCAAAAUAGCGAAGACAUUUGGUACAUAAGAACGUACACACAGUUUUUUCAGGCUAUAAAUUAUUUAAGGAUGAUAAUGGUCUGGUUUUGCAACAACCAGGCCUUACAAUAAUUGAUUAAUUAAUAUGUGAGAGACAACCACCGUUUGGUCAGAUUUGAAGACUGAUUCUUCUAGUUAUUCUAUGAUUUUGAAUAAACAAACAAAACAAAACAAAAAAAAAAGAUUCUAUGAUUUUGUUUUCCAAGAAUUAUUUUAACUUUAAAUUAAUAAAAUCAAUUAGUUUUCGGUUUAAGGAUAGUAGUCUGCACCUGAUUUCAUGAGUUUGAUACUUGAUUGUGACAUUCAUUUACUUCAUAUGCGUUGGUCCGUAAUACAGAAAAAUUCUUUAACAUGAAAAUGAUCUUUUUAGUUUUUAAGUAACAAAUUUGGGCCAAUCAAAGUGAUACUAUACCCCAAAACAAUAGGCAAUGACAAUAAUUGAAAUUAAAGUUGUAUAAAAAUUGACUAGAAGUGAACUUUUCUUAGCACGCAGACAAGACGGCUUACACAAAGUCCAACCGUUGUAAUAAUAUCUCUACAAAUUUCCUAUUUUUCUAUAAAUUUAAAACAAAAGGAUUUAUCCAAAAAUCUCCAAAUGCAUAACGCAUGCCACUUAAAAUUUGGAUCAACAAAGGCAAUCGUUAUUUUUCCACAAUUAAAAAAUAAUAAUAAUCAAAGGCCGCCCAAUUAAGAACGAGUCCACAUUAUACAAAACACGCGUUUCUGAGUCUUCUUUCAAAUCCCCAUCCCAACAGUUCACUCCGCUUUUUUCUUCCUCCUUGCUCUUCCCUCUAAACUCUUCGUCCUUCCGUGCUAACUCCGCUAGAUUUUCGUCCGGUCAAGGACUCGAAUCCACGGGCCAAAAGGGUUUUUUCAUGGAUGUUUGCCUUCAUGUAUCCAUUGAGAAAAUCCUAGCCUGCUCUGCUUCCUUUUUUCUGAGCUUUCAAUGAGAAUUCCUCUGUUUUCAUGGCUUUUCUUAAUACCCUUUUACUACUUUUCACUCAGCAUCAACAUAUUUCUUGUCUCCGGCCAGUGUCCCGGGGAUCAGAAAUCUUUGUUGCUACAAUUGAAGAACAGCCUCGUAUUUGACACUGCAACAUCUAAAAAACUUGUGAAGUGGAAGAAUGGAUCGGAUUACUGCUCUUGGGAAGGAGUGUCCUGCAAAAAGGGUUGUGUUUCGAAUCUGGACCUGAGCGGCAAGGCGAUUAGUGGUGGACUUGAUAAUUCGAGUUCUCUUUUCAGUCUGAAGUCAAUCGAGAACCUGAAUUUGGCUUACAAUAACUUCAACUACACUCAGAUUCCUUCCGAGUUCAAGCAGCUAACCCGAUUGAUUAAUCUGAACUUGUCAAAUGCUGGCUUUGCGGGGCAGGUUCCGAUUGAGAUUUCGCACUUGACGAGGUUGGUAACUCUUGAUUUGUCUACCUUUUAUUUCCCCGGAACUCCUUCGUUGAAUCUUGAGAAUCCGAAAUUGAAUGUGCUGCUUGCGAAUUUUUCUGAGCUUGUUGAACUUUAUCUUGAUGGUGUGAAUAUAUCAGCACAGGGGACCCAUUGGUGCCAAGCGAUAUCAUCUUCAUUGCCAAAACUGAGGGUGUUGAGCUUGUCCACUUGUAAUCUUUCAGGCCCUAUUGAUAGUUCACUGCUGAAGCUUCAGUCUCUCUCAGUUAUUCGUAUUGAGAACAACAAUUUGUCUACUAAAGUUCCAGAAUUCUUCUCGAAUUUCCCGAAUUUGACUUCCUUACGAAUGGUGAAUUCUGGAUUACAUGGUGCAUUCCCAAAGAAGAUCUUCCAGGUACCUACACUGCAGACUAUUGACUUAUCUGAUAAUGCGCAGCUUCAAGGUUCCUUACCAGAAUUUCCGAAGAAUGGAUCUCUUCGAUCCCUGGUUCUCAAUGGGGCAAAUUUUUCAGGCCAGUUGCUUCCAAACUCUAUUGGGAACCUCGAAUUCCUGUCCAAAAUAGAUAUUGCAACUUGCAAUUUCACUGGAUCAAUCCCGAAGUCAAUCGAAGACCUUACGCAGUUGGUUUAUCUGGACUUGGCGACGAACAAGUUCAAUGGUUCAGUUCCAUCCUUCAGUAUGGCCAAGAAUUUGACCCUAAUAAAUCUUUCCUACAAUCAGCUAACGGGUCAGAUUAAUUCCUCGCACUGGGAAAACCUGACUAAUCUGGUGAAUCUCGACUUGCGACACAAUCUACUUGAUGGGACUAUUCCGUCAUCUCUGUUUUCUCUUCCUUUGCUGAAGAAACUACAGCUUUCUAACAAUCAAUUCUCUGGUCUGCUGCUUGAAUUUGCUAAUAACUCUGUACUGGACACCCUUGAUUUGAGUAGCAACAAGUUGGAAGGUUCAAUUCCCAAGUCUAUCUUGAAUUUCCAAGGGCUUAAGAUUCUUUUACUUUCUUCAAACAACUUCACUGGCUCUUUCCUUCUGAAUGAUAUUCAGCAGUUAAGAAAUCUUUCGAAUCUUGAUCUUUCUUUCAAUAGCUUGUCUAUUAAUUACAAUGACAUCAAUUCCUCUCCUUCUUCAUUUUCAAAUAUUACCACAUUGAAGUUAGCUUCUUGCAAUUUGAGAAGAAUCCCAGGUUUCUUGAGAAGUCAAUCAACAUUAAACACUUUGGACCUAUCAGAAAACCAGAUUCAUGGUGAGAUACCCAACUGGAUUUGGAAGUUGAGUAGUCUUAGUCAACUAAAUCUUUCUUGCAACUCUCUGGUAAAUCUACAAGGUCCUUUCCUCAAUCUUACUUCUAAUAUGUCUGUGCUUGACCUUCAUUCCAACCAGCUUCAGGGACAAAUUCCAUUGCUUCCAAGAUUGACCAUUUAUAUGGAUUACUCAAGAAAUAAUUUCAGCUCAAGCAUUCCGGCCAACAUUGGUGAUUUCCUUAUGUACACUAUGUUCUUCUCUCUUGCAAGCAACAAGUUAAAUGGAAGCAUUCCAGAAUCAAUGUGCAAGGCACCAUAUCUUCAGGUUCUUGAUUUGUCCAAUAAUUCUCUGAGUGGCCCGAUUCCCCAAUGCUUGACUACCAUAAGCGGUGGGACACUGGCAAUACUUAAUCUAAGGAGAAACAGACUUAAUGGUUCUGUUCCUGAUGGAUUUCCUCAGCAUUGCAGUUUAAGAACUCUUGACCUCAAUGGAAAUCAGAUAGAAGGUAAAUUUCCAAAAUCUCUUGGCAAUUGCAGAAUGCUUGAGGUUUUAAACAUUGGAAACAAUCAGAUAAGAGAUACCUAUCCUUGCUUGUUGAAGAAGAUAUCCUCCUUGCGUGUCCUUGUUUUGCGAUCCAACCGUUUUUAUGGACACAUGGUAUGCAACAAAAUCAGUGGUACCUGGCCAAAGCUUCAAAUUGUUGACAUAGC
rnacentral:lncRNA from 1 species